rnacentral:lncRNA from 1 species
UUUUUUUUUUUGUGAUGGUCGUUAUUCUCUGGAAGUAUGGGGCUUUAGCUUAAUUACUGAAACUCCCCCAGGAAUUGUUUUAUUUCGAGUUUGCUCCCCCCACGACGACGUGUGCCGUGCACUGCCUUCAAAAUUAAGCUGGGAAAUAUAUUAAGUUUUUGACUUCAAAUUUGUUUUUAUCUCACGUUAUUAUUAUGAAAAUUAUGAGAUUUUUUCUGGUAAUAGGUUAUAAGAUCUUUGGAGUUUGGACUUUGGAGUGUUCUAGAUAGAGCUAGUCAUUUUUGGAAGAUAUGCUACGAUGGAGAAUUGGGACCCUUGUAUUUUGUUUCUCGAGGGAUGUGGAUUAGUUGAUAACUAUUUAUAUGUAGUGAUCAAUUCAGUUGAGUUUUUUGUAGUUUUUUUUUAAGCUGAUUUUUUGUAGUUGAAAAAAGUUUGAAAUAUAUCAUGUUACAUUCUCAAUGUUUAUCAUACAUUAUUUUAGUCACACAUGCUUAAAAAAAGAAAUAAGUGAAAUAAUGAGUGAUUAUUUUACAUACUCCACUCUGUUUUAAUAAACAGAAUACCAAACAAAAAAAAUAAUGAUAUGAAAUAAAUUAUACACUGUUUGAUGGUUAACGGAAAUAUAAUGAUUGACCUUUUAUAGUUUUCAUCUGCUAAUGUAUGUUUUGUGCUGCAUCAAAAUGAAACAAUGAUCAUGGGUGGCUCUUGUAGAGACCAUAAAACUAGUUUGGCAUGUUUAGGCUAACGCGUCUCAAUUCCAAUGGAUCUUUUCUUUUUGUGGUUCAACAGUUCAACAUUUCUAAGCACAAUUUGCUUAAGAAAUAGCCAGAUGGAGCGGAAUUGAAAUUGAAAUUUGUUGAGGGGGGCUUUACAUAAUUUCACCAAAGAAGGCGGGGGUUUACAAUUACAUAAAAACAAAACAAGCCGACCAGUGACCACAGCUGUGACUAAACCCCCAGGGCCUCUAUCAAAGCCCGAAACGCCGUCGUUGAGUGUCUAGAGUCUGUUGAAUCAUGAAGUUCCGGUACGCCAUGGUGUGCUCCUCCAACCAGAACCGGAGCAUGGAGGCUCACGCGCUCCUCAAGCGUCAAGGCUUCGACGUCUCGUCGUACGGCACUGGAUCCCACGUUAAGCUCCCUGGACCUUCCCUCAGAGAACCCAACGUCUACGAGUUUGGAACUCCUUAUAAGCAGAUGCUUGACGAGCUGAGGCGAAAAGACCCUGAAUUGUAUCCUUCCUCUAAACUUGUCCUUCAAUUUCUUUCAAUGGGGGGUUUUUCAAAGGUUUUUGCUUUAGUUAUUGGUCAUAUUAGUAUAGUUAGUUAAACCAAUUGUGAAUUUUAUGAUUAUGAAAUUGAUAAUUGUAUGCUGCACUAGUAUGUGAUUAAGAUUUUAGGGUCAAUUCCGAGUUCUGUUUGCCAUUUUUUGAAUAUACAAUCUGGUAUUAUAUGUGUCAUGAACUUAUUCCGGUGGCUUUUGUGUGAUUGGAUUUUAUGGAUUAUGUGUUGGAGAGUAUAGAAUAGUCAAUGAUGUUGAAAACUGUUGUUGAUAGUAUGAGUACAUUGCUUCUGUUUUGUACAAUGUGGGUUUGGAUUGUGCUUGUGUGUGACUGUGUACUCUGCAUUGUAAACCAUGCUAGUUUUAUGUUGAGCCUUGACAAUAAGGAUGCAGGUACAAGCGGAAUGGCAUUUUGCCUAUGCUCAAGAGAAACGUGGCAGUUAAACUGGCACCUCAGCGGUGGCAAGACAAUGCCGCUGAUGGUUCCUUUGACGUGGUGAUUACUUUUGAAGAAAAGGUUUUUGAUAUGGUGGUUGAAGGUUGGUAAUGCUUCCCUUCUCCUAUUUAUGGCUUGUAUCAUAUGCAUUUCAAAUAUGUGGUAUAUCCCAAAUCAAAUAAAUGUACCUGUUCUGUUGUUAUUAUUUGCUUCCUUGGGAAUAUGUUUGUACUGCAAUGUUGGAACAUGAAUUGGUGGUAGAGCUGUUCUCGAUUCCUUAAUAAUGUGUCUUAGACACAGACUGCUGUACUGUAUGAAUGAGGAUGACAUAAGAUAAUGGGCAAUUCAACUUAUGUUUUUAAGUUCUAGGUAUAAAAUCCCUGUCAGCUUUAGUAUUAGUUGAGAUGGUUGCUGACACAUUAAAAUGAUAACAGCCAUCUUCUAAAUCGGAUCUUUGACAGACAAGGGUGAGUUGUAAGUAAAUUAGAAACUUGGAGUUUCAUGAUCCUGUUCAAACUUGUAGAUACAAUUUGCUUGGUAUGCUCUCAAUAGAUGGUUAAAUAUUAUGAAGAAAACAAGUUUAUUCUAUAGAGAUGUUGUAAUAAGGUUUCUUAUUCCGAGAGCUCUAGAGGGUUAAUUUAUCUGAAGUUGAAAGUUUUGAACAGUUUAGUACAAUUUUGAAGCUGUAGCUGUAGGGUAGGAUCGAAAACUGAUAUCUGCUGGUUUGAGAUUACAUGUUGUAGGCUUGCAUAUGGUUUCCAAGAGAAAGCCAUGGCUGUUGAGAGAUUCUUGUUAUGCAUAAAAGAUGGAUAUUGCCAACAUAAUGAACAGGGUUUUGGUUAUUUCCUUAUGAGUUUGACUUCGCUACGUCUCACAGAUCAUUCUUUACUGUUGAAGUCUUUUAAUUAAGCUUUUGUCAGAAGUUUGGAUGUUCUAGAGUUAUCUGUAUCUUAAUCGGGGACUUUGAACUUUAAGCAUCUGUAUUUGGCUUUUGUACCUAUUCAGAAAAGAAUAAUAAGUUCUCACUAAUCCAACUGAUAGAAGCUUUGAAGCUUGCUGCACCAUAUGUUUUUGUUCAGUUUAUAUUUCUAUGAAAAUACAUAGAGUAUAAAUGAAUAUGUAACUUGAAGACUCUAUUAGUUUGUCUAACCACUGUGUGCUGCAAUGUACAGAUCUUCACAAUCGGGACCAAGUGCUUAAGAAGUGUGUACUGAUAAUCAACUUGGAAGUAAAAGAUAACCACGAGGAAGCAGCUGCGGGAGCUCGUCUUGCUUUAGAUCUUUGCCAAGAGGUCCGUAUUUGAAUACUGCUCUAAUUGAAUUCUACAUUGUAAAACACUGAUUGAUCUCCUUUUUUUUCUUUUUUCUUUUUUCGGCCUAGCUUGAUGCGACUGAGUCAUGGGAGGAUUCAAUUGACGACAUUCUGAAUGGUUUUGAGAAACAACAUCGGCGGAAGUUACUGUAUAGCAUCUCAUAUUACUGAAUCUGUUAUGUCAGAAACAAAAAGUUCAAGAACCAAUUUAACCACUAAUUGCUCUCCCUAUUUUAACAUUCUUGCAUAAAGACUCCAAUUUCAAUACAAAUCUACCAUCAAUUUUGCUUGUAGUAACAUCCAUUUCUACUACCAUCCUCAGUUCUUUAUGUUGCAAGUUGCAACGAUCCAUUAAUGAGCUUAAGUUUGAAUUUUGCACUCUAAAGUUAUCGAUGGCCACUGCAAAAGUAACAGACUCGCUGCUUGGCAGCCACCUAUUGAAAACUAUGCAUCUUUUUUCGAUUGCUGAACGAAAACACACAUACACAUUUGAAAACUAUACCUAUAAACUGAAUGGCCAAGAUGUAGAUAUAAGAUCGAAAGGUGGGAUAAGCCGAAAAGUUUUCACCAAGUUCUUAACUUAAGGGUCCUCACUAGAAGAGUUUCCCAUGCGUUAUGUUGAAUUUCUAUGUGCAUAAACAUACAGGCGUUAUGCGUUAUGUUUAAUUUCUGUGUGCAUAAACGUUCAAUAAUAUUCGGGGAAGGAGAGCAAGAAUUAACUGAUGAAAAUGUUUUAUAUAAUAUUUCAGAGUAUUGAAAUUCUUUUUUAACAGAAAAAUUGAAGGCGGGAGAGAAAAUAAGCAGCGAAUGGUGAUACGUCACGUGGUGGCGUCAUCGGGGGCGCAGCAAAAACUUCAAUAACUGUGUGUGUGGAUUGGCGGUGGCUAUGUCCAAGUCUGAACUGUCAAAGAAAACAAAGAGAAAACAAGAAGAAAAAAGCUCUCUCUUGCUUCCAUUUGGGAGGAAGCGCCCCCCAAACUUUCAAAUCAUCCACUCCAUCGUUGACAUAUCAAAUCUCAACCCAAACACACAUUUCCCCUGAUUCUUCUCUCUCUUCCAUUUUCCGUUUUUCUCGCGAUUCCUCUAACCGCCGCGCCAUGGCGACUCCGGAACCGGAGGACGGGAAAAGCUGGGAGGAGCUACUGCGAAAGAUGCUACCUUCCGGCGCGCCGUUGCCGGACGAGGACCAUCUCGACUACUCCAUCGCCGUUGAGUACGUCGGCCCUCCGCUCUCCUACGAAGUCCCCAAGGUUGAUCCGGUCGACGUCGAUUCGCUUCACAGCGCCUCCGUCGUUUCGGCCUCGGCUUCCGAGCUUUCGUCGAUUCCGGUGGCCGAGCCGCUCGAUCAGAACCCCUCUCGGUUCAGCCGGAUCAGAAACGGCGACGCCGCGAACGAAACGCAGACCUCGACGUCGUUUUCGGUAGGUUUCAGCUCUGAGUUUUCAGCGCAGGACUCGAAUUCGGAGCCGAAACCGAUCGAGCACGACGGCGGAGGUGGAGGAAAGAGAGCGGCGGUUGUGACUUUCAACACGCCGAGAGAAUCGGAGACGGAGGACGACGGCGACCUGUCGGCUUCGCCGAAAUCGGAACCGGUGGGGUCGCCGGUGGCUUGGGCUUCGCCGAUGAGGUUAGCGAGUAAGAGAGGGAUUUGCAGCCGAUGUGGAAAAGGGAACAGAUUGAAGGAGAGGGAGUGGUGCUUGGUGUGUGACUCAAAGUAUUGUAGUAACUGUUUGCUUAAAGCUAUGGGCUCAAUGCCGGAGGGGAGGAAAUGCGUGAGCUGCAUUGGGCGGCCUAUAGACGAGUCCAAGAGGGCUAGUUUGGGCAAGUGUUCAAAGAUUCUUUCUAGGGUUUGUAGUCCUUUGGAGAUUGGGCAGAUAAUGAGGGCUGAGAAGGAGUGUCCGGCCAAUCAGCUCCGGCCGCAGCAGUUAGUUGUGAAUGGGAGGGAGUUGAGGGAAGAAGAGCUGGGUGAGAUUUUGGGAUGUGAAGUACCUCCUCAGAAGUUGAAGCCUGGGAGAUACUGGUACGAUAAGGAUUCGGGCCUCUGGGGGAAGGUAAUGGAUGAGCUUUUGAUGUGUUAUUGCUGGUGUUUCUUUUUUGGAUUUGUGUUUUUGAUUGUGUGUUUGAUUUCAGGAGGGAGAGAAGCCUGAUUGUGUCAUUACUCCGAAACUGAAUGUUGGGGGUAAGCUUCGGGCUGAUGCCAGCAAUGGGAACACUAACGUAUUCAUGAAUGGUAGAGAGAUCACCAAGAUUGAGCUUAGGGUGCUCAAGGUAUGCAAAAUCAGUGACUAGAAGCGCACAUUGACUGAACUUAAUCAACUUAUCUGUUAAUUGUGUCAUUAGUGGAAGUCUGAGCUUAUUAUUUGGUUCAUUUCAGCUGGCCAAAGUGCAGUGCCCUCCAGAUACGCAUUUCUGGGUGUAUGAAGAUGGUACAUAUGAGGAGGAAGGGCAGAAUAACAUUAAGGGGAACAUAUGGGGAAAGGUUCUCUCGUACCUGUGAAUGCUGGAAUUUUGUUGUCUUUCGUAGGAGUUUGAAAUUUAGAUAAAUGAGUUUGAGUCGAAUUUUAAGACAAUUGCAGUUUGGUUUUUGUCAGGCAGGCAUCCACCCGUUUCAUUUGUUCAUUAUUCUCAUUGCCUGUACCAUCUUGUAAUCAAAAUGGGGCAAGAGAAGAUCCUUCAGCACAACCUUCAAGUAGGUCCAUACCUGAAUACUUGGAUCAGGGAAGGGUUCAAAAACUGUUGUUAUUUGGCCUGGAGGGAUCUGGAACUAGCACUAUCUUCAAGCAGGUGACUUUACGUUUUGCUGCUUUUGCUCCAGUAUAUCCUUGCUGGGCUUGACAAGUGUGAUGUUGAUUAAAUUAUAUGACAAUUUAGAAUGCGUAGUUUAUCCUUCGUUUUCUCCACAUAAUAGGCCAAGUUCUUAUAUGGGAACGAGUUCACUCCUGAGGAGGUGCAGAACAUGAAGCUAAUGAUUCAAAGCAAUAUGUACAAGUACCUAAGUAUAUUACUUGAGGGCCGAGAACGUUUUGAAGAUGAAGCUUCAUUGGAGAAAACGUCUGAUUCGCCAUCAGGUCUCUAUUUAUUUAAUUGUACUAUUUUCAUUUUCUUCGUUUUCUGUUGGCAACACUGUUAAUAAGUUGAAACUUAGGAAACUAGCUAUUUGUUUGGUCCAUCUUUGCAAGUUGCAAUAUCUUCUCAUGACUCUUGAUACAUUGUGGUUGUUCAGUUAUGAGCUUGUACUAAGCCACGCAAACAGACUUUUGUUCCUUUGUUCUAUGGGUAAAAGGCUUUGGAAUCAGUAAUUAUGAAUUUGCUCUUUGCUAUGAAAACCAAAUGUAACAUUUGGUUUAUUUGUUUGCCUCCGUUUAAUAUCUCAUAUUACAUGGAUUUUGGUUGCUUUUAAUAUGGAUAGAAUAAAUUUCACAGGCAUGCUGAAUAGUACAUUUUUUUUUUGAAGAUUGUAGAGGAAACAUGUUUACACGUCUUAGGGAUAUAGAUGAUUUUGCUUAUUUGGUUCUCUGCAUGUAGGCAUUAAUGACCCUUAGAACAGUGGUUGACUGAAAUGAAUUUAUUUGAAACAGUAGUUGAUGAAAGUAAGCAAUGCAUCUAUUCAAUCAACCAAAGAUUCAGGCACUUUUCUGACUGGUUGCUGGAUAUCAUGGCAACCGGAGACUUGGAUGCAUUCUUCCCUGCUGCUACACGUGAGUAUGCUCCUAUUGUAGAUGAAGUUUGGAAAGAUUCUGCCAUCCAGGAAACAUACAAAAGAAGGGAGGAAUUACAUUUUCUUCCAGAAGUUGCCAAGUAUUUCUUAGAUCGGGUUAGUUAUACCUUGUUUUGUCCGCACAUCUUUUAACUCCUACUUCAACCAGAUUUAUUCUUUUAUUUUGUCCAUCAAUAAGGUUACACCUGAAUAUGUUUAAUCAUCUUGUGUGGACUUGACAGUGUCAUAACGACGUGCCAACAUAAACUUUUAUGGCUUUUCUUCUGUUGUUUUGUAACAAUUCCUAUAUUUAUUAUGCAGAGAAAAUGAGUCUGUCUUUAUUUUUUAACCAAAACAGAUACUGGACUGAAUUAUGAAAUAUCAUAUUUGUUAACACUGUUUAAAAUAUGAAUUUUAUUGAUCACUGAACUGGUAGUAUUCCACUAAUCGAAAUUUUAAAUUUAGGAUAUUCAGCUCUAUAACUAUCUAAUUUAUAUUACAUGGCAUAAAUGUGGUAUCAUUAACAGAUAGAUGGAUUCGAGCAAGCUGGAUAGGUUUUAUUAUUAUUAUUUUUUCUGAGUUUGACUACAUUUCAAAUCUUCGGGUUGUUAACCUCAUGGAUAUUGGUGUUUCAUUUGAACAGGCUAUAGAAAUAUCUAGUAACGAGUAUGAGCCAACCGAGAAGGACAUUUUAUAUGCUGAAGGAGUUACUCAAAGCAAUGGCCUUACCUCUCUAGAAUUUUCAUUUGACGAUAGAAGCUCCAUGUCUCAGCUAUACAACGAAAACUAUGAAUGCCCCCCUCCUCUAACCAAGUAAAACCUUUGUUCUUUCACCCCUAAUCAGAGUGAUUUCUGUCUUCUUAUCUUCUUUUUGCUUCUCCUGAAAUCAUCAAGCUAGUCCUCACAAGGUUUUCUUGUCUCAGGUACCAACUAAUUUGUCUUAGUUCUAAGGGACUGAAUGAUGGGUGCAAAUGGCUGGCAAUGUUUGAGGAUGUGAGGGCAGUGAUCUUUUGUGUUGCUUUGAGUGACUAUGAUCAAAUGUGGGCCCUUGGUAAUGGGCGUCUUCAUAAUAAAAUGCUGGCAAGCAGAGAUUUGUUCGAGAGUUUGGUGAGGCACCCUUGUUUUAGUAACACUCCAUUUGUUCUGGUGCUGAACAAAUAUGAUGCAUUUGAAGACAAGAUAGCCCAGGUUCCCUUGUCAGCUUGCGAGUGGUUCAAGGACUUCAAUCCUGUUAAGCCGCACAAUAAUAAUCAGUCUCUAGCUCAGCAAGCAUAUUACUAUGUGGCAGUGAAAUUCAAAGAACUCUAUUUGUCCCUGAGCGGUCAAAAGUUAUUUGUAGCGCAAACUCGAGCUAGAGACGGUAACUCAGUUGAUGUGGCAUUCAAGUACAUCAGGGAGAUCCUCAAAUGGGAUGAAGAGAAGGAUGAUAAUUUCUUGGGGAUAAAUGGGGAUGACUCAUUUUACAGUACAGAAAUGAGUUAUUCUCCACAUCUCAGGCAAGAGUAAAACCACUGUUGUGUUUGGCUCGGUCAAGUCAGCAUUGACAAGUGAAAGUUGAAGGCGUCAUGAAGGCUUUGCCAUUCAUGCUACCACCACUUGUAGAAGGUAGAGUAGCAAAUUGAUCGAUCACACUGGAAAAUUGUUUACUUAUUAAUUUCUUUUUUAUUGUUUCAUUUUUCGGUUACACGUCGAUUUGCUUCUUUCUUCUUCUGUUCUUUCUUUGUAGGCUGGAUGUGUAUUAUAGGGUAGGCCGGAUUUCUUUUCAAGCUUAUUUGCCAUUCUGGCUGAUUAGGUACACGAGAUGAAUAUCGGUUCUGUAAAAUAAGCUCAUUUUGACUGGAGAUUUUUUUUUUUUCUGUACAGUGCUUCAUAUGUGAAUAAAAGCAUAUCUACUGAAGAUUCUUACAUAACAUUUGCUUCAUCCCAAUCAACCCGGGUUUUAUGCAGCAUAUGUUUAUAUCUUAAUCCUGGUAUUUGGUAUUACUCACUAGUCCUUUAACCCAAAAACAAAGAAGAAGCACUCAAAGUCAAGACCAAUCAAGAAGGUAAAGAUAGCUAAGCUUGAUUUAAAAGAAGACCAGGACUUGUUCUUACAAACUUAUUAAGGUGACUUGAUUCUAUAGAUUCUCCAGUUAUGCAAGCAAGACUAAAAUAAGAUAUAGAAGCAGCUGGAGGUAUCGGUAUUGUGCAUCUCCUCUAAAUUUCAGAAAGAAUCGUAAUGUUCUUGGUCAACGCGUCAACAGCUCACUCACAUACAUUACCCUUCCUUAACAAGCUCAUAUAUUUCUACAACUUAAUUCGUUUACUCAUAAACGUAUGAGAGUCUAUGCUUUUACCAUUUCCUCUUUGACGGUUUGCGGAUUUUUAAGUUUUCAAACCUUCAACGGUCAACAUUCAAAUACUACUAUUUCUCACUAAAACCCUCCUCUUUCGUUCAAACUCCUCUCUAUAUAUGUACACGGCCUCAACUCUCAAACUUUGAACACGGCUGCGUGUGAAACCCUUCCCUACUACAACACACCAAUACAUAAAGCCCUUCACCUCCCUCCUAUAUUUCUCACAAUCACAAGCUUCAUUCUUUAGCUCUCAAUAUCUGAAAAAACUUGUACUAUACUACUAGCACUAAAAUGGUUUUGGGUUGGAGAAGAAGGCGCAGCACCACCAGCCACCGUGCCACCGCAGCGAAGAAGCAGCCUUCGCCUGGCAACCUCGACAUGGACCAACUCGUGAUCCCAAAGCAUUUUCUCUGUCCGAUAUCUCUUGACUUGAUGAAAGAUCCGGUCACAUUGUCCUCCGGGAUAACCUACGAUCGGCAAAGCAUUGACACGUGGUUGGAAGCCGGGAACUUCAAGUGUCCGGUGACGAAUCAGGUGCUGAGAAACUUUGAUAUGAUUCCUAACCAUACUCUCCGAACAAUGAUCCAAGAAUGGAGCUCUCAGAACCAACGCUUCGGCAUUCACCGUGUUCCAACUCCUAGAGUUCCCAUCAUGGCAGUUGAGGUGUCCGAGAUUCUGUAUAGCAUCACAGCCUCAGCGAGACGCGUGGAUCAAAAUGGCUGCUUAGAGAGCGUGCAGAGGAUCAAGAAAUGGGCGGGUGAGGGUGACCGGAACAAGAGGUGCAUCGUGGAGAAUGGAGCGGCCUCUGUUCUUGCAUCUGCAUUUGAUGCUUUUGCUAGCGAUGGCAUAAAGAAAAAUGGUCGGCUGUGUGAAGAAAUCUUAUCAGCUUUGAGUUGGAUGUUGUUUCAGUCAUUAGAUGAAGAAACCCAAAAGUACUUGGGAUCUCAUGCUUCUUUGGAUUGCUUGGUUUGGUUCCUCAAGGGUGAUAAAGAUCCUUUGGUGAAGCAAAACUCGAUUCUUGUAUUGAAAGAGCUUCUGUCUAGUUGCAAUGAUCAGAACAAACGUGCAGUUGAAGCAUUGGCAGAGAUUGAAGGAGUCAGUAAGAUACUUUUCGAUUUCAUCAAGGGGAAAGUUUCCAUGACAAUUACCAAGGCUUCUUUAACAGUAGUCUUCUACUUGGUUUCAUUCAGUGAGAAGUUCAGAUCAGCAUUCUUGGAGAUGGGUGUGGUUUCCCUUUUGUUAGAGACCAUUCUCGACUCGGAGAAUGGCAUAACCGAGAGGGCUUUGUAUAUUUUGGAUUGUCUUUGUGACUGCAAAGAAGGGAGAGAGCAGGCCUAUGCUAAUGCUUUGACUAUACCAGUUUUGGUGAAGAAGAUUUUGAGGGUGUCGGAAAUGGCAACCGAGCAUUCAAUCUCUGCUGUUUGGAAGCUGUGCAAGAAUGCGACUAGGCAAGAAGAGAGAGUACUUGUUGAGGCUCUUCAAGUUGGUGCAUUUCAGAAGCUGUUGCUGGUUUUACAAAUUCGUUGCGCAGGCGAAUAUGGCACAAAGGAUAAAGCAACUGAGCUUUUGAAGCUCUUGAAUCCAUACAGAGCUGGAUUGGAAUGCAUCGAGUCUGUAGAUUUCAAGAGUAUUAGAAGGUCAUUCUGAGAUUCUUUACAAAGAGAAAUUCUGUUCUUUGAUUUCUUUCUACUAAUUUAUACUUCAUCAAUUUGAUGAACACAAUCAUUGCAGACUGUUAAUUUGUUAGAAUAAUAAUUUGUUCUCCAGAGUUGUACAAUACUGCUAUUAAGUGGAAUUAAGAAAUGACAUACUAUUCAUUACUGAAUGUUUCUCACUUUCUUGUCUAGCUAUCUGUUUGGUUCCAUUUUCCCUUUAGAUGUCACACCAGUUAGUCACGAUGUUUAUAUCAAUUAAGUCAUUAAGCAGCGAUGGAUGGAUGUGUUUGCAACAUGGUUUAGAAAAAGAAAGUGCCGCACCUUAAGGGAAAAAACACAUGAUCAUGCACAUCCUUUUGCCCACCUCUUGGUGGCGACUGAACGUCGGCAUUGAGCAUCAACCAUCAGUGUUCUAAUAAAGACAAGCAAAAGAAGAAGAAAUAUUGUAAUUGCUUAGUUUUUAUUUAGGAUUAGGAGAAGUUGGAAGCAUACAUAUAUGUUGUUGGAUCUCAUAACAUAUAUAGGAACAAUAUAUAGAAAGAUGAAUGAUUUGAUUACUGGAAUAUAACUAUAAUGGAUGCACUUUUUUUAAAGUGUAAAAUUUAACAGCGUACAUAUCCACGCCUCAUGUUCAUGAUCGUGUAACGAUGCUAACGUUGGCUCUUCAAGUGAGGCUAAGCACAUCAAAGAAAAUGUUGUAUGCUCUUCCAAUCUUGUAUAAACCAACUCCCAAAAAGAAAACCAGAAUUUUCACCAAAAAUUUUAGACUACAACACAAGUUUCAGCUGAAACGGCACAUUUUAAUUAAUUUUAAACCCGACUUCGGUGACAAGGUGACCACAUCUAAUGAAUAUAAGACACGUGUUAAUUUUAAAAAAGGCUUGACUGUAAUUUAAGGACAUAACAAGAGGGUUUUGGGUAUUUAGUAUGUUUGUUUAUAAUUAUUGUUGACAAUUAUCAAUCUCUUAUUGGGGUUUGUCACCCAUAAAUGAUCAUAGCUGGUCACCCAAGUUAUUUCCAUUAAUUUCUCGGAGCGGAUUCAGUGCACCAUGGUGCACUGGAACCAAACGGAUUAAGUAAACGGUGUCAAAAAGAAUCAAACCACAGUAAAAUCUCAUAACUUCAUCAUCUCUCCCAAUCACUCCCCAAUUUCUCUCUGUUCUCCCCUUCCCUCUCCAUUACAUCUCAGUCCCUUUCAAUUCACCGCCCCCCCCGGCCCCGGUUUCCUCCAAUUCCUUCAACUCCCGACCGCGUCUCCGUCGCCGGGAACGGGUAAUUAGAAUGCUGACUGUCGCUAGUUGAUUAUGAUUCUGGGGAAUUUGAAAUUUUUGGGCUCCAGGGGUUUUGGGUCUAGGUAGAUCCCAAAUUGGGUAGAAUGGUUUAGAAGGUUUUGAAUUCCUUAUUGGGUGAAAGUGCAGCAAAAUUUAGCUCUGCAGUUUUGUUUCCUCAUCAAAGAAAACUAAUUGGGUGCCAGCCUUCCCAGCCAUCCCUCCCGAUUUCGUAUUGGGUGAAAGUUGCACAGUUGUUGCUGUGCCAACAAAUUUUGUAGAUGAAUCCGUCUUCAGUUUCUUUAAAUCAUAGGAUGUAGAAUAUCAUAUGUGCACCUUCUUCUUCUUCUUGAUCCUUCAGUCUUCUGGUACCUUACUUGUUUCUACAAGUUUUACCAUGGUUAAAUUUUUGGGGUUUCAAUUAUAUUUGACGGUGUGAGUGUUGAAGUUUGUUUCAUGUAGAACUUAGAUUAAAUCAAUGGCUGAGAUUGCAUUAUCACAGUUGGUUCACUUAUACCUCGGUGUAUACAAGAACUUUCGUUAAUUUCUCUAAAAUCUUCUAGUAAUUCUAAAACCGACCGAACUUAAAAAGAUCUAAGAUUGUCAAACUGUAUCAAUCCUUAAAAGACCUGUAUAUGUGUGUGUACGUAGGAGGGGGACAAGCUGUCAAAGCUUGCACAUUUGGAAUGUGAUUUUUUAUGCAUCUUUUCAAACAGCCUCCGAGUGGGAAUUUGGAAGGACUAGGAGCGGAGCCUUGUUCCAACUGUGGCACAUUUGGAAUGUGAUUUUUUUGUAUCUUUUCAAACACCCUCCGAGUGGGAAUUUGGAAGGACUAGGAGCGGAUCCUUGUUCCAACUGUGGCCAUAUACAAAACAACGGCGUAUAGUCUAAUUCGGCUACUUCGUUAAGAAAAGGCAAACAUUCAUGCUGAGACUCAUUUCGUCCAAUUCCAAAGUAUAACAAGAACACAAUCAAAUGUGAACUUAGUUCAUGCAAUUUUUCAAGAACAGUAGAAAGGAAAAUAGAUGCAGCUGAUUUUAGCACUCAUUUCGCAGACCAAAUGCAAUUCCGUCAUGAAAUAAAAGAGUGUGUUUGAUAGGUCAAUGCAGACGCAAAGUUAUGGCUAAUAUAUUAAGCAACCACCCUCCAGCGUUCAGAUGGGUCAAUGCAACCUGUAACUCAUACAAAAUCAUUCUCAUACUUCACGAAUCACGACUUCACCAGCACAAACAAUUCGUAUUGUAAUCCAAAUUUCAAACAGGCAUUCGUAUGCAUACUGAAAUUUCCAAAGCUGAGACUUUGCUUAGAUCUAAAUUUCAGUCUGGACUUUAGGCAUCUCGUGUCCGUUGCAAUGGAAGACCUCACUUUGGACAGAACUUGUUUCAUUAUAGCUUUUUAUGGUAUGAAGACUAGAACAGAAUUACAUUCACAUAUCUGAAAUCUAGAUUCACAUAUGUACAUAAUAAACGGUUCUACUUGUGCAGAAGAGAGAUCCUGCCUCUUAUGUUGCCCCUAAGCAGUUCAAGAUAACUACUGGACAACUCCAUUUUUACUAUAAUACUAUUCUUUGUACUACUGUUUAUAAUAAACAGUGUUUAACAGUGAUGGGUCAGGUGUUGGGCCUGGUUAAUCCUUGGGGGAUUACCAAGUUCCUACAAUAUGCAACAACAGGUUCAAAUUUCUAGCAUCUAGCUUAGUUAUAGCAUACACACGAGUAGCGGUGUGGCUUUGUUGUACCAUAUGCUUAAACAAGUACAUGAGCAGUCCAUUCUUUAAGGUAGUCUACUAGUCCUGUAGUCCAUAUCAAACCUAAAGUACCUGUGGGGAUGACGAGCAAUCGUCAACAAAAUCAAGGCCAAAAUGAUCACAUGUUCAAACAAAUUUCAUCAUCACACCAGUCAUGGACAACUUUGGAGCACUUUUAAGUAGAUUGAGCUAUCAUGCUAAAACACAUACUAGAUAGAUGUCUCCUGAUGGUUACCAGACAAAUUCAAAACAUUACAGUAGUACUAAGGUUUGGUUUCCCAUUAAUAUGAACUCAGUUGUUUCGGCUUCAAAAGAACAAUCAUACAUGAGAACAUACUGAACAGCUACUCUUCCUUGAACCUCUUCUCCACUUCCUCCAAGCUUUCAAUAUCCUUGUAGUACUUACAGAUACGAUAGAUACACCUGUGUAAAGAUUUGUACAACAUUUUAAACCACAAUAAAUCAAUUAGGGGCACAAAAGUUCUAUUUCAGAGAAAAUGUAAGGGAAUUUGACAGCUAACCAACAUACCAGUAAAGAAGACAUGCUGCAGAGCAGAGAAUUACAUUCCUUUGGGCCUUGUAGAGCUGCAUGACAUAUUUGUUGGUGUCAAGUCAAGAAUAAUGUUAUUUAGAAUGAAAGACUCAGAACUCACAUAUUUCAACUUCAUGACUGACAGAGGGCUAAGAACAUCAAACCAUAAUGAAGUUAAUACUGGACCGGUCAACUCUAUAAUUCUCCAAGGAAAUGGAAAAUGAUAACUACAUUAAGCUAUGUGAAUGGUGCAGAAGGUUGUUACUACAGUUCGAAGUCCUGAAUGGUUUCACAGGACAACGUAGGCUGCGGUAAUGCAUUGCCUUCUAACUACAGCAUUUGGUGGCUACUAUAGUAGGUUCCUAAUCACUCAGAAAAUCCUACGGUACUACAUAACCCAACUUCACUUCUUAAAACCUUGCUGAUCAAGUUCCACCCAACCAAACCGUCAUCUUGACUCAAUUGUGUGCCUCAGAUUAUGAAAACAAAACUUUCUGAAACUCAUCUAAAAUGAAGCUACAGUCAACAGUUCCUUCAACAUUCUCCAAAUGAGCAAACUUUUCCUCCACACUGUUCCUCAAUAACCCAUACACCAAGCAAGCCCGGAAAAGUAAGCGGAAUAGAAAUCGGCUCAGGAAUAAACAGUUACCAGGAUUUAAAUCAUUUAAAUAGAAACAAUCCUAACGAACAUUCGAAACAACCCUGCAAUCUAAUGCCAUAAAGUAUAAAUUCUAUAGAAACACUGACUUUAAGUCACUAAUCAAACAGAACAAUGGCAUCGUAGCAUCCAUCAUAUCCUACUAUUACUUUCUUUUUCAAUUUUCUUCAACAAAAUCAAAUUUCUCAGAAUCUAAACCACAAAAAAGUAGUUAGGAAAACUGACGGAUUUCUCAGAACGGUCUCGCUCAGCAGCAGUGCAGAUGUCUGAGGUGCACGUCAAACGAUGCUCCAUCUUCCAGUAAAUAUCUACACAAACAAACAAAAUCAAUCUCCAAUUCCAAUCUCUAGAAAUCAUCACAAAUCCCUAAAACGCAGAUCGUGGAAAUAAUAUCAUAGAAAUGAAACAGAGAUCGAACCGAGGAGCUGGAAUCCGGCGAAGGGGACGACGAAGAGCGCCGGCUGGAGAAUGAGAGAGAUCAAAGACACGAAGCGAAACUUCAACAGCUUCGGCGCCGGGAGAGUCAGGAGAAGCGCUAUCGCCGCCUCUGCCGCCACCACAUACGUCAGUAUCAUCCACUGCAACGCCAUUUUCCGAUUCUUUGUGUCAAAAUUCGAUUUCAAUUUCUCUCUGGAUUUAUUCUUCUUCUUUUGCAGCUACUUGUCUUAAUUGCCAAGGUAAGCAUCAAUCAAUCUAACCGUGUCGAUUUGUAAUCGGGUCAGUUCUCUCCCAGAGGCCCAAUAUCGACACCUCUUUGGGCCCAUCCAAAAAGUAAAUGGAAUUCAAGCCCAAUGUAAUUUGAGGUCCAAGGCCCAAACCUUAGUAUGAACGUGAUCCAGUACUCCUCAGCAUGCAUCUCCAUUAUUUGUUUCAGUACGUACCCUUGCUCAUUAUUAUGAUAUGAUCGGAAAAUGAAGGUUUAGUGGACCAUCUUAUCUUCUUUCGAUCACACCGGCCCCUUUGAUUAUGAAAAAUGCAGGUUUAGUACGAAUGAACGUGCUCCAAUACGAUUUCGACUCCUCAGCAAUCAGCAUGCAUCUCCAUUAUUAGUCUUGUCUUGUUUUGAGGUUUCGGCAACCUUGCUCAUUAUUAUGAUAUGAUCGGAAUAGUUGAGAAAGGAAAUGCAUGCAGGUUCAGUGGACCAUCUAAUCUUAUCUUUGGAUCGUACCGGCCCCUUCGACUCUGAAAAAUGCAGGUAGGAAGAUCAAGGGCUGGAGAUAAGGAUCAUUUCUAUAUUUAACCUAGCUAAUAGCGAGAGGAAAGCCAUAUCAUCACUACUUGCACUUCUCAGUACUUAAGUUGAGGUGAGGUUGAUCAUCGAUAAUUCGAUAUCAUGGCUGGUGGAGAAGAGAUUCAAGGAGUCAAUGUGUUACAAGCAUCACUGCUUGGCAAGUCUUUUGCUCUCAAGUCUGUGAACAACAGCAAGUACAUGCGGUUCCAAAGUGAAGAAGGUGAGAGGCAGGGCUUUGUGCGGUUCACAACAACCGAUGUUGUGCAGGAGCCCAGAGCCAAGUUUGAAGUGGAGGCGGCGGAUGGCGGCGCCACGAAGGGGAUGGUGCAUAUCCGGUGCUGCUACAACAACAAAUACUUGAGGAGGUGGGACAUCGACCACCACUGGAUUGUAGCCGGUGGUGACAAAAAGGUGGAAGAUCAAACCCACUGGACAUGCACACUGUUCGAGCCUGUGCUAGAAACACCGGCAGAUAGCGAUAAGGACACCAAGGCAGUCAUCCGGCUGCGCCACGUCCAGCUUGGACGCUAUGUCAUGCAGUUCACCCCUCAUGAGGACUUCAAAGAAUGCUUGUUCCCCAUGUCCGACAAGCCUUAUAACGGCAACUAUGAUCUCUUCGAAGUCCUGAAUUGGGCGUCCUUGGUGGUGCUGCCAAAGUAUGUUGCAUUCAAAGGCAACAAUGGAAAAUAUCUAAAGGCGGAUCCAAGUACUAAACAGCUGAGAUUCAACUCCACUGACAUUGGGGAGGAAGGUGUGGCAAUGGAGGUCGAAUCCUUUGCAGAUGGAUAUGUUCGCAUUAAGGGCUUUAAGCAUUCCGAUGGGCUUUACUGGGGUACUAUUCCUUGGUGGUUUAAUAGUCUUGCAAUGAAUGGAACGGUUGGAUCCGGAACCAGUCUAGAUCUCAAUACAGCAUGGUUUUUGCCGGUCAAGGUUGAAGAUAAUGUGAUCGCUCUCAAACACUUUUCUACGCACAAGUUCUGCCGUAGAGGUGUCACUCUCUACAUCGUUGAAGAGCCUGAGGAGUUCAUAGCUAACGCAAGUAGUAUUACAGAAGACACAAAACUGGAGAUGCAUGAGGCUGUUAUCAAAAGGACCAUCUCCAUGAAUUACCGCCUCGACGAUGCCAGGAUCUACAACUUGGCCCCCGUCGCGUUAGACAGGUUCACACACGAUAACCAUGACGACCAUGAGAUCUCUAAAACGGUCACGCUCACCUACAGAAAUGAUGUCACUACUAACUGGGAGGCCAGCAAUACGUGGACGGUGGGUGUUUCGGUCUCGAUCGAGGUGGAAGCGAUUCCAUUCAUCUCUAGUGUCUCCGUCGAAAUGUCGGCGUCGUUUGGCGGAUCAUACACUUGGGGAGAAGCAAAGACGCAGGGACAUGAUAUCUCGGAGUCGGAUGUGUAUACAGUGAGGGGAAAGCAUAGGCUGACUGUGAGCAAACUUGCCACAAGGGGUCAUUGUGACGUCCCUUACUCUUACGUUCAGACAGACUAUCUCCAAAACGGCCAAAUUAUCACCAGUGAAAAGGCUGAUGGCGUUUUCAGAGGCGUCAAUUGCUUCGACAUCCACACCGAGUCCGACCAAACACCACUGUGAUCGAUCAUCCUAGCUAUCCGAUUGAUUGAUUGGUAGUAAAUCAAUCGCAUGAUUUGUUGCUUUCUUAAUUAUUGCUUUUGGUUUUCUUGUCAUGAAGCUAAUAAAGGCAAGCUUGUUGCGUGUGCUAACACAGAUCAACGGCUGCAACCAGCUAGCUAGGGGUUUGAUUGGUGUUUGUUGCUUUGGAUUUUCAUUGUUAUGCAAUGUACGUUGUUGAUUAAUAAAAUCUCUGUUUCGUUUUACGUUCUUGGUUUCUUGAGAGUGUUCAAGUAUAUCGAUCUUUGUCUGAGGCUGAGAUCAGGUUCAUCAAACACAAGGGUAGGCUGCCAACCCAAACUGAAGGGUACUCGACUUCUUUACCAAAGGUUGCAUGAUACCAUAUUAAUCACACAAGUUCACCUCAUUCGUGAGUCGUGAUAGCAAAGUUCAUAUUUAAGAGGAACAAUAUUAGUGACUCUGCGGCCUUCAGUUAUAACCGCAGUGAAGAUGGAUUUCUUGAUUUUCUUCCUCAUCUAAGAUACAGCUAAUAAUUCUAAUCGAAUCGUGAUCUUAAUUAACUUAAUGAAGCACAUUUGCGACUAGAGAACUAGCUACAGACGUGGAUACUUCUGUCUUCUGCUCCAUACGUACAGUAAUAAUGUAAAUUCACUACAAGCUAUCUAGAAACUUACUUCGAUCUAUUUUCAUUUUUUUUCUUUCUUCAAGCCUCCAUUGCCUCACAGAUGAUCACAUCAACAGGUAAUUAAGCAGUUAGAAGAGUCUGCAUUAUAAUACAGUUAAGUGAGUUUACAAACCUAACUGACUACUUGAGAACCAUCAGAGAACUCUGACAACUGAGAAAGUCUUGUAGAUUCGAGCAAUUGCAUCAGUUUCUUGUUUCCACCUAUGCGGGCUUCAUCAAGUGGAGUUUUCCCCCAUCUGCAAUUCAGCAAGUACAUACAAUAAAAGGUUAAACAUGUUGCUGUACAAACUCCUUCGCAGUACUUCUUGCGCUUUUACAGAAAAUUGUACGCGAGUACGAUUAUUGGUUGCUAUGUUAUUAUUGGAGCUUGUUUAUAUUCUUAAAACACUGCUAUCAAUUCCUAUCAAAAGGAUAAGCCACAGUACCCAAUGCAUAAGCAGCUGAGAUUCUAAGGUUUCAGGACAUAGUAAUUUGAGGCACAAGAAUUAAUAAGAGUUGGUUGCUGACCACAACUCCCCAUUUUUGUCAUACUUCAAAGUUUGCUUAGUUUCAGAGACCAGGACAUCAGUUAGAAGUUAUAAUUAUCUGACAAACAAGAUGAAUAUUCAGAUUGUACCUGUCAUUUGAUAGAACACUCGCUCCUGCUUCUAAUAGUAACUCUGCCGUUGUAUACAACCCUUCUGAAGCAGCUAUAUGUAGUGGUGAUCUCUGAUCGUAAUUUUUUGCAUUAGGGUUCAUGUCAUUAGCUAAAAGCCUUUUCACGAGGUCCAAAUCCCUCCUUGCCACAGUAGCGCAGAGAAAAUCACCAGCAUCUUCAAUAGUAAGUGAUGCCCCUGCCUGAACAAGUAGAGAAGCAACUUGAUCAUGCCCAUUUUUGAUGGCUUCAAGCAAGGGAGUGUUCCCAAACUUAUCUGGUACAGCAAGUAAUACAGAAAGUUAGUCAACAUUAUAUUUCUAUUGUGCUAUUAACGUACUAGUGUGAUUUCCUUCAGAUCAUACCUGAUCUGUUUGAAAUUCUUUAGAGAAUUUGUUAAAAGGUUACCUGACAUCUUGACGUCUCCCCCUUUUUCAAUAAGAAAACGAGUAAUAUCUUCAUACCCUUUUGAUGCAGCAACAUGCUGUUCGAAAAAGAUAAACAUUGAGAGAGUCUCACGAGAAUGUAAAGCAAUUUAGUGACUACACAUAUAUAUUAGUCAUUUGGAUUCAUACCAAGGGGGAUCUUCCAGCAUAAUCCACCUUAUUUGGAUCUACACCAGCUCCAAUCAAACGUUUUACUCGAUAAAAAUCUCCAUCAUAAGCAGCGCAGUUUACUUUCAUAACCAACUCCAUUUCAUGUUUUCCAAUGUAUAGAGUGAUAUCUGAUUCCAAAAGCUUUUUCCGAGUAUUCCAGUCUUUUCCCUGUGAGUUGAGAAGCAAAGCUAAUUACAUUAUACAUUUGGAUUAUGGGUGGAAGUGAGAAAUGAAGACUACUACAAUGUCAAGUAUAUUUACCUCAAGCAGGUUAUCCAAGAUAAGCCGGCCAUCUAAGAAAUAUAUCUCCAGGAUUUCUCUGAAGGACUGUCUAUCAAGUCGUAAAACUCUACACAGUUCGCAAACCUGAACAGCAUACGGUUGGGGAGUGUUGCAAAGAAAAGAAACCUCUCCAAAUGAGCUAUAGGUUUUCAAACGCUCAAGGGGCUCAUCAUUGUCAUCAUCUUCUCUGCUUCCCUGCUUUUCCUACAAUGAGUCUUGAAUCUAUUAGGCCUAUUGGUUCGAAAAUAAGCAUAGUAUAGUUUCCUUUAACCUUCAGAUUUCAUAAAAAGGUAAACUAAUCUAGUACUGAAUGUAUCUUAUAGAUGCACAGUUGCACACAGGCAAACAGAGAAGGGUAUAUAUGUUUGAGCAUGGUUGCAUGUAUGCAUAGAUUUAUGCAUAUAGUUAUAUGUAAUUGAAAGCAGCUACUAAGUUUGGACCAGAGUAACUAUUAAAUUUGACAACAGCGCAUAAGAUGCAGAUAGCUAGGUUUUAAAUCAAAAGUAUAAAAUAAAAUAAAAGUUGAGGGAAAAUGAAAGGGAUGUUCACAAUACCAGUUCACCAUGGCAUACUAUAUAUAGGUGAUCAACUACAUCCCCCUGCUCUAUAAUAACUUCUUCUGGAAGAAAAAACUCCUCAUGAAUCCUUGUUGCCUGAUAAACGAGUAGCAUAAUUACAGUUCUUUCCUCUAAAAGAAACCGAUAGUGCAGAAUGAUUUAAGGUGGUUAUAAAAAUAAAAUGCCAAAAAUUACUGAAGAGCAGUGGCUUACAAUCUGUUUUAUGAAUCCUGUAGAGCACCCUUUAAAAAGAUGAACUUCUUUGAUGUAUGGCUCAUACAAUUUCUGUGAAAUCUGCAGUAAAGAAACCAAUAAUGUAUCAAUUCUAACAAAUAACAAACCGAUUCUAAGGAUCACAUUCUUUGCUUAAAUGCUAUAUCCACAAUUUCAGCCUGCUUGAGUAUAUGUAACAUUAGGCCUUAUGAACUUAAAGGGUGAUCAAUACCUUACUGCGAAUAGAGGCAGGAAUAUCCUGAAGAACAGCAGCUUCGGUGUAGCUGCGGUCAUACUGUAAUCUCAAAUGGUUUUUAAUUUCCUUACUUAUCCCUCUAUCAAUACUGUUUCUACUCAUGUAUUUGAUAAGGUCAGUCAUCUUGUCCCUAAACUUCUCUGUUUUUGAUCCUUUCACUAUCAACGCCGCUAUGUUACCGAGCAGAUAAGCACCAAGAAUCAUAUCAAAGGACACAUAAAACAUGAUGAAUAUCAUCUCCCUCGCAUUCACCGCAUGUACGUCUCCAUAACCUGAAAUUGCAUCAUGGAAUACAAUCAGUAAGUUAUAGCAUAUAUACUUAUCAAGUUAUACAGAGACAAGUGAGCUUAGAAGCUUAAAUUACCAACAGUAGCCAUGGUAACAACUGCAAAAUAGAGCGAUGUUAUGUAACGCUUCCAAAGAUCAAUCUCUCUGAAAUGCGCAUAGCUAUAGUCACCCAUCUUCAAACUCCCAAUCCAUGUGUAACCUUCCCUUGAUGGAGGCAUAGUAGUAGCCAGAUAGUAAAAUAUGCAAGCAGCUGUGUGUGUGCUAUAAAGUUCAACAACAAAAAGUUUGGCAAUUCUAGUAAACAGGUAAUUGAUUCUGAUAUCUUUCUCCAGUUUCUCAAAAAACUCGGUCACUCUCUGUGCCCGGCUUAGCCGUAUCCACAAUAAGUACCUCACCCACUCUUCUCUCCCAGAGGCCUGCACAGACGUACUCAAUGGUUCAAACUAAAACAAUGUCCAAUUCCAUCUACAUUGUCAUAGAAUGUUUAUUAGCAUGUAUUCUAACAAUUUAAAUUUAGGAAAGUGAAAUCCACUCUCCUCAAAUUGUAAUCCACACUCUCACUUUCUAUUUUUGUUAAUUUAAAUUUUGUCUUUAGUGACUUAACUUUUGUCUUCUUAUGAAAAAUAAUGACUAAAAAUAUAAAAUAAAAGUGUGGAUUAUAAUUUGGAGAGUGGAUUUCAACUCCUUAAAUUUACCAUUCAUUGGCUAUAAGGACAUUAUCCAGAAUAAUGGAGUGGCAAAGUGCCUGACACACCAAACACGGAUCUUACGUUUUUGGGUUUUGCCCUGUCUAAGCCAUGUAAGAUAUUAGGUUUUAGGUUUAGUUAUGUCUACAUGUCUUCAUGUCGCCGUGUCGCCGUGUCAAGAGUCCGUGUGAAUGCAACAUAGUUUUCUCUUAUUUAAAUAAAUAUAUCAACGGCGGUUAAUAAAAAAAAUUAAAAAUAGAAUGAAAAACAUACAUACCUUGUAGAUGGCAUCCCAGGGGAGGCAACCAAGGAGAUCGACGACGAAGCGAGAUUUGAGGUACCGGAGAGCGAUGAGGUGGCGAUCGUAGACAAUGCGAUGGGAAUGGAAGUCACGGUAGGCCACGAAGAAGCGGACGGUGAUAUCGAUGAGAAAGGCUAGCUGACCGACGCUGUCGAGCAUGAACAGAUUCUCCGGCAGACCUCUGAAGAAUCCGAACUCCAGAGGUGUGAAGAAGGAGGAGUAGACUGCCCAUAACAAAAUGAAAUGCGUCCAACCCACGUACCACCUGCGCGCGUAACAGUCAAAUUCACCUCCCUGAGGGUUUUAUCUGUCUUGGGCCACAAAUAUGAUGAGCCCAACCCAGAGAAACUUUUGGUGAUAUGGGCUUAAUUAAUAGAGUCACAUUCUCGUCCAGGAAAAGCUGAUGAACAUGAACGUUCUCGUGCAUAAUAGUACUUUCCUGAUGAUAAGUAUACUCAUCCUAAAUGAUCCUACACCACAUGUUUAGUGAGAUGCCAUCUAUCUGAACUAAAUCACGCCUUAAACCUAGCUAAUCAAGAACCAGUUUUAUCAGGUGGAAGAUGUCAAAAAUCGGCAUGGCAUAAAUCGGAUUUCGAGCACAGCGAAGUGGAAACCCUUUAUAAGCUUAAUGCUAACGGAGAACAUGAUUGUGAGUUUGCACAGGUAAAAAGCUAGUAAUAAUUAAUAACACGUAGUAUAGCGAGCAAGGAAAAAUCGAUUAACUAAUAACUAUAGGAGCGUACCAGUUAUCGGGAUGAAUGACCAUUCGACGGAAAAGCGAACCAGAGGCUGAUGAUGACGAUGAUGUUCCACUUCUGCUUGCAUUGGCCACGGCAUGAGUACUCUGAUCAGCAGUGGUACCAUUAGUGCUGGACUCACUCCUCUUCAAAGAGAACCGCCUUUUCCACCAGUUCGGUCUUGACGAAGACCUCAUGAUGAGCUCGUCGUCCUCCACCUCAAAUCCUUCAUCGUCAGAGGAGUCGUGGUGGCGGUGAUCGUUUUCCCCUCCCGACGAUAUUCUCCUUUCAUGAGCUCCAUGCAUUUUUUUUAUCUUUCAGGUCGAGUCUCCGACUGAAAAUAUUGUAUUAUUGUCCAGACUCCAGACCAAGCUAUAUAUAAUGAAGAAGCAAACAACAAAUUGACAGAAAGUUAAAUAAUUAAGUGCCAUGUCCAAUAUGUUUAAAGAUUGCUAGCUGUAUUUUAUCUAUCUGUGCCAGAAUUUCUAAAUAGGGUACACUCUUUAAUUGUGGUGACAAAAAGAAUCCCAGGGGUACUAAUAGCUUUGAUUUAAUCCGGCCAAUUAAUCAGAUAAGGAGUUAAACCUAAUUAAAACGUAAAUUCAUUCACUUUCCUUCGUUUGAUAUUCUUUCCUUUUUUCAGCUUUAAUCUUUAGGAAUCCAAAUCUUUUUUUUAAGAGCAUCUAAGCAUCCAUUCCAAUGAACAAUAAGAAUAUAAGAUUCUUCAAAAACGAAACUAAAAGAUCGAUGGAAGAGAAAUAGUUAAUGAUGAGAGGCUAGCUAGCUAGAGGACUUGACGGAUGUAAACGAAUUUAUAUAUACUGACAAUGAAUUCAAAUGGAAGGGACGUACACUAGCUGUUGUCGGAGGAAGAGGAUCGAUCUGAGUAGCAUAUCGCAUAAAUCUUAUUGCGGAACCAUAUAUGCCUUAUAAGAAUUCAUAGAUCUUUGCAGAGAAGACGCAACUCUUGAUUGAUUAACGCAAAUAAAAUUUUAUGCAGUGUUAUUUACAACGUUAAUUUGAGUGACCCGUUAAAACCUCACAUAUAACGACAUCAACUGGAGAGGUUAGAACCAUAAUCUAUUUGAAUCUUGGUUCUGUUAUUGUAUGAUUUAAAUCCAAAACCCAGCAGUCCCAGCUCAUGAUAUUAACGUCCUUGAUUUCCUAAUUAUACCAUUUCCUGUUACAAAUUCUUUCCUUGUUAAAGGAGAAGAAGAAGAAGAAGAUAUGGAAUAUUUUUCAGUCUCCUCUUAAACCUUCCAUUCAGAAAGAGUGGACCUUUUCCCUUUCCCUUUCUCAUGUCGAUCUGUAUGUCUUCAUCUUCAGCGAGGAUUCUUCCAAUAAAACUCAGCUAGCCUCGUACUGCAUGCAGCUAAAAAUUCAAUACGAGUUUGGGUAAGCGACUUGUGGUGGACGCGCGUGCUACAUAGUUCUGAAACAAAAAGUAGAUCUCCGUAGCAUAACAUAAAUAUAAUUCGACGAUACUGCCAAACAUAAUUACCAAAAGUAUAGUUAGAGAAUAAAUCCGACAUCACUCAGUUUUACCAUACCAUUAGCUAGGCGAAAACGAUCAUUUGAGAACAGACAAAGGCACAUUGAGUGCAACCGAGGCACAAAGCCAGACAAGCCCUACAUAUAACAUAGGCUCUUAUUGCUCGCUAAAAACGUAACUUAACUAAAGCAAUAAGUAAAAACAGAAAAUAAGACAAUACCUAGGGCUGAGCCCAAUAGGAGUGCCCAAACCCAAGCCUUAUUCACGGAAACAAGAAAAUCGUAAGCCGCAGUCAACCAAGAAAAUCGUAAGCCGUCAAGUCUCAACCAAGAAGGAAGACAAGUAUACGUACUACGUAGGACUUGACGACUUGUUGACAUAACCAGCAUUAUCAGUUUUAUCACGCAUGACGCAUCAAAGUCACAAUCGAUUAAUGGAAAAUAGGAAGUACACAGCGAAGCAACAGCUAGCUCGAUCACCAAGUGAUGACAAAUUUGUUAUGUUUUCUUUUUUGGACAAAAUAAUCACUUUAUAUAUAUGGUGCAAAAUGUAAAACAAAAAUCCCAUUCUCGUCUUCUUCCCGAUGAACCAGAUAUGCGAUAGCAACGUCCAGCUUGUUGCACGUUAAUUGGGAGCUUCAUGGCUUGCCACCAUAAUACUACUGCAUAUUGUCAUCAUCAACUCACAACGUAAUACCUAAAUUAUUUACGUCAUUUAUAAAAGGAUAGCUAGCUCGCCCAUCUUUGUCAUUUAUAAACAUGUUUAUUUUCUAUAUUCUUUAGAUACUUAUAACCACUCAUCAUAUAUAUAAACAAACAAACGAGAGUGGUGACUAUCUUGCCUCUUGCAUAAUUGCAUUGUCAAUUUUGUCAUCCUCUACUUUACAUGCAACUCAUUGUUAAUUUGUCAAUUUGACAAUGACAAUAUAUUAUAUAGCGCACAAUAUAAUAUAUGGUAAAUAUUCAUUUAGUACUAAUAUUAUGGACUUAUUGCUCAUUUCAAUAAAAAAUAAUAUAUGAUUACACAAUAUUUCACUACCUUAAUUAAUUUGUUGUUUUAUUUAACUUUGUUGAUCACUUAGCAAAAACUAUAUAUAUUACCUUAAUUUCUAGGGUGGUGGAAUAAAGUUGUUGGAGAACAUUAUUGCGGAAUGUUAAAAACCGUUAGAAGAUAUUUUGGGUUACCGAUUUUAAUUAUAAUAAACUAUAUAUUAGUUACUAAUUAAAUUUCAGUUUACAAAUAAAUCAUUUACACAUUAUUUUACACAUUUAAAAACAAAAAUUAACAAAUUAAUGUCCACAUGUUAUCUGUCACUAUGUAUUUUACCAGAAUACCCUUUACUACUAUUUACUGCUACUAUCGUCCAGAAAUGUGCUACUGUCGAUGAAAUUGCAAUUUUUUCCGACAAUUCUCCAAAACCACAAACCUGCUACUAUCUAUUUAGAAUCUGCUACUGCUCUUGUUGUCGACUCCAGAGCUGCUAUUGUUAAAUUUUACUACUCAUCUGUAAAUUUACCCUUCUAAUAGUAGUAGAAAAUUACCCUUCUAACAAAUCUCAAGACCAACGGUAACAAUUAAUUUACCGUUCAAACAAACCACAGCAGUAGCAAAUUACCCUUCCAAUCUCAACAGUAGCAGCAAAAGGACAAACACACAUAUACAAGCUAUGAUCACCGUCGCGUCCCUCAUACAAACACAAAUCACAAAGAAGAGAUGAGAGAAAACAGAUAUGAUCCAUUCCGAUCUCUACGACUAACGAACCUUUGAUUCAAUGAUCUCGCCAAAGUGAGCAGAGGCCUUCUCGAGCGCAUCGAUCGUUUUCAGUGGCCCAGCCGAGCCCUCCGACAAAGCAACAUAAUCUGGAAAUCGUCGUGGAUAGGAAUUGAGCUAGGGAUUCGCUGGGUAUCUGGCUGUCGAAACCGACAUCGUAACUUGCAUGAUCUGUAGCGAUCCGACGAUUGGCAAGUUGGUGGCAUGGCGAAAUUGUAGAAGAAGAUUCAGUUGGUGGUUGAGAGAGAGAGAGAGAGAUAUGAAAUCAUCUCUCAAAACACACCUAAUAUGAUUUUUCUAUAUGAUAUAUCAUGUACAUAAUUUGUAAUAUAAAAUCGCACUGCGGUACAAGACCUCAAAAAAAGAAGAAGGAAAAAUGAGUAAAAUAAAUAUGGGAUGUGAUCAAAUAUUAGCAAGCAGGCCCUAAGCUAUUUUCUUAUCUCAUAUCAUGUAGCAGUAGAGCAACAAUGACGUCGGAUACGAUGGAGGAAAGGGCCACCUAUGUGAUGACACAAUAUAGGAGCCUAGAUAUAUAGGAGGGCAACUAUCCAAAUCAUUUUCGACCAAGUUCAAUGCACACCUGUAUAGUCACUUCAAUCCGUCAUUCACAACUUGAUCUGCUAAACUUAUUCAUAACUAUAGAAACCAACCCGAAACGAAUUUAUCUAUAUAUGAGGAAAUUUAGAACACCCAAAAUUAAUAUAACAAUCGAUAUUCUCUUGUUGCAUGCAUGUAUAUCUAGCUCUAAUGUGUGUAAUUAGUUUACUAAUUUGAAUAUCAAUCAUUGCAAAAGAAAAAGGCAAUGGUUUCUAUUCAAACAAGAAAAGAAAAAGGCAAAUGGUCCUCUAAUAGUUUACUCGCACAAAACGGAAUCGUGAUAUCAUACAUGGCUCCCUCCCACCAAACUCAAUGAUACGGAGAUGAAAAAAGAACAAAUAUAUACCAAAAAAGAAAUAGAGAAAGACCUAUGCCCCGUCUCCGCCCGAAAGCAUGGUGCUUAUUAAUCAAACAUAAAUUCACAUGCACCUAAUUUUUUUAAAUACUGCUGAUGGCUUAUCAAGAUUCCGGUUUAUAUCGAAACUCGAAUUUUGUAACAACAGUUAUGUUUUAAUAAACACCUCAUAAGAUAAGAUCAUGUGAUCAAAAUUACAUAUUAAUUAUGAUUUACAUUAAGAUUAGUUUAAGACAACGGAGUCAAAAUUAUUUCAAGCUAGUAAUGAAGUUCCUUGCAGGUCUUUGAGAAUUUUUUCUUUAUUUCCUUUUAAGAUUGGUUGUUUUGGACUUCAUUUAGUUUUCUUUUAGCUUUUUAGCCUGUCUUUUUGUUUGGAGACCUCAAAAUUAUUAAUCUCUUUAACCAAUCCAGAGGCUCACCAACUAGUUUUAAUGCCCCUUGAUUUCUAUUUUUUCUCUUAAUCAAAUCAAGAUCUAUUUUGAUGAAAACAAAAAAGGAACCAAAUUAACUAAUGAUAUUGGAGUUUGGAGUAGACGAUGAUCCAAAAGCCACUUGCUAGAGUGAUGGGGAGAGAAAGAGCACGUAAUCCAUUGCCUUGAACUCAUCUGAUUAAAAUAAUGGAAGUUUGAUAAGCAAGAAAUAGGUAUUUUAUACCAAAGUGGCGGGCUAUCCACUAGGGCAUGCAAUUAAAUCACAUGUCUAUUUUAAACAAGUAGCCCUAAAAUAAUAAUAACAACAAUGGACCUCACCCGUCACCUUUUCAUCGUUACCCUAGCUCGCUCCCUCACUCGACUCAGUUUUCUGUAUAUAUCGGAAAGCAAAUGGACCCACUCCCCCUCCAUAUCCAUCCACCUUCCUCCCACCACUCCACUCCAGCCGGCCGCUCAUCUAGUCCCCACGUGCUUUUUUAUCCCCACUUAUAUAUAUAACCACCUCACCUCCUCCACAAUCUAAUCCCAACCGGCCUAACCUCUCCCUCUCUCUUUCUCUCUUCUUCUCCCACUCAACUCCGAUGGCUCUCAUCCGGGAACGCCGCCAGCUCAACCUCAGCCUCCCCUUGCCGGAGCCCACCGAGCGUCGCCCACGUUUCACUCUCCCUCUCCCUCCCGCCGCCGUAGUCGCCGCCGCCAACUGCUCCUCCUCGUCUUCCUCUUCCGCCGCGGUAUCCGCCUCCGACCUCGAAAGACUCGAGGUCCUCGGCCACGGUAGCGGCGGCACAGUCUACAAAGUCCGCCACAAGCGCACGGGAGCUAACUACGCCCUGAAAAUAGUGAAAGGCGACUCCGACCCCACCGUCCGCCGCCAACUCUACCGCGAGAUCGAAAUCCUCCGCCGCACGGACUCCCCCCACGUCGUCCACUGCGACGCCAUAAUCGAGAAGCCGACCGGAGACAUGUGGAUUCUCAUGGAGUACAUGGACUCGGGAACGUUAGAGAGUUUGCUCAAACAGCAAGGCACGUUCUCCGAGGCCAAGCUCGUUCACGUUGCACGUCAAGUCCUCAACGGGCUCAACUACCUCCACGGUCAGAAGAUCAUCCACCGUGACAUCAAGCCGGCCAAUCUGUUAGUCAACAGCAACAUGGAGGUCAAGGUCGCCGACUUCGGCGUCAGCAAAAUGUUGUGCCGAACACUCGACAACUGCAACUCGUACGUUGGGACUUGCGCUUACAUGAGCCCCGAGAGGUUCGACCCCGACACGUACGGUGGAAACUACAACGGCUACGCUAGUGAUAUAUGGAGCUUGGGUUUGACUCUCAUGGAGCUUUACAUGGGUCACUUCCCGUUCUUGCCUCCGGGUCAAAGACCCGACUGGGCGACCCUUAUGUGCGCCAUAUGCUUCGGGGAGCCACCGGCGCUGCCGGAGGGAGUGUCGGAGGAGUUUAGGAGUUUUAUGGAGUGUUGCUUGCAGAAGGAGUCGGGGAAGAGGUGGACGGCGGCUCAGCUUUUGACCCACCCGUUCGUUUGUAGAGAUCCGAAAUCGAUUCGGUGAAGGAUUUGUUCAUGUUUGUUGGUGUCGAAUAUCCGCGCGGCGGAAUCCGAUUGUAAUUAGUAGUCGGGUCGCCGGGUUUGACAUAACUUUUUGGACAUUUCUGGUUUAUAGGAUAUUACUGAGUAACAAUUGUAUAUACUUGCCGGAUUCGGAUUCUUUAAUCUUGAGUUCUUGUUUCUUCAUCAUGUUCCGUUUUGUCCAUGGUAUAAGAAUCGAGAUAAACACUAUCCCAAAGGAAAACAAUCGAAAAAACAGUUCAUAUAUAGCUUCUGAAACAUGUUCUCAAGCUCCAAUAUCCGUCCCUAAUAUCCUUGAGGAUAAAUUAUUCUCUGGUUCAGGAUACAAUUCUGGUUGAACCGAUGACAAAAAUAUCUUUAAUAAACGCUAAAAUAUUACAAACUAUGAAGGUGAUACAUUAUACAUAUGAGUGAUUCACAAAAUUAUUAGAUAUAUGAAAGAGUUCCGGAUCAUGGGACUCCAAAUGUCACAAUUCCUGAUAUUUCUAAAUUAUUUCGGCUCUUGAAUGCAAGGCAUCGAGGUAGCUGAUAGCUAACUACUAAACUGAUUGUGUAAGUGACUAAUGGUCAGAGUUUCAGAGAUGUACACUUAAUUACUAAGUUGACGAGCUACGAAAAGCUAGAAAAAGACCAUGCCACGAAGUUUCACAUCUAAAUUCUUAUAAUUAUUAUCGACUUGACUAUCUGUGGUGGUCAGACUCUAUCCUAUUGAUCAUGCGUUUUACAACAUGGUCAUCAAUAAAAAUAAAUAGAUUGUUCAACUUAAAUCAAUUCUACGAUCGAUUUGUUUAGGAAACGUUUUAUUUAUAAGUCAAAAAUUGGCAAGAAUGAUAGCAACUUAUGGACAUACUUUUUUUUAUUUUUCCGAUUAAGAAACAAACUUACAACGAAAACACCACAGAUAAAGCCAUUACCUACAAGAUCAAAUUGAGGGGGGAAGCUGAAAGGACCAAAAAAUACAGCUAGAAAUAUAUUUGACUUAAAUUUGCUAAAUCAUUAAUUUGUUCAAUCAAAAAAAAAAAUUCAUUAAUUUGUCAGGAAAUUGGUUUCUCCCCAAAUAUGAUUGAAAGACACCGAUUAAAAAUGUAACUUAUGGACAUACGUAUUACGUACUUGAUUAAGUCUAGUCAAUCAAAUUUGAAUUGCAUAUUGCGCGCGGUAUGGAACAAAAUCUGGCAGGAAACUGGCCAAAUUUUAUUGGUUUGAAAUUUAUCCAUGAUUGAAUAAGAACAGUCGGUAGCUAGUUUGGCUAAACCGUGCAAGAAAUAUACAAUACGUUGCUUACAAGUUACAAUUCAACCAUCAAUUCCUAGAUUUUAUUAACGAGAAAGAAGCACAAUGAUUUGCUGCAUGUAGGUCCAAACUCCAAACUAAACGUGCUUAUAAUUGUAGGUUAUUGUUUAAGGAUACUAAUUAUAUUAACAAUUUAUUAACCAUAGUUAGGUUUGCUUUUGUUGUUGUUUUGUUAAUACUUGAGAGAGAUGGUUCUACUUCUACGAAGCCUCCCAGUUUGCAAUUCUACAUGUAAUUGGCCAGUGAUGAGAAUGAGAGCCUCUCCAAGUAAGAGUUGGUUUUGGGUGGAAGAUGACUAGAUGAGCUAGCUAGAGUAGCACGAAAGUGGGCUGAGAUUUGAGAUAGAUGUUUCGGGACACCUUCGGUGAUCAAUCGAAGGCACAUACGAUUCGUCCUAAAUCCAAAAGAGAUGACCUAUGUGGGUAUGUGUAUUUAUAACUACGGUUCUGUGUGUCAAAAUCAAGCUAACUUUGUAGGUUGUGUCAUGCAUGAACCAGAGCGCUCCAUCGAUAUCUCUCUGCCUCGCUAGAGGGGCCAUGCAUCAAAUCAUAACGCAUCAUGUCACCUUCUAACUAGUUAGUUAGCCAUACGGGCCACUCCAAUGGGGACAUUUGAGACCAAAAGCCAUCGAACCCGGUCACUUUGUGAUUCAUAACUUCAUACAGAUUUGUUUAUGAGAUAAUUUGAUUACAUUUACAAGAUAUUAAAUCCCUAACGUUUUGAAGAUCCGUAUUUUUUUUUUGUUCAGAAUGAAAUUUACACCUUAAAUUACAAUCAAUGUUUUAAUCUCUUCAAGUUAUCCAAGAAAAACUAGAAUAUUCAUGAUAGUGAUGAUACACUACUGUAUAGAGAAGAAUUUGAUCGGAUCCUCCAUUGAUCUUAGUUAAUCGCGAUCUACUUAAUUUAUACAAGAAGAUAACAUAUCCCACAGUAUUUUAUGGAUUCUCACAUCAUAGAAUCAUCCAUAAUUCCAAUAUAUAGUAUCUCCAAAUAUUUUAGAUAUCAAAUGAUCUUGUUGAGCCUACUUAGGACAAAAUCUUGUUGGACUGGACCGAAAGUGAUGAUAGCAAAUCAAUUACAUUUAAUGAGUAGGCCCAAUAAGCUUGUAUGGUAAAAUAUAUAGAAGAGGGAAUUGAGUUACAUAUGUCGUAGUCCUUUGUGUUCUCUCAAAUCUGAGAAAUUUUAAAUGUUACUGGAGGCCCACGUGGCAGUCUGACGUGGUUUUAUAUUUCAAUUAAAUUUAGACAUGUGGAUUUUUUACAACUAAAAUAUCAACUAAUAUUUUCUACUUUUUGUGAAAUGACAUUCAUGGGUAUUUAGCCAGACUAUCACGUGGUCCUCCCGUAGCACUGAAAAAUUUCUCCUCAAAUCCUAGCACUACCGGUUGUCCAUUUCCACUCUUUGGCGAUCAGACAACUCUUCUCAUACAACCUACUUUUUUCAUGUUCCAUUGAUAACUUUUAAGGAUAGUAUUUAAUUCGGAGGCGGGUAACCCAUUAACCCAUAAAGAUUAUAAACCGAGUGUAGUCAAUACCCACUGGCCCAAUGUUUUAUAUCUUUUAAACCCGCAGGUAUCCGCAGUCAGGCUUCAGGGUGACCUAACUUGAUUAUCUUAGAGGGAAAAUUUUAAUAAAAAAGUACAUGACAAAUGAUCAACUCCUAAUUUUGGUGUUUCAAGUUUCAAAACAAUGAUAAAGGUACAUAACAUUAGAAUCACAACACAUUUUUAGUACCUAACGUCAGUAACGCCGUUAACUCUAUGUAAUUUCUUAAUUUUCAAAGGGUGAUUUCGGGUUUUCUCCAUUUUCUCUUUUCUUUAUAUUUGUUUUACUCUUUUUCUAUUUAUAUAUAUAUAUUUUAAAUUUUGUUAACUCAGACCAUAAUCUUAAUGAUUGAGUGCGGCUAUUAGGACCUCCAAAUUUGCUCACUAGACCUCACUCUAUUGUGAAUUAUUAAAUGACAUAUAUAUCCUCAUACACAAUGACUANNNNNNNNNNNNNNNNNNNNUAUAUAUAAAUACAGUCCGUUUCAGAUACAAACAUCUGCACCGCUUUAAGGUGCAGAUUUCCCUUCGUUCGCCACCGUACGACGCCGGCGAGGGCGCGCCUCCACCCCAGCGGACUCAAACAGCUUCCCCGACCACUUUCUCUCCCCGGCGAGUCCGCCAAAUUCCAGUUUUCAGGCCAGAUCACCCAAAACUUCAAAUAAAGUAAAUCUAGCCGGAAAACUGGAAUUCGGCGGACUCGCCGGGGAUGGAAAGUGGUCGGGGAAGCUGCUGGAGUUCGUUGGGUUGAGGUGCGCCCUAGCCGAUGCCGUACAGUGACGAAAAGAGGGACGUCCGCACUUUAAGAGCCGUGCGGACGUCCGCACCUGAUAACGAUCGUAUACACACACACACACAAGAGCUAAAACAAUGAUCAAAUAUUGAUCAUGUGACAUAAAAUUUUGUAUUAUCAUACAUGUUGAACGCAUAUACUUGCAAGGUGCAUAAAUUAUUUUGNNNNNNNNNNNNNNNNNNNNNNNNNNNNNNNNNNNNNNNNNNNNNNNNNNNNNNNNNNNNNNNNNNNNNNNNNNNNNNNNNNNNNNNNNNNNNNNNNNNNNNNNNNNNNNNNNNNNNNNNNNNNNNNNNNNNNNNNNNNNNNNNNNNNNNNNNNNNNNNNNNNNNNNNNNNNNNNNNNNNNNNNNNNNNNNNNNNNNNNNNNNNNNNNNNNNNNNNNNNNNNNNNNNNNNNNNNNNNNNNNNNNNNNNNNNNNNNNNNNNNNNNNNNNNNNNNNNNNNNNNNNNNNNNNNNNNNNNNNNNNNNNNNNNNNNNNNNNNNNNNNNNNNNNNNNNNNNNNNNNNNNNNNNNNNNNNNNNNNNNNNNNNNNNNNNNNNNNNNNNNNNNNNNNNNNNNNNNNNNNNNNNNNNNNNNNNNNNNNNNNNNNNNNNNNNNNNNNNNNNNNNNNNNNNNNNNNNNNNNNNNNNNNNNNNNNNNNNNNNNNNNNNNNNNNNNNNNNNNNNNNNNNNNNNNNNNNNNNNNNNNNNNNNNNNNNNNNNNNNNNNNNNNNNNNNNNNNNNNNNNNNNNNNNNNNNNNNNNNNNNNNNNNNNNNNNNNNNNNNNNNNNNNNNNNNNNNNNNNNNNNNNNNNNNNNNNNNNNNNNNNNNNNNNNNNNNNNUAAAAAAAUAAAAUGAGAGGUCUAUUGAGUGAAUAAGAGUUAAAGUAAGUAAUUAAUUGAAAUAUAUGUCAAUAAAUAACUAAGGUUAUGUUAGGAAUUUAAAAUGAGGUCUAGUGAGAAAAUACUCAUAUUAAAAAGUAAAAGGAGGUGUAGAGAGAAUGAGAGGUAUAAUGAGGAAAUUUGGAGGUUUCAAUAGCUGCACUCUCAAUGAUUUUGCUGUCUGCAAGUAGAUAACUCUAUUCCAUUUUCUGUUUAAAUUUUAGUUUUUCAGAAAUUGCGAUUUUGUUACUAGUUUAGCAAUGAGAAUUAGAUCUUUUGUGCUCAAUAGUGACUUUGCUGCUCCUCAAAAAAAUUUAUUACUUGUUCAGCAAUGAGAAUUGGAUCUUUUUUAUUUCUCUCUCCUUAGUAAUCAUUAAUUUUAAUAAUUUAUUACUGUUAAAUCAGAAAGUGACGGAUUUAUCACUCAAAUUUUAACGGAAAACACACAAGAUAAAUGAAGACAUAACGACAUAUACAUAUUUUUGGUUGAGAUUAGAAGUUUAUGUACCUUAAUGAUUAUUUUGAAACUUGGAACACCAAAAUUAGGAGUGGACCAUUUGUCAUGUACUGUUGAUAUGAGCACAAAGUGCAAUGUUUAUAAUGUGUUUCCUACCCUACUUAGCUAUGAUAUUCUCAUAAUAAUACCAUUUCUAACAUGUUUUGUUAUUGUAAAGGACAAGAGAGCAUAGAUCAAGAAAAUAAGGCUAAAUGAUGGAAAUAAGAGAAAAAUACAGAAAAAGACAAAGAAGCUUUUUUGCAGUCCAAGGAAGGAAGAAGAAAGGCACAAAGAGCUUAUGACACGACCCACCCCGAAUUUCACCCUGAAACCCGGAGUAAGUCGUGCGGGGACCACCUCGAAGAAAAAUUUACUGAAAAGAUUGAUAAAAUCUCCCUUGAAAAUGGACAACCCUAACUCGAAAAUUCCAAAUUACAUUCUUAAAACAACACGUCCAAACAUCACAUAAUUAACCUUCAGAAAUUCUAAACAUAAUAUACAAUAAUCCCAAAGUAUUCAGAGCUAAUAGACACUAGCGGAAGCAAGAAAACACGAGUAGGUUAAACAUGUAACCUACUGAUGAAAACUGGCAGAAAUGCGGGUGACUAUGCCUUGCCUCCUACUAGAUCCAACCCGAACUCUGCAGACUAGGCAAUUUAAAACGAAGGGCGCAGGGGAAAACAUUUAAUAACGUUAGAGUGAGUGGACAAAAAUAAAAUAAUAAAUAAAAUAUUUAUGUUUCCCCAAAUUAAUUUCUAAGGAAAAAUCGAAUGCAUGCCGCAAGCGAUAAAACUUUUAUCUCAUAAAAUAUCGAGCCUCUCAGACUCUAUAAUAUAUGUAUGUAUUUACACACGUCCAUACUCCCUAUAUAAAUUCAUGGGUCUAUAUAGGGCUACUACGCUCGCGUCCAACGCUCACGUCACGCCUUAAUGCGGUGUUACACUACGCCAUUAAGGUAGACAGACGGAUGUAUAAAUAUGUGUCCAUACCCCCUAUGUGAAUUAAACACUCAUAUAGGGAUAUUACGCUCACGUCCAACGCUCAUGUCACACCAUAAUGCGGCUAUAUGCUACGCCAUUAAGGUGGAUAGACACAUAUGGCUAGCUAGCAUUUUAUAUACACUCUCUCAUAAAUACAUAUUUAUAUCUACCGAAAAUCCCAUUUUCGGUAACUCUUCAAGAGAAAUAAAAUCGUCAAAAUAAAAUGACGUCAAAAUAUUCCGCAACAAUUAUUGUUCAACCAUGAACUCUAGCAUGUAUUUUAUUUAAAACAAAAGUCCACUCACAAAUUAGGCCUAAGCCUGACGUCGAUCUGGGGUCUCGUCUGCUCGAGCCUCCUCACGUCCUGAUCCAAAAAUAAUAUUAAUUUCCCAACUAACAAUCCAAUAAUUAAUCAAAAUAGGCAAAAUUACCCGAGAGCCAUAAAUACGCUCAUCAUUGCCUAACUUCGAUAUUCUUAAAUCGAAACGAUCCGAACUUAAAUAUCAUUCUCGACAGUCGUAAUUACAACCUCCCCAAAAAUACGACUUAAAUCCUACGGCCGGUUUCUACAUUAAUUAACCGCCAAAAAUACCAAAUUUCGAAAAUUCACAAACCUAUCCAAAUCUCAUCCAAAAAUUCCAUAAAUCACAUCAAUAUAAUCCCCUUAAUAUUCCACAUUUAAAACCCUAAAAAUCUCCCAAACUAUCCAAAAAUUCCAUAAAUCACAUCAAUAUAAUCCCCUUAAUAUUCCACAUUUAAAACCCUAAAAAUCUCCCAAACUGCGGCGGCGCCAGCGGCGGCCGGAGACCAAUUCCGGCGACCUCCAAAACCUAUGAAAUUUUGACAGCAUCUUCCUCUCAUCAUGCUCUACAACUUUCCUAACUAGCACAAACCCAAAAUCCAAGCCUAGCUAUGCCAAUCAAACAGAAAUAUCAAAAAUGCUAUAGAAUUUCAACUUCACAUUUCUCCUUACCUAGCUCAAGAGAGGGUGAGCUGUUUGGAGGGGUUGCUGCACAGGAGGAGGGCUACAAAACGAGCCAAGGAUCGCCGGUUUUGGUGGCCGGAGGAGGGAGCUCCGGGGAGAGAACCACCACGGCAGCUAGCGGCUCCGGGCGUCGUUGCUCUCUCACGGCAGCGCUAGGGGAGCUGCUACCGGCCUAGAAUGGAAGCUGAGUCGGAGGCAGUCAGUUUGGGACCGGAGCGGCGGCAUAUGGUGGCCGGACGGCGGCAGGAGGACGGCCGUGAAACCGAACAGCGGGAGGGGCUCGGGAGAGAGAGGGAACCGGGAGGAGAAAAGAGAAGAAAAAGAGAAAAGAAAAAUGGGCCUCUAACACCCGGUCUAACAACCUUAUACACCAAAACCCACUCUAAAAUUUACACCCCAAAAUAAUACCCUAAUAAAAAUUGCAUUUUAUUAGCUAAAAUUUACCAUUUUUACCGUUGUCAUAUUUUCCUCCCACGAAUAAUCCUCCGCACAUAAUCGUCCCCGAAACCCUUCUAGAGACCAAUUAAACUAUAACUUCAAUGACGGAGACGGUAAAAUUAUUUUUAUAAACAAGCUAGUAAAUAAGGUAAAAAUUUAACGGUCGGGAUGUGAUAGCUUAAUUGACAAAAGAAGGCCCAAGUAGUACAAAAAUGCAGAAAGCCCAAAGAAAUGCCCAAGUAGUCCAAGAAUGGAAGAGAAGGCCCAAGCAGCCUAACAAAAGAAGGAGAAAAGUCAAACAUGUGCACAUAAAGAAGAAAAGUCAAACAUGUGCUCCUUGUCCCACAUCAUUUUGGAAGAAAAGUUUCACCAAGAUGUUCUCUAUAUAAAGACUUUCUAGUGCACUUCUCAGCCCAUGUCUUCUUCACACAAAAAUCAGUGAAACAUAUUAGCCUACCUUCUCCUUUUCAACUCCUAUCUCCAGAAAAGAAGCAAUUCAAGCUGGCACCUUUGUAGGACUUCCCCAGAAGGCUGCUGAGAAGCAUCAGGCAUGUGUGUUCCUUUGAAUAUCUCAAGCUUCCUUGAAGAUUUAUAAAGUGUAACUCAUAUCUUGUUUCUUGUUUCUUCUUUCUUGUUAUUGUUUUUUGUUUUCUUUUAUUAGAUUUCAAAGUUGGAAUUGGCUGGUUGUUGAGAACAUGAAUAGGUUAAUUUUCAGAAUAAAUUCAAGCAUAUUUGGACUUGUCUAUGAUAGCAUGUGAUUCGUUUUAUGCCUUGUUGAUUUCAUUAAAUUCAUAGUUUUGUUUAAACUAAAACUCUAAUCUGCAGGUUAGUGUUGCUAUGAUCUAUACUAAGCUUCUUCAAGUAAGUGUAGAUCUCCAGUAGUAAAGGUUAUGUAAUAAUAGCUGAAACUAUGUGUUACAUGUUUGCAGGUUAAGCAGUUUCCUGUAAACUUAGGCAUGUUCAAAUUCAGAAUUCUAUAGCACUUAAUGAUUCAUGUUUAAUGUAGACGGGUACUCUAAGUGACACAGAGUAUCGAUCGCAGCCUUUGCAUGAAAUAUCUUAGGUUCUAGACUUCUAUGUGCUUAGGAGAUAAAGUAAGUAGAAUUAAAGAAAUGCAUGACCGUUGAGGCUUGUGUUUCGAGUUUUUUUUUAUAUCACUUGGCGAUGAACUUGAAUAUAUGUUUGAGGCAUGUUGAUACUUGUUUGAUUCAUUAUGAAAUCUCUGGUUGAUGUGUGUUAAAGAUGAUCACCUGUAUAUAUUAGUUUAGAUUGUGUCUUUAUCUUUUUCGUAGGAAUGUUAGAAAAAACCUCAAACCCCCUGUUUACCUUGUACCAUAUGUAUAUUUGUAAAUAAAUACUUGUAAAUAUUUUUAUUGAUAGCUACUGACGUUUUACAUGACCACUGUCACAAGAGCACUCUUAGUCUCCAGAUUGAUCGAACUUUAUUUGCCUAAUACUACGAUUGUCAAAAACGGUUCUUAAUUGUCGCACACCCAGUAACGGGCGCGUCAACUGUUCUUAAAAUUUUCCCUAUCUUAGAAGCUGACACUUAUUAUGGGUCUUGCAAGUCUCUAGUACUCAACCACCUACUAAUAAGACACUUAUAAAUGUUGGAGCUGGAACUUAGGGGUUUCACUCAAGCAAUUGCCAUGUCAAUCUUGCCAACCCUCAUUGGUAUGUUCCAUGGUAACAUGGUGACACAAAUUAUGGACCUUAAUACUUUUUAUUAGAUUUCAUUUUCCCUAAAAUUGACCAAUAACAAAUUUAGAGGGAUGGAUUCGUAAAAAUGUAAUCUAAAUUGUCACUAAUAACAUCACUACCAGAGCUAGUUAGGUAGGACAUACAUUUACAUGUUCGACUUGGUUAGAGGCCUUAUCUUUUUCUCGUGUAUCAACAUAUUGACAAAUAAUUAGAAAUAUAAAGGGAAAUGUAGCUAGAUAUAGUAGAUAUUUUUAAUGCUGGCUGUAAUCUGCAAUAUAAGCUUCAUGUUUAUUUUGUAUUUGUUAAUCAAUCAAGAUUUCAGGAUCCGUAUAUGUUUGUUUAGAAAUUUUUUACUAAUAAAACUCGAUCAAACAACACAAUUUUUAUUUGCGAUGAUUUAAAUGUUUCGUAGAUGCAACAGUAGAAUUGGGAUGCAAAAUUUGUCACUUCUUGCAAGUGAAAAAGAUCAUAAAAGAUCGCAAGUUCAUAAUGUCUUUUUUGUUAGGGAAAAUUUUAAGAACAAUAUAUGACAAAUGGUCUACUCCUAAUUUUAGUGUUUCAAGUUUCAAAACAAUUAUAAAGGUACAUGACAUUAGAAUCACAAAACAUUUUUAGUAUAUGACGUUAGUAACGCCAUUAACUCUAUGUAAUUUCUUAAUUUUCAAAGAGUGAUUUCAGGUUUUCUCCAUUCUCCUUUUUCUUUAUAUUUGUUUUACUCUUUUUCUAUUUAUAUAUAUAUAUAUGUUUUUAUUUUGUUAACUCAGACCAUAAUCUUAAUGAUGACUUUGUUGUCUGCAAGUAGAUCACUUUAUUCCAUUUUUGGUCUUCCAGAAAUUGUUGCUUUGUUACUAGUUCAAUAGUUCAACAAUGAGGAUUAGAUCUUCUGUCCUAAAAAAUGACUUUGCUGCUCCUAAAAAAAAUUUAGAAUUAAAUUCAAUUUACCCUAUUGUGGUUUAUUGGUGAAUUCAUGUUAGUCCCUAAACUUUCAAUUUCAUCAGAUUACCCCCCGAUCUCUUGUUUUUCUGGUAAUUUAGCUUCUCAAACCCCAAAACGUCAUCACACGUCAUCAAAUUUCAACGUCCCAAUUGAACGAAGCAUGAGUGAUAGGAGACGGCAGACAGAAAAACAAGAGCUCGGGGGGUAAUCUGAUGAAAUUGAAAGUUUAGGGACUAACAUGAAUUCACCUCUAAACCAUAUUAGGGUAAACUGAAUUUAAUUCAAAAAUUUAUUACUAGUUCAGCAAUGAGAAUUAAAUAUUUUUUAUUUUUCUCUCUUUGAUAAUUAUUAAUUUUAAGAAGAAAAUACUGGUCACUCCAUUAACUUUCAUACACUAUCUACUCCACUAUCUUUCAAUUUUAAUCGAUUAGUCCUCUAACUAUCCAAUGUUACACACUUAGGUCCAUCCGUUAAGUGGACAUCCAAUCGUGCCGUCAACUUGUUGACUGGACAUAUUUUUCAAUGCCAACUCAGCUGGAUGAAAUGAGAAAAUCUUUUUAAAUUAAUUUUUUUUUCAAUUUAUUUUUUUCAUGAAAUCUGUCCCUUCUCGCCGUCCUCCUGCUCCGAUCACCGUUCUCCCUACUCGCCGCCAAUGACCAGACACGGUCGGCCUACGACGUCAUCCAGGACUUCAACUUCAUCACCAUCGUACUCCCUGGCCUCCGGCGAGUCACAUGCACGCUACCCGUCGGCAAGAGACGCCAGAAAGACGUCAUACGCGCCGUUGCAACGCGUACCCAGAAUACCCAGAAUUACUCUGGGCACCCAAAGCUCUCUCUCCUCGCGUCUUCUCCAACACAAACCGGCAAACCGCAUCUGCACCGCAUUCGUCCUUUGGUAGUCGGAGUACCAGUCCCAUCAAAUAUCAAUAAUAUAAAGGAGGAAGAAAGUCGAAAUCGUCAUCACUGCUGAUAGCAUCGUCUUCAGCACCAGCAGCUCUAUCUGAUCGUCUCCUGAAUCAUGGCAUUUACAAACCGAAUCGAUCAGCUUAGUCAGCAACUUCGCCUCGGCGCCACCGGAAGUGUCGACCUCGCCGUAUAGGUAUUCGUGCGCGCUUAGCUUCUGGAUGCAAUCCACGGCAGGUAUCCGUGCGGUGCAGAGUGGGGUUUGCCGGUUUGUGUUGGAAAGACACGAGGAGAGAGAGCUCUGGGUGCCCAGAGUAAUUCUGGGUACGCGUUGCGACGGCGCGUAUGACGUCUUUCUGGCGUCUCUUGCCGACGGGUAGCGUGCAUGUGACUCGCCGGAGGCCAGGGAGUACGAUGGUGAUGAAGUUGAAGUCCUGGAUGACGUCGUAGGCCGACCGUGUCUGGUCAUUGGCGGCGAGUAGGGAGAACGGUGAUCGGAGCAGGAGGACGGCGAGAAGGGAUAGAUUUCAUGAAAAAAAUAAAAUUGAAAGAAAAAAUUAAUUUAAAAAGAUUUUCUCAUUUCAUCCAGCUGAGUUGGCAUUGAAAAAUAUGUCCAGUCAGCAAGUUGACGGCACGAUUGGAUGUCCACUUAACGGAUGGACUCAAGUGUGUAACAUUGGAUAGUUAGAGGACUAAUCGAUUGAAAUUGAAAGAUAGUGGAGUAAACUAUCGAGUGCAUGAAAGUUAAUGGAGUGACCAGUAUUUUCUUCUAAUUUUAAUAAUUUAGUACUGUUAAAUUAAAGAGUGACGGAUUUGUCUCUUAAAUUUUAACCGAAAACACACAAGAUAACAGAAGAUAUAACGACAUGUACAUAAUUUUAGUUAAGAUUAGAAAUUCAUAUACCUUUAUGACUGUUUUAAAAUUUGAAACGAAGGAACCAUUUUUCAUGUAUGAUUUCAUUAAAAUUUUGCGUUCUUGUUAAGCAGACGCAGACGCAGACGCAGACACAAAAACAAAAACGGUCAAAACAAAGUUUAUCUCGAGUGAUCUAUCUAUCUGUCACCAAUCACCAUCCACAUGCAACAAGUCUCUCAAAUUCGUUAAACUAUUCUCAAAUCCACCUUCAAAUCCAUUCAAGUGACUCAACCAAAUACUACACGACACCAAUAAUUCCUCCGAUUCCACGUUCUCACAAAUUAGUCUCCCCACCGAAUAAUCUAAACUCGGAUUCCAUCCUGAUCCUUCUCCUCGUUUUCUUUUUACUCUUCUUAUUUCCAAAGCUCACAAAACUUUGCUUCUUGAUCAUCAUCUUCCAUGGCGUCGCUUAGCUUGACUCAGAUCAGAGGCAACAGCAUCAACAACCCAGUUGCCGAGUUUGCCAGAACUCGUUGUCCUCAGUUGGGUUUGCCAGUUCGGUCUAGCAGAGUUGGGUUUCGGGUGUUUGCGUCAGAGAGCAGCAGCAAGGGCCCAGAGCCUGAUCUGAGCGUCAAUGUAAAUGGGUUACACAUGCCUAACCCCUUUGUUAUUGGGUCGGGUCCACCCGGUACCAACUACACCGUCAUGAAAAGGGCCUUUGAUGAAGGCUGGGGUGCUGUGAUUGCCAAAACUGUGAGUCUUUUGCUCCUCUCAUCUUUCCAUGUCAGUAUCAAAUUGUGUUCUUUGAUGUGAUGUAGUUGGUGUCAUUCUAUCAAAAGGCUUAUAUGAAUGAAUAUUUAGUGCUGUAUAGACUCUAGUUAGCAGAUGUAUUAGCAUGUUAAUAUGUUCAGAUCAUUGUUUUUGUUGCUAAAACUGUUAGAUUCACACAGGUCAAGGGCCCUAAUUCUUUGAACGAAUUAUAUGGUAGCUUAUUGAUCCUUGCCAUUGUAGAAAUGAAAAACAGAAAAAUAUGAUAUUUAGCUGAGAUCAUGGGUGUUCUGAAGUCUGGUACUUUUUACAUUUUUGGUAAAAUGUUAUUUGGUUAGUGACAUUGAUAACAAUGCUAGCUCAGAGAAGCUAUUAGCUCUUUGGCCUGUGUCUCACAAAGGCUAAAGGCCAUUCUUUACUGGACAGUGCGGAAGCUGAUUCCAGGCCUUAAUUUUAAGUUGCGUUGUAGAAUGAUACAGGAGAGACCUUUAUCAUUUGAACUUUGUAAUUGAUCUCAAUCUUAAUUAUGAUUCAAUAGGUGUCGCUAGAUGCAGAAAAAGUCAAGAAUGUCACUCCACGAUAUGCAAAGCUACGUGCCGAUGCAAAUGGCUCAAAACAAGGGCAGAUUAUUGGGUGGCAGAAUAUAGAACUUAUAAGUGACAGACCUCUAGAAACCAUGUUGAAAGAAUUCAAGCAAUUGAAGGAAGAGUAUCCAGACAGGAUUUUGAUUGCUUCAAUCAUGGAGGAAUAUAACAAAGCUGGCUGGGAGGAACUUAUUGAUCGUGUGGAGCAAACUGGAGUUGUGAGUUUCUACUAUAGUUUUCAUUCAUUGAGGUUAGUGGUUGUCAACUUGUCAUCUAACACCUCUGACAUUUUUCUUUAGGAUGCCUUUGAAAUCAACUUCUCCUGUCCUCAUGGUAUGCCGGAGCGCAAGAUGGGUGCUGCUGUUGGACAAGACUGUGCAUUGUUGGAAGAUGUCUGUGGAUGGAUAAAUGCCAAAGCUACAAUACCGGUUUGGGCAAAGAUGACUCCUAACGUCACUGACAUUACACAGGUCAGCUUGGUUUUGCUUUCCUUUGCAUUACGUCGGAUGUGUUGACUCUUGUGUGCUGACGUAUCACUAUCGCGAAUUAUAAGAUUUAUAUCGUAACAUUGCUUAUACCAAUGAGGUUUUUGUUUGUAGCCAGCUAGAGUGGCUCUGAACUCAGGAUGUGAGGGAAUAGCAGCUAUUAACACAAUCAUGAGUGUAAUGGGAAUCAAUCUGACUACCUUACGGCCUGAGCCUUGUGUGGAGGGGUAUGCAUGCUAAAACUAUGAAUACAUGUUAUUUUGGUUGAUUUGUCCUUCAUAUUAUGAAAACAUGCCUAAAUAUUUUUGCAGAUACUCAACUCCCGGAGGCUAUUCUUCCAAGGCAGUUCAUCCCAUUGCACUUGCAAAAGUGAUGAGUAUUGCAAAAAUGAUGAGAUCAGAAUUUGGUGAUAAAGAUCUUUCACUUUCUGGGAUCGGGGGUGUUGAGUCCGGUGGUGAUGCUGCUGAGUUUAUCCUUCUGGGAGCAAAUUCUGUACAGGUAGGUUGAGAAACUAACUGUUAUAGUGUGACUGUUCUUUGCUGAUAUAAAAAUGUAUUAAUCUGAUGAUUUCACAUUCUGAGGUGAUUCUUUUGUUUUUGCUUUUCAUAUUUCUCUUUCUUUUAUUGCUAGUUUACAUAGGAAGUAGCCAGUGAAGACACUUUAUUUAUUUGCUGCACUUGGUAUUACGGGCAAAAGAGUACCUGAUAGGCUAAUAAGUGGCAGACCAAGCCCAAACGGUUAAAAAAAAUACUUGUUUUCAGAAGAUAUAUUCAUUUUUCAAGUCUCAGAAGUUCUUUUGCUUAUCUAGUAGGUUUGCUAGUGUAUGUAUAUAACAUUCAGGAAGAGCUUUUGAUUUUCUCACAAACUUGCCAAUGGAGUAUUGUUCUACCAAACUUUGAAUGUGGAAGCAUGAAUCCCCCUCCCUCACACACGCACACGCGCGCGCGCACACACACGUCUUGAGAUUGAAACUUUGUUGAACUUUGUGAAUUUGUUACAUCUAUCACUUUUAUCUUCUGUUGUCAACAACUGGAACGUUCCCUUGUUGAAUAUAGUAUUUAGCUGGUUGUGUUAUUAUGUUAUACCCAAGCAUAUGGAAAUCAUUUUUUCAUUUGCAGGUCUGUACUGGGGUCAUGAUGCAUGGAUACGGUGUUGUGAAGAAACUCUGUUCUGAGCUAAAGGACUUUAUGAGACAGCACAAUUUCUCAUCUAUAGAAGAUUUCAGAGGGUACACCCUUUAAUAAUGAAUAUCAGAGCUAGACAUGAUUCUAAUUUCUGUUAGAAAUAAGAAAUGAAUUUUACUCAUAUUUACUCUGCACUUUUCAGGGCUUCCCUCGAGUAUUUUACAACGCAUACUGAUUUAGUACACAGACAGCAAGAAGCCAUCCAACAAAGAAAAGCCGUGAAGAGAGGGUUGCAGUCCGACAAAGAUUGGACAGGAGAUGGUUUCGUUAAAGAAACCGAGAGCAUGGUCUCUAAUUAAACUACAUGAUGUUAUUUGUACAAGAAAAUUUGCUGUUCAUCUGUUUUGUGGUGUAAAUUUAGUGGAAAAUCCUUUCAUUGAAACUGAGCUGUAAUAAUAAACGUUGUUCAGAUGCUCUCCACUAAUCAAUCUAAUUGAAUCAAAUAAACAGUAUGGCUUUGUACACUCAUGAGUCUCAGAUCACAAUGCAUUUACUAUCUCAAAAGCUCAUCAAAUAGUACACCUUUGGAUGCAACAUUAUAGUUGAUGGGAGCUACUGUAAUGUUUUACAUAUUGAAAUUGAAGUGUUACAAGAAGUGCAAUCAGCUUCGUGCCUAAUCCCAUGAGUAAAAACUAUAUAACAAGUCAAAGCUGAAUCAAUGUGUUCGUGAUUCCAAAAUCCUCAAAUCGAACCAAAUCUUCAAUCACUCGAAGAGUACUUGAUGGAGGAGUUAAAUCAAGGAGGCGGGGGGAAGAAGGCUGUCUUCCUCACACAAGCCAAUAGAUUGAAGCUUGAGAAGGCAAAGGUGCAACAGCAUUUUCAUCUUCAAAAUCAGUGCCAACGGUGAGAACUCCUUCAGGAGGGAAUUCCUCCCACUCCUAUUAGUUCCAUCUCUAGAGAAGUAAGUAGAUGCAUACUUGGCAAAGGCCGACGUCGAGACCUCAACGCCAACACUAUAAGCUUUCAAAUUGCUCAGUUCUUCCUUGUUUCCAUCACUAUGCGCGUUUAUAAGCCAAUUUUUUUUUUUUAGAGAGAAAUGAAUAAUUCAUUAAUCGAGGGACAAACCCAAUUACAAAACUUAUAAACGCGAGGCCGGAAAGUUACUAAUAACAAAGAACAUUUAUCUCCAACUCGAACAAACUAGAAAGAGUGAAAGAAGACCAACAACUCGCUAAUCUAUGGACCGAAGGUCCUACAUCCGAAAAUAAAAAUGCAACAACACUAACUAAUCUACCACACUCGCCACCCAUACUUGCUAGCAUUGCCGUCACCGUCACCGUCGUCGUUAGCAACCAUGAGGUAGUGAGGAGUACUAAACCAGAGCGUUGAUGCUCGUGAAAUUGAUGCCAAUCAAAUCCCAAGGCACAUAUCAUAUGGGAACCCAAAACCCAGAAGAAGAGCUCCCUCAAAACAACAUCAUACAAUCCACCAUUGAUACCUAAGCCAUGAAGGAGCUAUGGUUGCCGAAAGAGGACCAAAAACCAGACCAAAGAACUAGAACCAAACAAAAUUUGUUCUUCCUUUUCUUUAGCUACUUUUUGUAUGAUGUUUUGUAUUUGUUUAAGUAUAUAUGUUUUCAAUUUCUACUAUGUCUUGCUUCUUUCCUUAACAAAGGUUAAGGAGGAAACCACAUUAUGAAAUAAGUUUCUUUUAAUUAUCUAUCAAUUCCCAUAGUUAUGUUAUUCAUGCCUAUGACUCUUGCUUCAAAAUGCAUUAAUAAAAUAUUUGUUCAUUUCACCUCUAAUGUCAUGCAUUUUUUGUAGUUUGGAAGUCACUUUUAUAAAUCCAUGCUUGGCUUUGUAAAAUAUUUUAAUAUGAACUCUUUUGAUCUCUUGUCAUUCAAAUGAGCUUGUUUCACAUUUGAUGCUUUGCACACACUUUGAUCUUUUGUAGUUUCAAUAAGUUUGUUUACAUGUGAUGCUUUGGUGUUCAUAAUUAAGAGGCGAAGAAGAGUUUACUUUAGAUUUAUUUGGUGUGUUUCAUUGUUAAAUCUUGAGAAAACAGUAGAUUGAUUUCUAGAUUGCUACUCCUGAUUCAGGAAUUAAUAGAUAACAUUUAGAGACUUAUCGAGUAAUAAUCCGAUGCCUUAGUUACUUCGUCAUAAAGGUAAUCUUUAUCUAUUUUAUUUGUCUUAGCUACUUCACCAUCAACUUUCAUUCAACUAGGUUAGUGUUAAAUUAAUUUGGAUUCGAUUAAUUUUUCCUAUUUUCAUACAUUCCCUAUGGGUUCGACCUCGCUCUUGCAUAUUUGUACUGCAACUAAUUCGUGUGCUUGCGAGUAACAUUUUAAAACACAUCAGUAGAUGCCACAGUAACUCCAUAACUCGCUACCAACAAACUCCAUUCAAUCCCAAAAGAGCAGAUUUGGAUCGAUCUCCCCAUUCCAAGUUCGACUCUCCUCUCUCCAACGGUAGACCUUCCCUCUACCAAAGGGCCUCGCUGAUAGCUCGGAUCACCAUCCCCUCCCGGCCUGAACGUAGCGGCAGAGUCGCCGACGGUGUUCGGUAGGGAGAGGUCACACGAAGCCUCUGUUCUCUCCUUCUGCUUUUCCACUUUCGAGACUCGUUUAGUAGGAACUCACUUUUUAAGCUAGUUCUCAUAGCAUUGAGUUCAUUUGCCUUGUUAUGGGGUCUAUUGCUUUUCCCAUAUUUUGUGGGUAACUAUAAGUAAUUCCUUUUAAGAAUGGAAAUUGGGAAGGUUCACAAAAUUCUUUUCCAAGUACUAGUAGCCCUUUAUCUCCAAAGCCAACAUUUCGGGUUGUUGAUGUUGUUGUUGUUGUUUUUUUUUUUUUUUUCUUUCUUCUUCUCGAUUAGACGGGUUGUUUUCCCUUUGUACUUUGUAGCCCCGAUCGAUUGAUCCACAAUCAGUCCUGGAGGGAAGUUCUCGUUUUAAUUAAUUCAUCUAAUCAUCUUUCACAAUUUGGGAAAGAUGUUUCACUAGAAAUCUUGUUUCGACUCAUAUACCCCAAAAAUGGAUCCCGUUCUAAUAGCUCUGAUUCAUUGAAAUACUUGCACUAAGAUACAACGGCUAGUCGGCUAGCUUCUUAUUCUGCAACAACCGAACAACGAAAGCACUUUUUCACUGAGUCUCCCCAUUUUCAUGGUAAAUUGGUAUCUUCCCAUUUUUCAUACAUUCGUCUUGUUUGGCUGCUCCUGUCCUUAAUUAAGCUUUAGGUGUUGUUGCAUGUAUAAGUAAUUAAGCUUUUGGAUGAAUCAUUUAACUAUGUAUUAAUUAGAUUUAUUCAAACUAAAUUACGCCAGCCUCUAAUUUUACGAUUACUUACUCGGUAGAGCUAGUUGACAUGGAGCAAAUAUUUCUUCACUGAAAUUAUCAUCUAACUGGCAUUCCAUUUGUUCUCAAUUUUGUUACUAGAAUUCCUUUUCCCGGAAGAAUCACAUCGGAGAGAUGCAAACAAGACAGAUCGCAAAGCUUUUCAGCUUAGGUCAUGUUUGGUUCAUAGAAUCAAGUCAUUGAGAAAGGAAAAUCAUUAAUUUCUAUUAUUUGGAAAUAAAAAAGAAAGAGUGGGAAAAGAAAAAUGGUCCCCACAUGCAAGGAAAGUUGGGUGAAAAAUGGUUCUCUCCCCCACGUCACCCUAAGGAUUCACUUUCCUUUCACUUGUCAAAGGAAAAUUCAAAGAUUUCAUUUCCUUUCCUUUCCUUUCCUUUCCUUUCCUUUACAUUCCUUAAACCAAACUAGGAAAAUUCAAGCAUGGAAGAGUAGUAGAUGUUCUUGGAUAGAUAAAUAAUCUCAUUAAUUAUUAAUCAACUACAUGGAUCAGACAUACAUGUUAAGAGAAAGUUCUUAUAGCUAGCUAGCUAGCCAUAUCGAUCAUGUUGCGCGCCCAUGACGUACAGUAGUGUCACAAUUAACAUGACAUGCAUAUAGUUUCGCAUAUUGAAACUCAUCCAGUUCUUGUGCUCUAGAUUGAUCUUCUGGGAAAGUCGAUCAUCUCUGGUUUUCUUUCACCUAAAGAUAUUUCAAGGUUCAGAAGAGAUGCAAUAUAUUAGUUGCAGGGGCGUAGAUAGCCUAGGACGAGAGAAGUCAAUUGAUCCCUCUCAAAUUUAAUACAUGUUUUAAUUACCCUUUAUUAUUAUUCAUUAUUAAUAGAAUGAAACAUAAAUGACCCUUCUUAAUUUUGAGAAAAAUCUUAAAUAGGCUUAAAUAUUCAUGAAUAUUAAUGGAAUGAUAUAGAAAUCUAUAGCUGUAUAAUGAUUCAUUGAUUCAAUUAAUACAAAUUUUUACCUUACUGAUAUGUGCUUCAAGCUAGGAUCACAGUUAUUCUCAAAAUUUAUUCAAAAUGAUUUAAUGGUCUUUCAACAUUAAUAUUAGUAUAAAACAUACAAUACUUUUACAUACAGGUCCUGACAACAAAUUUUUUUUACUAAUUUGUAUAGGACAAGAAAAUUAUAGAAAGCUUGUGUUAUUGUGUUUUUAGGAAAAAAAAUUGUGCCCUUUUUGUAACGAAUGACCACAAAUUUUACUUUCUUAAUAUAUAAAUUUUGACCAUUUUAAAUUACAAUUUUGGCUACGCUACUGAUUAGUUAUAUAGUUAUUGUGUGUUCUAUUUAAUCAGUUGGUCAAGUUUAAGACUGACCAGAAGUGGGGCGGCGGUGGUGGAAGCUGGUAGGUGAUUCAGGUAGAUCAAGAUGAGACCUGGUGGCAGUGAGCUCUUUGAGUUGAUGGUGCAUGCUAGUUAUGAAAGUCAUGGACUUUCGGUGAGGUUCCUCCAUUGCUUCCUUCAGCUUUCUAAGUGCCAAACAAUAUGCUUCCUAUAUAUAAGAACACACACACAUUAGUUUAUAUAUUAGAAAUAUGUUAAUUACUUGCUACUAUAUAUGUAUGCUUCCGGUGUCCUAGCUUGGCUGGCCCUGUAAAUCCUGUAUAUCUUUUCAAGGUAUAAAGCUUAAAGCUUAUUGCUUUCAUCAGCCUUAAUGCCUUAUCUACUCAUAUAUAUGAAUAAAGCAAACUGGGAAUUAAUGUCAGUUUAUCUCAAAGUUCUUCAGUAAUAUUGGACGUUCGAACUACUGAAGUAAACUAAGAUCACAAUUCACACAUUACUACAGCUACCUGCGUAGCAAUUAUAUAUCAGCUGCUAGUCGUAGAAUUAGCAAUGUUACUAAUCAACAGAGAAAUAUUAGUGAUACCAUGAAGUGAUCGAGCUCCGGUUCUCCUGAAGUACUGGACUUGUGGUUGUCAAGCUGCUUCAUAUAAUCCCUGAGGGCAUCACUUUCCUCUAGGUCAUCUCCAAUACCGCCAACCUGCUUAUCAGAAAAUUUCAUUAGAAGAUCGAGGAGAAGAAAAUUGCAGAAGCUAGCCCUUUUUAUUCUGCUCAUAUGUGUGUGUGUGUGUGUAUAUAUAUAUCAGAUCGUUAGAACUUAGAAGGCAUCUGUAUAUGAAAGCAAAACGUACAAAAAAUUAAAGAUUUAUAAUUUUUUCUUGCUCCGACUUAUUUUUGCAACAAAUUUAACAAAAAAUAGCAGAUGCUACUAGCUCUCAGUUUUAUAUCGAGAGAGAGAGAGAGAGAGAGAGAGAGAGAGAGAGUAGUNNNNNNNNNNNNNNNNNNNNAGAGAGAGAGAGAGAGAGUUUCAACCAGUAGGUUACCUUCAAACAGUCAAGGUGAGUUUCAACCAAGAGCCCAUAUAAAGGAUGGCUAGAGAUUCUAGUUUUGAGGUUCUCCUCAUGAUCAUCAUCUUGAUUUUCUUCUCGUUGUUCUUCUUUCUCCUUGUAACUACCCAUGAAAGCCUCCAUAUAUACUCCAAGUUAAACAACAGAUAGAGAUGAUCGAGAGGAACUAAAAGCCUGAAACAACAAUUUUUGUUAACCAGUUAUAUAUAUACCCAGACAAGCUAUAUAUAUCGAGUAGGAAGUCUUUACUCUUUACUAUAUAAGGCCAAUCCUUCAUUCAGGAAAAAGGCCACCGUGGAGGGGUUGUACUGUAGAGUACUGACGCUCCUAUUUUGGAGUUCAGCAAUGGAAUGACUAGUGCAUGCAUCAUAAUUUGAAUGAGUGAAUGCCCGAAUGGUACAACAUCAGUCAGACUCUACUCAGUAGUCGACUGAGAACACACUAGCUAAGCUAAGCUAAUAAUGAAUUCAUAUUCUUGGAGAGGGAGAGGAGAGGGAAGUGGGUCUCUUGGCCUUUUCGCUAUCUCCGGUCUAUCUUUUCUUUUUGGUUCUGUCUUUUUACAUGAAGAAAGGAACUAAUCGAGGGUCUGGUUAAUUUCUCGAACGAUGUGGCCUUGUAACUAGUACAGUAGUAGCUUAAUCAGCACUACUGGGUUUACUAGUUAGCAUCAUCAUCAUCAUCAGAUGGAUCUUUCUUUCCUUUUUUACUGGUCAACAGUGUCAGCUCUCAAUACCUCACUGUUUGAAGCAGUACAAAGCUCCAAAUUCCUAACUGUUCACACGUAAACAGUUAACUGCUUUUAUCGAUGUUUGGUCACUUGAAUUUGAGGAAGAGAAUGUUUCCACUACUGUUGAUACGCUCUUACGAAAACGACUAUUCAAGGCGUAAUUUUUGAUAUCUGAUUUUAUGGGGAAGGUAUCAAAGAUUGUGUAUGUACGUACGCAGACAGAUAUAUCAUCGAGCAGAUAGAUAAAUAUCAUACAUCUCCCCCACCAAAGCUAAAGCUAAGCUGGCAUUUCGUUCUCUCAAGUCUCAACGAUCCAAUUGGAAUUACUAGCUAGUUACUCUACAAAUCAGAUCAGCGGUGACUAUGGAAGUGAAAACCCCAACCGUGCAACGAAAGGUAGAAAUUUAGACUCUUGAGCCCAUCAAAGGAGAAACAUAUCACUUGCAUAUGAUUCAAUUUAUAGUUGAUAUAAAAGUUCAUAACAAAAUUAGCAAAAAUUCUAAUCUGUAUACGUUUCAUCUUAGAGAUACAAGUUUCUUAAGCUUCAUCUUCUUCUUUUUUUAUCUGAAUCUUAAGCUUCAUCUAUUGCUCAUGCUAUAUGGUUCCCCUCUGAUUUUGUUGUUUAUUAUAAGAGGUUUUGCCCUAUCGUUCCCCUCCUAAGGUACUAUAUAUCCUUUGUGGGAAAUUGCCAAAACAAAAGGUUUUCAAGUGUUGAACCCUAACCUAAUUAAGAAAAGGCAGGCCAGCAUCGAUGGACAACAUGCAUGGGCUCGCAGGAACAUAGUGAAGGGAGAGGAGCUAGGUGCUCUAGUAAACCCAAUUUGUUUGUUUCUUGGACCAUGAGGCGGCACUAUAGAUAAUCCAUCUUGGAAAGAAAAAGGAAAAGACAAAUCAGAUUAUUGGGAUGAAUGUUCUACUUAGGGAGAUGCAUGGAUCGGAUUCUAGCUCCCAUAAUUGAUGACUUGAUAUUGAAGGAUUCCAAUUCAGUUUCGUUCUUUUCUCUUAUUAUUACAGAGGCCAAAAGCAAUUUUGCCAACACACAAAUAAAUCAACUUCCAAAAGCGGAUCAUAACAUUAGAUCGAUCAGGAGAACCGAUAAAAACCUGCAUCCAUGUUCCAGCCAUGCAUGUCCCAAACUUGCUAAUAACAAAUAAUGAUCAGCACAUGUGGUUACGUAGGGGUGGGCAUAAAAUCCCGUAAUCCCGAACCCGUUCCGGUCCCGUUCUAAAAUUUGUCGGGACGGGACGGGAUUUAAAUCUCAAAACGAUGUCCGUCCCUUCCCGUCCCGUCCCAUCCCAUCCCUAUACAACGGGAAGGGACGUGGGACAAAUAAUUCAAGUCCCGUUUAGGCCCGUCCCAUCCCGACUAUUUUAAUUAUUGAUUUUUUAUUGAUUAAUAUGUGAUUUGAACCUUUCAUUUAAGUGUUUUAAUUUUAGCUCUUUGUUUCUUUAAGUUACUAGGUUGUCUCCAAUUCAAUAACAGUGAUGUUUAAUACUUUAAUUUGUUGAUUGUUGUAGACUCUCUUUUUGCACUGUAAUAGUGAUGACAAGUUUAGAGAAAGUAAGCAGUACGUAUAAACUCUCUUAUUACACCGUGUUGUACUUGUAAAUAUGUUACAAGUACUUGUUAAUACUUAAUAAAGUAAAGAGCACUAUAAAACUAUAAAACUUUUUCUUUUGCUUACAAGUUUAUUUUCAACUUUUUUUAUUUGGAACUGGACCCAUCAUGUCCCAUCCUAUCUCGUCUCGACCGAGAUAGGGCCCGGGUGGGAUGAAAUCUAAAAAAUGCAAAGCCCGUCCCGUCCCGUCCCGAUUUCAAUAUCUGGGACGGGCCGUGGGAUUAGCUCUAUCCCGUCCCAUGUCCACCCCUAAGUUACGUUCUCUGUAUAUAUACGUACAUGCUCAAGGCCGGGACACUGGCCGGCCGGCCGGCCACCGAUCCCUGUUCUGAAAUUUUUGACAAUAAUUUGCCACGGUGCUAAUGAAAAAGAGGGUUAAGUUGACCAUUGAGGAAGAGAACUAGCUUGACGUACAACAACAAGGGAUCGAUCGAUCAGUUCAUUUCUAUUUGUAGCAGUCCAAAUUCAGUUCGUUUUCAUAUAAAGAUCGAUAUGUCAAUUUUGUUGGUUCCCUGUUGAAUGGCACAAAUGCAUUUUCUCCAUCUUUCAUUUUCGUAGGGAAAAUAAUGAUCAAGUCUCAGUUAAGUUCUACAUGGCUAACAUUAAGCCACACUGCCACUCCAAUAUAUAAUCAUAAUCUAGAAAAUACGAUGAACCUCCAUUUUCAAAACAUGGAUCGAUCUUUGCUUGGUUUUAAUACAUAACGAUAAAAUGAUUAGAUGGCCAAACAAACUCAGCGGCCUGUUUAUGCUGUUGGCAAGGUGCGAUCGAUCAACAACUAUGCCUUGCGUAUAAGACAAUAAUUAAGCUAAUUCAAUCUUGUCUUGAAAAGAUAGUGCCAAUACAUAACUACCAACAUAUACAUGUGGGUUUGUAGGGGUUCUACACUGCACCCUUUACCCUUUCAUGCAUGCAUGCUCCAUGGCCAUAUCUCUCUCUCUCUCUCUCUCUCUCUCUCUCUCUGGAGUCUCGACCAGUAGAGUUCGUGGGGGAGGGAGUUCACGUGAUGGCCCUGAUGGAGAGCAUAUGGUUGAAGCGAGCACGGAGCAGCAUGCCUUCGGGGGCGGGGCACUGCGCUCGUUAACUGUUUGAUUAGUUAAGUCCGUUUGAUAUGUUUUCACUUCGUUAGCGCGUGCAUCCACGCGUAGUUAACUAACAGUUGGUGACCCAUCACCGUGUGGACUGAAGAAUCUCCGUCUAUUCAUAUGAUGUAGUCGAUCCGAUGGAUCAUGCCUCCGUCAAUCUGUACAAAACAAAUCACUAAUCUCACUCGAACCAAAUCUAUAGGGCAAGCUAGCUAGCUCAUCCAGUUAUCUUUUUUUGUUUCUUAAAAAGUUGAUAUUUUUAUAUAUAUGAGGUCGAUGUUAUGGCAAUACGUACGUUCUACCCGACGACGACACUAUAGCUAGCUAUGUACUGCUGUUUCUGGCCAUGCAUGGCUAGUGAAUGUGAAUCCUCCCGUACGAAGAUAUGCAAAUUUGUGAAGCUGAUUUGCAUCGAAUCAUGCUGAAGUGACCUUACUCAUAUAUGUAUGCUUUGCUCCAUAUAUUGAUCAAAUUUUCUGGUUUUGCUUAUGCCUACGUGAACUUACUCCAAAAACACACACGUCCCCACAUGUCCAAAUAUAUCACCCACAUAUCACAUACGCCAUGCACAGUUUGACCUUACAAGCUAGCCAGAUAUACCUAACUACGGUAUCCAUGCAUCGGCAUUAUUAAUUUAUGCAUGAACCGCAUGCAUCUUCAUUCUGUGUGUAUAUAAGCAAGUCGAAACUCAAAAUGUGUGGAGAGAAACUUGUAGAAGUUCCAGCUACUCACCUGGUGAAGUAACUGCAUGCUUUUUUUGUUGCAAUUACAUGAUGGCUUUCGUAACUGUGAACAAGCGCAGUAUCAUCUCUCUUCACCUCGCAUUUACGCUAGUACCCUUCCUCAUCUCGUCACUACCACUCGUAGCUCAUGGUAAGUCAGUAGUUUUUAACAUGUAAACCAUGCAAGAUAGUUUUAUAUGAUCGAUAUUGAUAUAGAGUAAAACUAACUGAUGGUUUUUUUUGUCUGGCCGGUUACUUUGAUGUACGUACGUGCAUGACACAGCACGAGAUAUCAGCAGCAGCAGAAGGAUCGAUGCCGUCAUGAAAAAAGGUGCGGCUGUGAGUAGUGUGCUUCAAGAUGCAGAACUAGUCGAGACCAGUGAUAUCAGCAGCAGCAGAAGCAGCCACCCAUUUGAAACCAAGCAAAAGCAAGAGAAUCUGGGCGGUGCUGCUGCACAAGGCAUAGAUGACGACUCACUGGUCGUGGAUUACACCCCAGUUAGAAGCAAGUCUCCCAUCCAUAACUGAUUAUAUGCUGAGUAUGCAUGGUUCGAUCUAUCUCCGCCAUAUAAGUUGAUAAUAUCUAGUAAAUAAAUCCCAUGAAAUUAAAGAUGCUCCAUGCUGUAAGUGCGUACUUGAAUAUAUACUCCAUAUUUGAAACUUCCAAGGACAUGCCUCCUGUGCCUGGCUAGCUAGCUUGCUAUAUAUCUUGCUAAAUAAGUUCUAUCUAAUAGAAUCUACUGGUUAGUUUAGGCAUGGUGUGAGUGCAUAUACCAUAUAUAUAGUUAUAUACAUGUGAGAAUAAAACUGCCGCUGCUCACAUAUAUUUGCCUGCAAGAGGCUUCUUAUUUGGUCGAUCUAUCAUCUGUAGAUAUACAAUUAAUGUAAAUAUAUGUAUGUAUACCAAUAAAUGUAAAGUUUUGCUUGUUCACCAUGCAUGUAUAUAUGUGUGUGUAUAUAUAUAUAUAUGUUAUAUGUAUAUGAUGUUGAAAUUAAGUUUCUAUUCAUAUAUUUGUUUGAAUGCAAAUGACUAUAUUGAGACGUUUUGGCAUGGUGAUUCGAUUAUAUAUGAAUCAUCUAGAUCACUCCUGCGGUAAGCGUCAUAAAUUCAGAAACUAUAAAGAUCGAGAUGUUGGUCAACGGAUAUAACUGCAUAUAGUGGAAAUUCUUGUAUACACCACGUGUAUUUACACGACACAAUCUUAACCAUUUAUAACAAUCUAUAUAUUUGACCACCAUGUUUCUAUAUUAUUUCCUUUAAUCCUGACCAUCCAUGUAUGUAUGUGAAGAUACACGCUGUGUACUGAAAAUGUUUUCCUGCAUAUAAUACGUAGUUGAAUUAGUAUUCAUCUCAAUAUUCUUAGUUAUUUCUGGAAAACCAAUAUUUCUUCAAUGUUUCUGGAAAAUCACUAUUUCUCCAACGUCUUAAAAUUUCUGUAUUAUAAGGAAACAAAAAAACCAACAUUUCUUCAAUGUUUAUGCUUCUAACAAAUUCUCUAUAAGAAUCUCCCGGUAUCCACAUUUAUUCCUAGCAAGUUUACAAAUUGCUGUAAGUUUAGGUUUUCUAAUCUCUUUCCUCAUUAUGACAUUAUCCCUAUUUCACUGAGUUAUAAGGGAAUAUGUUGGUUUGGAGCAAAAGAUGCUUUAUAUUAGCUGAAGUUACUUGAAACAAAGAAAAAUCAAGAUAUGAAGAAAACUGUUAGGGUUACCUUUCAAACAUGAUUGUUGGAAAAGUAUGUCAAACACAAUUUCGUUUUUAGGCCUCAUUUGGUUCACAAAAAACAAGAAUCGAAAAUGAAAAUUGUUCGUUUCCUACGUUUGGGAAUGCUGAAGGAAGGGAAAAUAUGAAAGAAAAUGGUUCCUUCUAAAAUCUAAAUGAACAACUUCCUUCAUUUUCUUACAUUUAUUACUCACAUCAUCUUAUUUUAUUGCAUUAAUUAACAAUAUUUAAAAUGAUUUUCUUUAUGUUCAUAAAUUGAAGAACAAAAAGUUAUCGGGAAAUUUCAUUUCCCUUAUCUUUCCUUUCCCAUGAGAAAGAAAGACAAGAAUUAAUCUCAUGCUGCAAUCCAAAUGAGACCUUAAGGUCCCUCAUAUCCUAAAUGCAUAUAUUUUAGUUUCAUCAACUUAUUAGAUAUGUUCUAUGUAGUUUGCAGGUGUUUUGGGUUUCUUCUUUUUUUUUUUUUUUCUUCGAAAAAGAUCCAUAACUUAAUUGAGCAGAACUUAAGAUGGUUUUUGUGGCCUGGAAGUAAUACAUGCCAUUAUUAAUCUUCUAAAGUGGCUUGGGUGGUUGUUUGUACUCCUACAAGUGAAGGAUGGAGGUCUGGGUAUCAAAAGUCUUCAUAUUUGGAACAAGGCUCUAAUGGCGAGGCAUAUUUGGAUUCUUCUGACAUAUGACUCUAGUCUUUAGUCUUCUUGGAUCAAAGUUAAUUUCCUGAGAGAUAAAAGUUUUUGGAUCGAUGGUGUCUACCCCAUCUCCCUCUUAUCUUUCCUUUCCCAUGAGAAAGAAAGACAAAAGAAUCAAUCUCAUGCUGCAAUCCAAACAAGGCCUUAAGGUCCCUCAUAUCCUAAAUACAUAUAUUUUAGUUUCGUCAACUUAUUAAUUAUGUUCUUUGUAGUUUGCAGGUGUUUAAUUUGGGCUUCUCAUUUUUUUUUUCCGAAAAAGAUCCAUAACUUAAUUUAGCAGAAAUUAUGAUGUUUUUUGUGGCCUAGAAGUAGUACAUGCCAUUAUUCUUCUAAAGUGGCUUGGGAGGUUGUUUGUACUCCUACAAGUGAGGGAGGUCUGAGAAUCAAAAGUCUUCGUAUUUGAAAUAAGGCUCUAAUGACGAGACAUAUUUGGAUUAUUCUAACAUAUGACUCCGGUCUUUAGUCUUAUUAGAUCAAAGUUAAUUUCCUGAGAGAUAAAAGCUUUUGGAUCGAUUCAUAUUUGAAAUAAGGCUCUAAUGACGAGGCAUAUUUGGAUUCUUCUAACAUAUGACUCCAGUCUUUAAUCUUAUUAGAUCAAAGUUAAUUUCCUAAGAGAUAAAAGUUUUUGGAUCGAUGGUGUCUAACACCCCUCCCCCCCCCCCCCCCCCCCCAAAAAAAAAAAAAAACCCUUAUUGCUCAUGGAAUUGAAGGAAGUUGUUGAAGAUUAGAGAUCUUAUUCGUCCUUUUAUUAAGCAUGCUAUUGGUGAUGGAAAGUCUACUUAUUUCUGACAUGAUUAUUGGCACUCUUGUUAAUUUUGGUGUUCCUUCCAAUGCCUUGGUUAGCUCUGUUGUGAUGGGUGAGUCUUGGUAAUGGCCUCUUUCUACUAAUUUUGUCGUUCUUAAGGUUGCAAAUAAUCUAGACGGUCUUCUUCCAAAUUCAAGUUGCAAAGAUUCUUGAAUUUUCUGGUUAUAUGGUUAGGUUCUACUUCUGGAAUUUUCUCUACAGCUUUAGCGAUGGAUGAUAGAUUCAUAUUUCAUACAUUUUUAUACCCUUAUAUGCAUGAUUAUAUGCUUAGUUCUUGUCAAUUGUGAGUCAUUUACUUGGUUUUUAUGUUUUGUAGGUCAAGUUGGAGAAAAAGAGAAUUUAGAGCUAAGUGAUCCAGAAACUGCCAUGCUGUGCAUCAACUUUGGGAAUUAAAUUGUACCUACUCACAAGGAAUCUGGAGGCGAACCAUACACCAUUGGAAAGCUACAGAUGUUAGCUUUCUGAGAAAUUUUGCGGAAGUGGAUUUGUAUUUUUCUAGAGCAAAUUAUGAAGGUUUGAGUAGACGCAACGCGUGGAGGCAGAUUCUAACGAAUUUUGUGUUUCUUCUCAUGAUUCUAAUUUGUGAAGCCCAAGUCCAUCAAUCUUAAUACUAAGGAAAAGGGCUGAACGUGUCUACACAUUUGGAAGGCUAUCCUUACAUUGACAAUAAUAACCUUGUGUUAUUUGGAGAGAAGAUAACAAUUCCAAGUUGGACAAGGAGAGUCCGAAAAAGCCCAAAUCAAUUGGGAUUUCAAGGGGAAUAAAAGAAGAACCCUAAGGACAUUAAAAAGAAGAACAGGGACGCAGCAAAGGAAGACGCAGCAAUAUUGGCAGAGAAGGAAAAGAAGAACGGAGCCUCUCCAUCACUCAACCCGAGUUCUUAUAUCUUCUUUUGUUUCUUCCAUGCUAUCUUUAUUUCUAGUCAUGUUUUCUUUAUCUAUGGAUUUCUAAACUUCUAGCUAGGGCUGAGAUGAAGCCCCUAGUAUGAUUACUCUAUUUCUUUAGUUGAUUGUUUUGGAUUCAAUGGAUUGCCAUGUUAAAUUCUCAAUCACCAUUUUAAUUAAACUUUUAUUCAAAAUCUUUGUUUGGGAUCAAUAAGACCUAGGUUUUGUUUAUUAGUUAUUUGGUUUGAAAACAUGAGGCUUGAUCGAGAGUAGAUGUUUUCUAGGGUUCCAAAGGAUUUAUUUAAUUUUGUGAUUAGAGAGUUGUAAGUUAAGAAUACAAGUGCUUGAUCAUAGUCGAUAUUCUUGUUUACAUGAUUUUCUAGUUCUUUUGUGUUUAAUGGAGUUGAACAUGUUUUACUUGAACCUGAUCAUAACGUGAAGUAAAUUAUAGUUUGGCUACUUGAGUUCUAUACAGAAUCAAUAAGUUAGAAUUCAUUGUUUAGAAGAACUUUGGCAUAUGUCUGGGAUCAAUAAGGCUUAUGUACGGAAAUCUUUAGCAUGCAAUCUAGGGAGUUCAAUUGCUAUCAACUUGAGAGGAGGGUAUGAGUAUUAGGUGGUGGAUUCAAUGUUUUAGCAUCUUCAUAAUCUGCUCUUAAACUCAUAGAAAUUUCAUUGUUCUCUUGUCUUUAAUUUCAAUUUUAUUACUUUAUUUUUUGUUUUCAAUCCAAACAUCAUAAAAUCAUAUUGUUAUUUCAUUAGGCAUAGUAUAAUUAGCAUAAUAAGUUGUUCUAAUCAAUCCAUAAAGGGAACGACCUCGUGCUUGCACUUCUAUUCUAUAAGUGGUUCGUGCACUUGCGAGUACUAUAUUAAAACAUACAACAAUAUAUCAGCUUCAGACUCAUUAUUUUGUUGUUGAUUGGGCUAAAAGUAUAAGGUUUACCAAUAAUAUUCCUAGAGCCAGUUUUAUCUUUUGCUUGGUUGAUCAUGGUAAGCUUGCUACUCUUGAUAGGGUCACUACUUGUUCUCCUCAUAUUAGUCCUCUCUGUCCUCUUUGUGGUCUAGUUCCAGAGAAUAUUAAUCAUAUUUUCUUUGCCUCUUUUUCUCGCUACACAUUUGGAAGAAUGUUUUUUGUUCUUAUGGGGCGUCUUGGUUGAACCCUUCUUAGGCUUUAUUUAUUGAAUGGGUCUCUUCUGGUAGGUAAGUCUUUCUCUUCUAUCAUCAAGAAGUUUGGUCUUUCCGUUACUGUUUAUCUCAUAUGGACAAAGAGGAAUAAUCAUAUCUUUAGAAAUGAAAGAUGUGCUCCAUAUUUGGUCCUCAAGAGUCAAAAAUAUUAUCUCCAUGAUCAGAUGCAUGCUCAUUUCCAUCAAGUUUAAGUGUUCUAGUACUAAUAGAUUUAUUACUGAAAAGUGGAACUUAGAUGCAUCUUUGCCUUUUCUUGUUUUUUCCUUUUCAAGUUUUGUUUUGCUUUCCUUUGGUUUGAUUUGUUUUUUCUAUUGUUCUAUAGUUUCUUUGUUUUUGACUUCAGUUGUGUAGUGGGCUUGCCCUCCCUUUUUUGGUUCAAUAUACUCGUUUAUUUACCAAAAAAAACUUGGUUCAGAAUUUAACUGGUUGUUGAUUGAAAACUUGAAAGGUUAUUAGGAGCUACAGGUAGCACAACUCCUUGAUUGACACCAACGGUAACUCUUCAUAAACUAGUAAUUGACUGUAAUUCAUCUAAACUUUGUCUCCUCUAUUUAUCAAACUGAUUCAUACAAGUCCAAGUAUAAUCUUCGAGUUCUUUCUUUCUUGUUACUGUAUUCCAGGACAAAUUUUACUUCACUCUUUCUUGUAACUUCUUAUAUAUACAUUUCUGUACUCUAUAUUUUUGAGCUUGCUUCUGUUUUCCUGUAUCUUUUCCUCUUCUCAUUUUGUAAUGAAACAGUUCAAUUAUAUGCUACAGACCAUACCAACCUCAACAAGAGCAGCAUGAGGAAUGUUGAGUGCAACGGGAGGCUCUCUGCAGUUUUUCUCACUCAAAACGUAAGUCAUGAUCAGUAACCGCUUGAAAAUGUUUGAGCCGUCACGAACUGCCAAAUGCACCUGACCCAAGAAAUAUGCAGCACCACUCUCCCUAGCAUCAAUCAGUUCUUGAAGCUCCUCCCUAACAGAUACUCGCAUCUUAGGACUAUUCGGAGGCAGCAUGAAGCGGACUUUUUUUCUCUGCAUCGAAACCAAACCACUCUCACAUGCAUCAGCCAAUGUACCUAGCCGGCUUUCACUGUGCACCAAGCUCACUGAGUCCUCACAUGAGGUAAUCUCACUUAAAGGAAUCAAAGCACUUCCAUUUGAUGGUGGCUUGCCAACUAUGAUCAUUCUAUCUUGAAAUGAAUUGUCAAAGUCAUUUUCUUCCACGGAAAUGAAUUCUCCAAUCGAACCAAUAAUCUCUUCCUCAAAAUCAUCAGUGUCUCUAAUGUGAUCACAAUAUCCAUAUCUCACCACACAACGAUAUAUUUUAAGAUCUUUUGGCCCGAUCCUUCCCACAAGGUACCUCCGAGUUGCAGGGACAUAGGGAACUGGUAGAGACUUGAAGGACACAAAGAUCAAAACUUGAUGAAAUGCAGGAAGAUUCGUAAUAAAGUGUGAGAAGAAAGCUGGAAUUCCUGAGACUAUAUCAGUAUAAAUGAAACCAAUGCCAGGUACCCUGGUAACUCCUAGUGCUGGGCUAAUAGCUACAAGCCAUUCUGCAGACACCUUGUUUGUUAAAUCGAAUUCAAGCUUCUUCUUGGUUCCGUAAUGCCAUGAAAGCAUGAUAGUCAAGGACAAUGCCAAUAGGAAAACUAAAUACCAAGCUCCUUUGUGGAAAUUCAAAAUACAAGCUGACACAUACAUCGCCUCAAUGAAGCCGAAGAAUAGUAGAAAACAGAUAGAUUCAAACAAACUCUUCUCCCAGUAUAAGGCAAUCACCAGUGACAUGAGACAAGUUGUUACAACCAUUGCAGAAAUUACGGCCAAACCUGAAAUCCAUCAGAUAACCAUGACACAAUUAUAUAUAUACGAUUAUGUCAAAGUUGCAACAUUAAAAUUUAUUCUGGUAAGAGUUCAGAGAAGUAAAAGAAAAAUAUGGCAGUGGUUACUAAACUAGGUGUAGUGUUGAGAUAUAAGUACCUGUUGCAUUGCCAAUUUUCUCAAUAUUAUGGAAACCAAUUGUAACAGUAAGGCAUAGAACCAUCAGUAUCCAGUUGAUAUCGGGAAUAUAAACCUGCCCGUGUAUCUUAUCUGAUGUAUGAAUAACUUUUACUCUGGGAAAACAACCAAGUGCCAGGCACUGAUUUAUGAUGGAGAAACUGGCCGUUAUGGUGGCUUGACUUCCGACAGCUGAAGCAAGUAGGGAUAAUGCAGUGAACCAGUGUCGAACUGAUACUGGAAUUUCCAUGUUUUCACAUGUGUUAGAUAGACAUAAAUUUGCAAAUGAAGCACUCAGUGAAGCAAUAUUUAAGCGUACAACUUACAAGGAACUGACACACUGAGAUGAUUGUAAUCAUCAUCAUGAAAGUUUUUGGAGAUAAAUGCAGCCUGACCGGCAUAGCAUAGAACAAGAACAGGAUAGAUGAGGCAUACAAAUGUAAUCUGCAGCAGAGGAUGUACCAUCCACAAGUUAGUUGAAAUCUUGAAGUAGAUGAUGAUAUUAGAUGACAGAAUAUUAGAUAUCAUAAAACCUUGAUGGAUUUCUUUCUGAAGUGACCUAGAUCUGCGUACAUGGCCUCUGACCCUGAAAAUGUUGAGAGAAUGUUCAUGAUCUAAUGAAAAAAUCUUGUCUGAGAGGAAACCAAAGAAUUGUUAGUUCAAAUAUAGUAAAAUGAAGCUCAGGUAAUUAUAGCAUAAGCAGACCUGCUACACAUAGAACUAUGCUGCCUAAUGCUCUCCAACGGCCAACGUUAAUGUUCCUAACAAAUCUGUACAUGUAUACUGGAGAGAUUGCAUGGAUAAUUUUUCUGUCCCAGUAGAAAAUAUUAUAUAUACCCACUCCACCAAUACAUAUCAGCCAAAUAAUGAUAAUCGGAGCAAACAUAAACCCAAUUUUACGUGUCCCGUAAUGCUGGAGCGUGAAGAGGCACACCAAUAUAGCAGAUGCCAAAGGAACUGGUACAUCUGGAAGGAAUAUGAUUUGAUAAUUAGGAAAAUCCUGUAAUUAAGUUAUCUUAAUCAUAGACAUUACAGAAACAUAUAAAAGAACUGGCAGAAUAGCACACUAGUUGCAAACAUAUAAACUUACAGAGGGUAAAUUCUUAUGCAACCAUUAGAGUAUAUAUAAAACAUAGUUGUGGCCUAAGUCAUGUAAGUUCAUAGGAUUCUAGGAUUCAUGACAAGAAAAGAAGGCAGAUUGAAUACAAUUGAAGUAUCUGUGUUGAGGUAGAAUACUCACAAUCUUUAAAAGCUUUUGCUAGUGAAUCUUGUUUAUUUUCCGAAGAUGAAACUGGUAACCACAAAAUAAAGUUAAGUUACUGAAUAAUGCUCAAGGCACAAGAUAUCUCUCUAACUGAAUUUACAGCUAGUUCUUACAUUUUUUGGCCAUAUCUGACAGUGAUCUUUGAACACCUGUUGAAGCUGAAUAGACUGGGUAAUGAGAGGACAAGUAAACAAAUCAUUCAGUCAUACUCAGACAGAAACCUGAUGCAGCAAAUAAUUGAAAAAAAAGUUGAUGAGGAGAGCCAAACCCGAAAGAGCUGGGGUAAGCACCCCAAUGCCGAUUGUCAUGCAGGAACCUAACAGAGCCAGGACCAACAUGACAUAGUGACUACUCUUAUGUUUUUCAAUGGCUCUUUUAGCCCUCGAUUCCACCUUAAUCCAGAAAGGUAUUUCCCUCUCAUAAUGCAUAACCUCAUUGGAACUUUUGUCAUUUGGAAGCAAACCCACUUUGGCAUGUCUACACAAGAGUGAGUACAGAGCGAAAGUACCACCUACAAUUUGUGGAAGCAAGAAAAUUGUUCAUCAGUAGAAAAAUGAUGUAUAUGCUUGCAAUUACAAGGAUAUGAGACCAUUACCUUCUCCAUUAUCAUCAGCUCGUAAUACUAUACAGGCGUACUUCAGAAAAGAAAUGAUGCUCAUAGUCCAGAAAAUGAAGGAGAAUAGUUCAUAAACUGUAUCCUCCGAUUUGAUAUCUUUUGCAUGAAUUGUCCCAAAGACAUAUAAGGGCGCAGUACUCAUUUGACCAUAUAACACUCCAAGGCUCUGAAAUGACAAAAGAAGUGUAUACUUCCAUGUCUCCUGCAUAUUAUACACGAUGAUAAGCUCAAGCUGAUUAUAAAAACUCCCCAGGGAGCAGCCAACUGGUUAAAAUCAAUUCGCUAUAAGAUGAAGACAAUGAGACUUACAAAUAAUCAACUAUAUAUAGGGAAGAAGAACAAUAGGGAGAACCCAACUGAUGAACUAAAGCAGGUAUUUCUAACCAAGUACAGCUGAUUAUAAUCUAGCUCCGGAUUGAGUACAAAAUGCUAAAGAAAAUAUACAAAUUCAAAACUUUCCUAUUUUUUCUUUUCUUUCCAAGGGGGACCAUCAAAGAUGACAUAGCAAUACAGUUAAAAUCAAAGAGAGAGCUAGCAGUGAUCACUGCUUCUACAGGUUUUCUAUAUCCAGGCAAGUCAAAAAGAAUUAUAAACCAAAGUUUUGUGGCUGAAACUAAAAAGGUUACCUUCAACUGAUUAGAGGAAGUGGCAGAACUGAGCUGAGAAUCCCAAUCCAUGUUUGGCUGAUACGAGUAGACAGAUUGUCAAGAAAGAAAUCAAUGUAAACUGAGUUACUGAGGAAAUGUGAAUAGUACAAGAGAGAUAUAUAUGAAAGAAAGAAGGACAGCUGGGGUUGUUAAGCAAGCGACUUACACAAUGCAUUACACACGGAGAUGACAACGUGGAGGAUCACAAACUAAAACAAAUCCCACACAUAUGGUCAUCUUCAAUACCAAUAAAUACAGAGAGGUUUUCUGUUUCUUAUUCUUUGGGGUGUUGGUAUAUCUAUAUCUAGCUAGUUGGGAGGGAAUGCCGGACUGACAGCGACGCCUAUAAUUUUCAGGAUCGAAGUUUAUUAAUCAAUCACAAAAUUAUAAUAAAGCAAAUCUGAUUCACAUGACUUAUAGUUUGGAGUUUGUUGAGGUAGGAACCCCUUCACAUGUCUUGUCUUCUGCCUUGAUUUUUCCCCGUCAAUGUUAUCCGCUGCAGACCUGUAAUUCGUUUUGUCUAGCUUAACUUGAAAAAAUUUCUACAAUGUUCCGGAGUAUUUAUCAAAUGAGUCAAACUAAUCAAUGAGAAAACAGACACUAUUAAAAGGUCAAACCAUAAAGCUGGUCAAGGUAAAAACAAAAGGAAAUCAAUCUGCAAAGGAUGCAUCUGUUUAGAGUGAAAAGUGAGAUGUGAAUAACCUCUACUUGUAUAGAAAGAGCUACAUUUCCAAUACAAUCAUGAAUUUACAGGAUGCAUGCUAUCCCAUGCAACAAAACAAAUCCCUCCACAACUAUAUGGAAGGCAACUACAGGUAACGAGUCCCAUUCUCAAUGGGAUUAGAUAUGAAAUCCAAGCUAAAAAUAGAUCACGACAAAAUUUGACUGCAGCUAACUGAAUGAUUAUUUGGGGUCCGAAAUUUACCCAAAUACCAAAAAAGGGGCAGGGCAGUUCCUAUCAGUACCCCAUUGCCAAAGUCCUACAAGUAAACUGAUUCACCAUUAUCUUAUUCAUAAGCCUUCUCCCAGUCAUCUACCACUUCAGAUGUUUCUGCAAUAGAACCUCCAAGCUGCCCCAUGGAAGUCGAACUGCUUGCAUUUGAUGGAGUUGAACCACUAGCAUUUGAUUCCACCAUAGAAAUUAAACCAGCAGUGGUAUGCUUUCCAGAGUCCUCUACUGUGGGAGAUACACCAGCAGAAGUAUGCUUUCCAGAGUCCUCUACUGUGGGCGAUACAGAAGAUGAUCCCAAAGGCACUUCACUAUCAAGUACACUCCAGCGGUUUAAUGAGGCAGCAAUUGGAGCUUCCUUUUUCCACACAGAUGCCUGGACAUCUGCAGAACCACCUGACAACUCUUCAUCACCCCAUGAAUCUUCUCUCCAAGAGGACUCCCGAAUAACAGCCUUCUUCCACGCAUUACCCUUCAGUGCUGUAUAGGCUCCUUCCUUGGCUAUUCCCACUCCACCCCACGCAUUAGAACCAGAUGAAGCCACAGACAAAACAGCAAUAGCCCCAUGAUAGAGUGUACCAUUAUCCAACCUCCUCAUUGCAGUUGCGGCUCGAGCAGGAUCAUUAAAUACAGCCAAUGCGUUCUUGUCAUUCAACCAGACAAGCUCACAUUCACCACCAAACCUCAAAACCAAUGCACUUAUAUCUGCAUCCCUGGGAAGAUCUGGGAAAGAAACUACAAGCCUGGGAUCCAUGUCAACUAAAUGAUCAAAAGCUGGAGGCUGGGAUGUGUUUACUGUGGUGGUACCCUUAACCCCAAGCACCCUGGCUGGGACUUUGGAUUUAGGAGUAGCAUGAACCACAAUAAAACGCUUGGGCUCCCAGCCAGCAGCUUGAACAGCAAGCUUCCACCUGUCAGCAAUCACCCUAACCACAUCUCUCUUUUCCUUCAGCAUUGGACAAAAGACAUGGACCCGGAGGCCACUUGUAGCACCUUUGCUCUUUCCAAGCACCAACUGUUUGCAUCUCUCCUCCACCGAUAAAACCCACUUUGGAUCACGCCUAAAAAGGUCCGAAAGCAACUCAGAAGUAACAUUAGUCUCACCAAAAUGGAGUGCAUCCAAAUUUGGAGGAACUAUAUCAAAAGCAUCUGCAAGAACACGUUUCCGCUCCAACUUGGCACAUUCAUCAUCACACAUGAGCUUCCUCUGUCCAAGUGGGACCUUCUUGUUGGUGGCUUCUACUGGUUGCAGUGGUACUGGCAACUUUUGAAUAAUGGAAGCUUCAAAGACAGUGCCAGCAUUAAAACUAGCAUUGCUGCCACCAGAAUCGCAAGGAACAUUUGCUGUUAUCCGGCCACAAGAACACGUGAUUGUCACAAGGAAAUCACAUCUGGCGUCCGGACAGGAAGCAUAAGGGUGACAAGGUGCAGUACAUGUGUGCCUGCAAUCCCUCCUAGGAGCACCACAUAUCUGUCCACAAGAAGAUUUUGAGCCGACUUCCGCUGACGAGGAAGACUCGCAAGGCGGUGGGUGACAUGUUCUACCACAAGCAUGCAUACCACAUUGCCUUAUCUUCCCACAGGACUUGUUACAUUUAAUGUCCUUCGACCCACAAGGAAUGUUCCUGAGAACCACAUGACCACCAAUGCACUCCUUUGGCACAGGCACUGAACAAGGUGGGCAGUCUCCAAAGUGGCAGCUGUGAGAAGAUGAAUGUCCGCAAGGCUGAGGCACCGAACAAGGAAGCUGACAUGAUGGAGGAGGUGUACCACAGGGCAAUGGAGGAGGGAUUGAAGUUCUCCCACAUGCACAUGUCAAGUCAGUGAAGAUUGUAUCAAGGCAGGGAGGACAGUGGCCACUGUGACACAGAGAUUCACAAGAAUGCUGCCCGCACCUUAAUUUCUUCCCACAGGGCAUAGAGCACAAGUGAGGAUCCCAAUCCCCUGAGAGUCGAUUAUUUGAAUUAGAAAGAGGACAGCACCUUUCACUACAACGGUGCCUUCCACAAUUCUUCUUCCGUCCACAAGGCUUAUCACAGGUAAAUUUCUGAUUCUCCAUCGUUGUAUUACAGCAUUCCACAUUCCGAGAAGUUGAUUCACAGCGGCACUUUUGGGUAACUUUUACCAAACAAGGGGGGCAAUCACCAGUAUGGCAUAUCUGUUGACACUGGUGCACCCCACAAGGGAGAGUCUUCUCACAUAUUUGUGAGCAAGUUGGAAUCGGAUCCAAACAACUCUGGCGUUCCUCCUGCAAGCUUGUUUUCCCACAAUGGCAUGUCUUAACAUUCUGUGGCAUUAAAUUGCACUCUCCACAAGGGCCUGGAUGACAAAUUUCGCUGCAAACAUGAUUGCCACAGCUAAGCUUCUUACAACAACUAGAACUGCAAGAAAAAACACCAUCCUCUGCUUUUACCUCUCCCUUUACUGUCAUCUCUUCACAUAGAACAACCUCCACCUUUUUCAGGCAAAAGCAAGAAGCAUUGAAUGGCACCUGACAAGGAUCACAAGGACCCACAUGGCACUUCCGCUCACAGCGGUGACGCCCACAAUCAAGAAGCUUACUACAUUGAUUGCCACAUGUCAGAACAGAAGUCCGAUCUGAGCAUCUUGUUGUUAUUGUUUUCUUUCCACAAGGGCAUAACCUCGGCGGUGCAAAUGCUUUACAAGGAGGGCAUGGACCCGGGUGGCACUGCAAGACACACAUAUGAGGGCAAAGAUCAUCCUUACUUAUUCCUCUUCCUGCAACCUCCUUCUCCAGUGGCUUCCCACAAUGUUCUCCACAUGAAUGUGGUGUCAAAUACAAAUCCGAAGGUGGGUCUGUCCGCUUACCGCAAAAACACACAUAGCGAAUCUCCUUUGACGAUGUGAGCUGUACAGACUGACAUCCUGGACACCGCCAAUUAAAACCCUGAUUCUUCCCUGCAGACAUAUCAAUAGAGGUAGGAGCUCGAGCCCAUUUCUUGAUGCAAUUCAGAUGGAAAAUCGAGUAACAGCUUGAGCACGACCAUACAGGUGCAGACCUCCUCACCAUAUCAUAACAAAUCAUGCACUCAACAGUACCCUUAGUCAGUUUAUCCUGAAUCUCUUGCACAAGCUGCGGCAAACUAGAGUCCUUCAUUCCCAUCCCCUCCUGACUCUCACUCUUUUCCCUCUCCCUUCUAUGAUUCACCGGCCGAACCACAUUACCCCUGUAACCAUGAUGUCCUCCUCUGUGCUCCCGAUUCUCCGAUAAUGUGGAGCUUUGAUUAGACUGCCCUCCAUUCCCAUUGUGUCCUCCUCUGUGCUGCCGACUCUCUGAUGGCACAGAGCUGUGAUUGAACUGCCCAACAAUUCCAUUAUGUCCUCCUCUAUGCUGCCGACCAUCUGACGGUGUGAAGCUGUAAUUAGACUGCCCUCCAUUUCCAUUAUGCCCCCCUCUUUGCUGCCGACUCUCUGAUGGUCCCGACACCUGGUUAAGCUGCCCACCAUUUCCAUUAUACCCUCCUCUAUGCUGCCGACUCUCUCCUGGUGCCGAAACAUGAUUGGGCUGUCCUCCAUUUCCACCAUGUCCUCCUCUAUGCUGCCGACUCUCUCCUGCCGCAGGGCCGUUGGCAUUCCCAUUCUGUAAGUUCAAACUGAAUCCCGGAGGAGGCGGGUUCACGGCAGCGGCGGUAGGGUUGGAGCCUCUCGGCACCCAACGAGGCUGAGAAGGAUUCCUGGACCUGUUGUUAUCCCUACGCUCACCCCGGACCUGAGAAGCCAUAUUCACCGAACCAACCAAACCCUCACAGCUCCUGUCCCCCAACAGUUUGCUCAACUCAAAUUGAUCCACAGAAAACGAAAACGAAUACAAACUGCAGUCACAAAUCAAACCAAUCAAUCCACAAUCGACGGUUUUAACCUUAACCCAAGUCCUAUUUCCUCCCUAAUUCCAAUCCACACAACAACCCAUUCAAAAACCCUAAUUUCUCCGAUUCAAUAAUUACAAGAAAAUGAAAAAAGGAAAGGAAGAAGUACCUGAUCGGAGAGUCGCCAAUGAAGAUUGAGUUGGUGACGAGAUUGAAUUGAAAAGGUGUGUGUUUGAUUUAGAGGGUCUGUGAUAAAUGAGAGUAAAUUGGGCUUCUCGCUGGGAGAAGAGUCCGACCCGAAUAGAAGGAAAGAGGAGAGAGAGGAGUAUAUAUAGGUGUGUAGGGGAGACGGUGGUGGCGUGGUGGUGAAGGAAAAAGGGAGGAAGAGAGGGGGAGGCGGUGAGAGUAGUUCGUCACAUUAAUCGCGUGCUCUCUUUAUCGCCAUUUGUUUCUGGUCUUCUCCAAGUAUUUUCGUGGUCACCACGCCUGUGUUGCCGUCAGGCCCACCACCGCCUUGGGCGCCAAGCAUCGCUCUCUCCCUCUCUCUUUUGGGCCAACCUCAUGGGCCUGUCUUUCACAUAUUCGGGCUAGCGUAGUUACAAGUCCACGCUACCCGACGAUCAUUAUGAAAACACGUUAGCAUGAAUAUCUUCCGUUUUUUUUUUGGUGAAAAAUGAAUAAUUCAUUAAUCAAGGAACAAACCCAAUUACAAGCCAGCAAACGCUUAGCAACAACCCAUCUCAGCCCUUAUAUCGGACUCGAAACCACACACACCCGUUUCACCACGCCAAUGUUGUCGCCGACGAAGGCUAGAUCACCUAAACCGCAUGCACUUGAACUAGCCAAGGUACCACAGCCAACACCUUGCCAGAAGAGGUGCGGAGCGGCCCAAACCCAGUCCAACACUCUCGAAACAUCGGCGGCACCUUUCCAUACCGGUGGAAGCCCACAAGCACGCAUGAAGAUACAACCCGAAGCUAGGAAGCUAAUCACAUCAUCUGGAAGAUGAGAAAUGUUGAGGAGACCAAACAAGCAGAAACCCACCCAGUCCAUAUGACGUCAGGCACAACCGCCCCCACCCCGCAAAAGGUCGAGAGAAGUCGAAGACUCAUCUAUAACCAACGUGCACAGAUGCCGCAUAGGAGGAGACCUAGGGAGAGUUUGCCUGAAAUAGGGAUGGCAAUAAUCCCCAACGGGUAGGGUACCCACUGGUAUUCGACCCUAACGGGGAAGAUAUACGAGUAUAAACGAGUAAUGGGGAUGGGGAUCCUCAGUAUUCGGAUUCUUAAAUCAGGUACGGGGCGGGUAUGGUAUUUUGAUAUUCGUCUUCAUCCCCCACCCAUUAAGGAUGAAAAUAUUAUUAUAUAUAAUUAUAUAAUUUAUUAUUAUAUAUAUUUAUAUAUAAUUUAUAAAUAAAUAUUUAUGUAAAAAAAUUUGUGAUUCUCUUAAUAAACGGAUCUUCCUUUUUAUUAUAUAUUUUUAUUCUCUUAAUGAAAUUUACCAGUAUUGUUCUGUUUUAACCAAGACUUGUAUUUAUUUUUAUUGGAUUGAAGCAUGAAACUUAUUUAUUUUGGUAUUUGAUUUUAAUUUCAUACUUUUAUAUAAUUGUAUUUCGUAUUUUAAAAAAAUAUUUCAUUUAAUAUAUAAUUGUUAACGGAUACGGGUACGGGUAUGGAAACGUAAUCUCCAAAGGGUACAGGUACAGGGAAUCCCUAUUAUCUAAUUACGGGUAUGAAACGGGUACGGGGAUGAGAAAUAUAAAAGGGUAUGGAUACGGUAUUUUGAUCCCCGUACCCUACCUUACCCAUUACCAUCCUUAGCCUGAAAGAGAACCCAUUUUAUAUUUUAUUUUUUCAACAGUUACAAUAACAUAUUUAUUCAUUAAUGUAACGUUAUUUAAUUAAAAGAUAAAAUUAAUUCUAAAUAUUUUAAUCACGUGAUACAAGACAUUCUCAUGAGUCAUGACACAGUAAUAAUUAUAAAUACUUGUCCAUUAUGCAGUACUGAUUAAUAUUUUCUACGAAUAGGAAAAGAGUGAUCUGUAUGAGUGUCGAGGUCGAGGUGGGUUGUUUCACGACGUCCUUAUGAGCCUUGAACAACACCAGCCGUCGAUGCUCCAUAGUUUAAAGAAAAUGCAGCUUCGGUUACGAGUGUUGUUGUCAGUAUUAUAUUUCUGGUAAUCACCAAAAUCGUGUCGUCUUUCAUCACAUUGUGAUUUUGGUUUCACCGUUUUCGUGAAAAAUUAAAUAAUAAUUCCAAAGCGAAUUCAGAAACAGCAGAACCGCACCAAGGAAAAGUACAACAGUACAACUCAAACUUUGUAUCUUGCUUCCACGGUUUGCACUCCACAUAACUUUCUACGAAGUUGUAUAAAUAUUCACAGUAGCUUAUCAAAACCUCAAACCAGACCCAAGAGCCUCAAAGCUCCUCUUCCUCUCCUAGCUAUCACUCUUCCUCCUCUCCUUGUUUUUUGGUUUCUCUAAAAAUGUCUUUGCUCACUGAUCUUAUCAACCUCAACCUCUCCGAUAUCACUGAUAAAAUUAUCGCUGAGUACAUAUGGUCAGCUUUCUUCUUUGAUCUCCCUCUAGUAUUAUAUCGAUCACUUAUGAAUCAAGAUUCUUGCUUUUCUUUUCAAAUGAUUAUAAGUUUCUAGUUCUGUUGUUUGUUUUGAUGGGUUUCUGCUUUGAUAACAGGGUUGGAGGAUCUGGUAUGGAUGUUAGAAGUAAAGCCAGGGUAAUUUUUCUUAUCUGUUUUUAUUUUGUCCUCAUUCGUUUCUGAUAAUUGAUCUGAUUAGUUACUUUUACUUUGUAUGAGGCAGACUCUUCCUGGACCAGUAAGUGAUCCUUCAAAACUACCGAAAUGGAACUAUGAUGGUUCUAGCACUGGCCAAGCUCCUGGAGAAGACAGUGAAGUGAUCCUAUAGUAUGCUCUGUUUCUCUCUGUUUUCCCCAUCCAAGUUUUCAAGUUUCAUUUCUGUAUGUUUUUAUUGAAACCUUGAUUCUGUUGGUGUUUAAAAAUAGCCCACAAGCAAUCUUUAGGGACCCAUUCAGGAGAGGAAACAACAUCCUGGUAAAGUCACUCAGUUUCCAUUUCACUUUGUUUGCUCAACAAUAUUAACUUUUUGUUAUCUAUUUUGUUCUUUAUUAACUUUGAUUUAUUUACAGGUGAUAUGUGAUGCUUACACACCAGCUGGAGAGCCAAUUCCAACCAACAAGAGGGCUAAGGCUGCAAAGAUCUUCAACCACCCUGAUGUUGUUGCUGAAGUGCCCUGGUAAUUUAGUCCUGAAACUCUCACCUUUUGGUUUUAAGAUUUGGGAGGCAAUUCUGAUGUAAAAUAUGAAAUGCUUGCUUGUGAUUAUACAGGUAUGGCUUAGAGCAAGAGUACACUCUGUUGCAGAAAGAUGUACAGUGGCCAAUUGGGUGGCCUCUGGGUGGAUAUCCUGGAGCACAGGUUACACAUUGAACAUAACAUUUUUUCUUUUUGAGAAAUGAAACAUCACUUUUUCCUUAUUUUCAUCUACUAGCUGUAAUCAAUUAACGAAGCCUGUAAUGUUACUGACAGAGAGAUUUUGUUUUUUGUUGAGCAGGGACCUUACUACUGUGGAGCUGGUGCUGAUAAGGCCUUUGGCCGUGACAUUGUAGAUUCUCACUACAAAGCUUGUCUGUAUGCCGGCAUCGACAUCAGUGGCAUUAAUGGUGAAGUUAUGCCUGGUCAGGUAAACAACCUAACUCCACUGCAUGUGUAGAUGCAACCAACUUUUUCUGUAUCAAUACAUCACGAACAAUUUUGCUUGUGUUUCGUAGUGGGAAUUCCAAGUUGGACCUACAGUUGGCAUAUCUGCCGGAGAUCAGUUAUGGGCAGCGCGUUACAUUUUGGAGAGGAUCACUGAGAUAGCUGGAGUGGUGGUUUCGUUUGAUCCGAAACCAAUUCCAGGUGACUGGAAUGGUGCUGGUGCUCAUACUAAUUUCAGCACCAAGUCAAUGAGAAAGGAAGGAGGCUAUGAAGUGAUCAAGAAGGCAAUUGAGAAGCUUGGAUUGAGGCACAAAGAACACAUCGCCGCUUAUGGCGAAGGCAAUGAGCGCCGCCUUACCGGAAAACAUGAAACAGCAGAUAUCGACACAUUCAUAUGGGUAAGUAGUAAACAUAAUACACCACGGAUUGAGAAGAACACGGAUUGGAUUUGGGCUAAUCAAUAGUUUCUUUUGUCUUGACAGGGUGUGGCGAACCGCGGAGCUUCGAUAAGAGUUGGGAGGGACACUGAGAAAGAAGGAAAGGGAUAUUUUGAGGACCGGAGGCCAGCUUCUAACAUGGAUCCAUAUGUUGUCACCUCCAUGAUUGCUGAAACUACACUGCUCUGGAAACCAUAGAAGAAUUAACAAUACCAACUCAUGAUCAUUGUUAGUGUGGCAAUAACUUGUCUGUCCUCUCUACCUAGUAGUUGAUCAUUAUCAUGCUUCUGGAUUUAUGUUUCUACUUAUUAUUAAGAUAUCAAGGGUCUGAAUAAAUUGUAUCACUGCCUUAGUACUAAGUAGCAGUCUCAGCCCUGUAAAGCAGAGUAGCUCUGCAUUAAUAGUAGAGUGAGUUCUGUUUCAGUAACAGAGUAACCCUUCGUUAGGGUUGAAGAAAGUAUGUGGCAUCGAAUAACUUCAAUACAUUCAUGAGAGUAAACCUAUUAUUACCAUGAAUAACCUCAUGGAUGAAAUGAUACAUGAUAAUGAACCACAAAAAUUACUGCUGCCAGCUCUAUUCUUUGAAUCCAUACGUCAUAAUUCAUAUAAAUGAGAAACAUCAUAUACCAGAAAGUUCAGUCCAGGGCGUGUAUACAAGAAUUUCAGUAUCAAAUACGUGUGAAUGUAUGAAUCCAAGAACAGCUGAGAGAAGACAAUCUCAGGUGGUAUGAAAUGAAAGCUGAGGAGAAAUUGCAGGCUCAUAGAUGAUAAGAGGGGCGGUGUGCAGCAUUGAAAUGGGUGCAAUCCAUGUGGUGUGGAUCAGAGAAAAUCCAUGGGGAUGAUGACUGGUAGUCUUCUGGUACUAAAACACAGCCAGUCAAGAAUCAUUUGCUGCGAAAAUUGGUCCCAGAAGCAAAGCAAUUUCGAUUGUUCCCGGAAACGAUAUUAAUGGCAGCACAAACUGUGAGGCUUGCAAAUUGUAAUGUGGUCCGAGUACUUCACUGAUCUGUUAUCAACUGAAUGAAUUAUCAUAGUGUCCUGAUUUUUGGGGAAAGCCGUAGAGGGGACUAAUAUUGCCUCAAUUUGCACAAGUACUAUAUAUAAAUUGCUAGUUGUUAGCAAUAUGCCAAUAUCCAUAGUCACAUUGAUGCCGUAACUCUCAAGCCACAGUCUCCUACCCUAAACCCGGCCACUAGGAAAUGCUGAUAACAUUAGCAUCUCUGGUGCAUGAAAUAAUUGCUAAUGUCAACCCUAUCAUCUUCUGCUCAGAAGAUGGAAUAGCAAGAUAUACGGAUUUGGUGCAUGUCACAUGAAAUGUUAUCUUCAUUUCUUCUAGUUCUAGACGAUAUGCUUUGGUCCGAAGAUGAGGAAAUUCAAGCUAACUUCUAACUUCUGUGCUAGUCCGAAGGAAGAAAAUGAAUCGAAUCACUUAUCGAAAAUGAAUCGAAGCACUUAUCGAAUCACCCUAAUCCAACUACUUAAUUUUUGACAGAAGUUGGAAAUCUCUAAUGUUAACUUUAGUUCAGUGAAUUGGGGGUUGCAAAUUCUGGCUUGCCAUUAAAGAAGAGCUCGGAAUUUAACGUUUUCCUUUCUUCCUAUUCUAAUUUCUAUGGAUGACGAUCUUUGCAGGGUACUAUAGCAUCCACACUUGCAGCCUUCACCUCCACAAAGAAUAAAGGAAUAAGAUCAAACAUCAAUGUAUAUGGUGACAUUACUGAUUUGUAGUUGCAGGUGGCCAAGUUGCGUUUUUAAGUGUCCUAAUGCUACAUGUAGACGGCAGCUUUGCAGCACCAAUAACAACUUUGCAGCACCCAUCUAGCUUUCUCGUUUUCUUUUUAAUUCGGAGUUUUCUUUUAUUUGCACUCGAUAUCAUAGUAGUAGUGUUUCGGAACAUUGAAAUUCUAAAGCCCCAUGUCAUUAGUCAUUAGGGCUUUUUGGAUAUUUACUCCAACUGCGAAGAUCAUCAUUUCUCCACUUCUGUGAGUGGAAAAUAUUGUGAUGGCUUAAUGGGUUUCGUAUUUAGUUACUAGUAAAAAGAAAUAAAAGGAUCCUGCAGAUUGUGUUUACAUUUUGAGGAAAGUAUUAGAUGAAACCACGUCUUUUGCAAUCGCCAUUCUCUCAUUCUCUCUCAUAUCCAACAUCGUACGAAAUGGAUUACUUGCUUUUGAAUACAGAAAAGAACCACUUUUUUUAUCUCAAUUAUAACAGCAACAACCAAGAUUGGAUUCCAAAACACUCAUCUAACAGAAACGUUUGCCUUUGUCUUUGGCAAACUUACUUUUCACGUUUGCCAACUUAUCUUAAUUUCUUCCAAAGACAAACCAACACCAACCGUGAACGUCCAAAGAUCGGCAUUUUCCCGAAAAUACUAACCGGACAUUUGCAUAUGACUUUGAGGACAUCCCCAAACACAGAAAGAUGCAACUUUCCAUCGCUAAAUGGGAAUAUAACCAUUCCUCAAUUUGAUCCUUACAUAACAUGUAAGCGAGACAUAACACAUGCGUUUUCGAUUUGAUUCUUCGAAAGUCGAAUUUUCAUUAUCGAUCACUAGUUGGUGGUAUCGAUCACAUAUGACCUAAUUAGAAUCAAUCUCUCUUUUUCAGACAAGUAGAUAUUGUGAAAAGCUCGAUCAAAAUUUGCGAUCUUUGAUUCCAAGAGUCAAGACCAGAAGUAUCAUAUUCCAAAAGGACCAAACACUAUCAUAAACUAAACCAUAUAUUAUUUACAAAAGGCUAGGGAACAGGGAAGUAUUCAAGAGAAACAAAACCAGAAGAUCUAGAACAGAAAAAAAACACAGAACAAAACCCUCUGCUUCUCAACACUAGAAAGAUGAGACAGAUUUUCUAAAAAAACCAUCGUAUCUCCCAAACCCUCUCUCUCAGUUCCCAGAAAUCCAAGGCUGCUGUCUCUCUUUCUUCUCCUAGGAGUCACCGACAGAGAUUGGCCUGCGAGAAAUCCCCAAAGGAGAUCGAGAGAGCUGCCUGGUCGUCGUGACGUUGAUCUCUCUUAGCACAGGUCUCAUCUCCGGCUUCCCCGGCAACCAGUCGAUGACUUUCUCCGAUUCUUGUUUGAUCUUCCUCACCUGGCUGUGAACUGGAACACCCAUCUCCUCAAACCCUUCCAUGUCCCUGUUGUUGUUGCUGUUCCUCUUCUCCAUCCUCAUACUCUCUUGUUCUAAGUACUAAACCCUCUUCUUCUGUUCUUCUGUCUGUCUAGUAUAUAUGUAUCUGUGUCUGUAUGUAAAUCCUGAGGAUGUUGGGAAUUACGUGGGUUUAUAUAGAGAAAGUCUGAGACGUAAGGAAGCAGAGAAGUUUGGUGGAAAAAGAUCUACUUCGGAUCAGCUCGAGACCGAGUCGACCCUUUUGGACCUAGUUGAAAUUUCAAGCUUUUAUCCUAUGUUAUCCCUUUCCCACAAUACUCGCACAUCAUAUCCACUUGAUUCCCAUAUCAAAAUCUUACUAUUAUAGCCAAUAUUAAUCGAACGGUAAAAAAAUGCAAAUGCAUGACAUGUUACAAUCUUCGUAUCCUUUUUAUCUUAAUUAUAUCUUGGUAUUAAAUCCUGCUAACCAAAUUUAUUGGUUCUCCGAUUGGGAUGGGAUGCCAAAAAUUAUGACAUGUUACAAUCAAAUUUAUGAUUCAGGAUCCAUCAUAUCUGCACCCAAUCAAUGAAAAAUCUUGUUUUUCUGGUGCAGAGAUUUGAGCGUAGCAGAUCGAUCAUUUCCUUUUAGGAUUUAUGGUAGUAGGUUUAAGGGUGUGAACAUGGAAGCAUAGGAGAGGGUGAGAAUGUGCAUAUUUUAUAGUCAAAACUCAAGAUUAUGGUACCUAGAGGAGGUUUACCAAAUGAACACCAAACCUUCUUUUCAGGGCCAAAGAUUCUAUAAUUUGACUGGUGCUUCAGUUUGUCAAUUCACUAUCUAUAAAAUAAAUAAAUAAAUAAAAUCGUGUUAAAUUACAUCAAAUAUUGCUCAUGGUUUUUGUUCACGAUACUAGUAGUCUCUAGAAUAUUUUUUGGGCUACGAAAGCGAGUCUUGUUCGAACACCAACGAGUCAAGUCAACGUUCAACGGCCACGCUUCAACACUCGGCUCCGGCCAUCCCCGUUUAUUCUACGAUUAGAGGUCCAAAUUUCAUUGGUCUCGUGGCAUUUACGUAAUAUUAAUGAAACUCAGGGGCACGUAGGGUUCAACGAAUGGCAACGUGGAAGGUUGACGUGGCGUUUGGGUGGGUUGAGCGGUUAAGUUUGUUAGUGCGGCAGCCAGCAAUCGUGUGGCGUGAGAUUGCAAAGCGUGACGCGUGGAGGUCACUAUACUCACCCAUCACGCAAUAGGUCUCCCAUUGUUUUCUUCUUCUAUCACCUUCUCAGACAGCACAGGAUUUUGACACGUGCCCGUUCAAGAAACCGCCCACGUAAUAUUAAAAUUAUUAAUUUUUUGAUACUAUGAUUUAAUUACAUGAUUAAUAAUUUAAUCAGAUAUUUCUUUUUGUUCUUAGAGCCUCUCUUGGAGUGUGAUUGAAGUUUUUAUCACUAUGUUAAUCUUUGUUUAUUCCAUCACUAAGUCAAUUACUAAUUGCAACUGCAGUACAAGGAUUGGAUUAUGAAGCCCAUAUAGAGUGAAACUUAAGCAUCACAAACUUUUAAGUUAAUUCUAAUUGCCAUACAUCCUUUUACUUUUAUUUUUAAGGUUUUCUAAUUGCAAUGGGGUUGGGUGGUGAAUUCUUUGUGUCUAAUCAUCAUAUGUCCUACAAUCUCAUUAGUAUAUUAUUCUAGCUACAAAAAGAUCGAAAAAUGAUUAACAUGCAUGAUUUUCAUGUUACGUACAAUGAACUUGAAGAAAUUGGGUGUUUUGGGCAUGUCUCAAUUCAUGCAUUGUAUCAUUUCAUUUUCUGUCUAUUUAAUUGUCUUCUUCUUAUUAUACUUCAGGGUUUUUAGGCAUGUCAUGAAUCGAGAAAGAAUUAUCAGUCAUUUUUUUAUUCCCAUAACUUUAGAUAACAUCAAAUUGUAUCUAAUUGUACACAUUUUAUCCAUGGCGUCAGAAAUUUUUUAGUUAAAAAAUUUGAGUAAAUGACACUUUAGUAUUAAUUUUAAAGAUUUAUUACCCAUUCAAAUGAAAAACUCUUUACCAACCUCAUUCCAAUGAAUUCUAAUAAAAGGACGUCAUUACCCUUGACCUCAUUUAACUCUCUUUCUCACUUUCUCCUCUUUUAUCCCGAUCAAAAACUCUCUCUCUCUCUCUCAUCUCNNNNNNNNNNNNNNNNNNNNNNNNNNNNNNNNNNNNNNNNNNNNNNNNNNNNNNNNNNNNNNNNNNNNNNNNNNNNNNNNNNNNNNNNNNNNNNNNNNNNNNNNNNNNNNNNNNNNNNNNNNNNNNNNNNNNNNNNNNNNNNNNNNNNNNNNNNNNNNNNNNNNNNNNNNNNNNNNNNNNNNNNNNNNNNNNNNNNNNNNNNNNNNNNNNNNNNNNNNNNNNNNNNNNNNNNNNNNNNNNNNNNNNNNNNNNNNNNNNNNNNNNNNNNNNNNNNNNNNNNNNNNNNNNNNNNNNNNNNNNNNNNNNNNNNNNNNNNNNNNNNNNNNNNNNNNNNNNNNNNNNNNNNNNNNNNNNNNNNNNNNNNNNNNNNNNNNNNNNNNNNNNNNNNNNNNNNNNNNNNNNNNNNNNNNNNNNNNNNNNNNNNNNNNNNNNNNNNNNNNNNNNNNNNNNNNNNNNNNNNNNNNNNNNNNNNNAAACUUCAUUUUUUCGCAUCUAAGUUGAUUUUUCUCCUUUUCAAUGUGAAUUAUGGCAUUGGAGCUAUUGUUUUGCAAGUUUACUACCCCUAGUAAAAGUUUACUAGGGGUAGUAAACUUCAUUUUUUCGCAUCUAAGUUGAUUUUUCAUUGUUUUAAGGUGUAUAAUGGUCAUGGAGAAACUUUAUUUUGAGUUUACUACCCCCAGUAAAAGUUUACUAGGGGUAGUAAAAAAGAUUACUGGGGGUAGUAAAAGUUUACUAGGCAAUUUUCCGGUCGUCGGAAAAUUCCGGUCACCGGUGACCGGAUUCCGGCGGCCGGAGUUCGGAGUCCGGCGACCGGAAUGCGGCCGCCGGUGACUGGCGCCGGAGCCCGGUGUGCUUCCGGCAAAGUCUUCUCUCCAUCUUUUUCACUUUUUCUCUUUAAGUAAAAGCUAAGGGUAAAAAAGUCUUUAAAAAUAUAAUUUUGUUAUAUUUUAAUAAAGAUUUGUGUAUUUGGGCUUAAAAUAAGUACCUUGUAUUCAAAUGGGCUAAUAAAAAAGAUUAUCAUUGAAAUGAAGUUUGACUUUUUCUAUUUUGUGCAUUAGGGCUUUUUCCCAAAAAAUAAUAAUACUUAUAUAAUUGUAUCCUAGAAAGUGCUACAUUUUCAUUGCAUCCUAACAGUAACAUGUUUUAGAUGCAUCUUAAAAAUUCUUAAGCGCCACAGCAGAUGAUGUUUUAGGUAUAAAAGUAACAUGUUGAUUAACCGCACAGGUAAAUUUUUCUUCACAGUAGGCAAAAAGCAAUAUAUUUAGGGUGAUCAAUAUUUCCAAAACUUGACGUGAAGAAAUAUUCUUGAAGGUGUUAAAGGAGUGUUAGGUCAUCGAUUCUCAAACAAAUUAACAUCCCGUACGUAAUGAAGCUCAUCGAUCACCUAAUUAAUUUGCUUUCCUCGAAUAUUAUAGAUUUAUAGUGUCGUUUCCAACCCUUAAAUAGAGUGAUGGCCAACCAUGUAGUAUUUAAAUGCCGUUCUAAAUGAUAGAUGGUGAUUGUAAUUAGAAUCUAACAGAAAACCAAAUGAGCGUGCUGAUCCUAAUCCUCUGUUACUCUGUUAAUUAGUGACUUAGUGUUACCGGUUCUAAAAGAAAAGUUGCUAAUUCACUGAUUGUAUAAGGGCCAGGAAGAGCUAGCUGAUCAUCUAAAGACGUUCUUAAGCAACGUAAUUCAUUAGUGUGAGACGAAGAGUUGGUAUAGAUGACUGGCUUCUCUUAGGUUGAUCGGCUUCAAGUAUGUAUAAGAUGAAGCAAAUUUUGUUGUGUCCAACUUUGACGAGUUAGGGUUAUUAUGUUACCGACGUUUAUAUGUUUUAUACAUUUUGUUUGUUUGUGCUCCGUAUAUUGUAGAUUUUUUUUUUUGAAAGAAGAAGUUAGAAGACUAAUAAAACUUUGAGUUGUUUUUUUGUUUAUAUUGACAGAAAAAAGAAAAGAAAAGGAGUGUGGUUUAUUUAGGGCCUCAACCCUAAACCAUGGUUUUGAUGGCCGGACCUUCUGGUAAAACAUUGAUUCCAUUUGGGGUCACGAACCUAAUGGAACAUGGCCCAUUAGAGAUUUGGUUCUGCGUAUACUUUCCCCGAAAGAAAGAAACUGAAAUCGGAUUUGGUUAUCACCUCCUCCUUUAUCUGAUCGAUGCAAUUCUCCUCCUUCUUAAACCCUUAUCAGUACUGAAGAAGCUGAAUUAGGAGAUAAUGACAAGAAACUGAAGCCAAAUGUUGUAUUAUUAUUAUAACCCAAAGUCGCAUUAACGUACGAUAUAUAAUCAUACAUGAGAGAGAGAGAGAGAGAGAGAGAGAGAGAGAGAGAGAGAGAGUAGAAGUANNNNNNNNNNNNNNNNNNNNNNNNNNNNNNNNNNNNNNNNNNNNNNNNNNNNNNNNNNNNNNNNNNNNNNNNNNNNNNNNNNNNNNNNNNNNNNNNNNNNNNNNNNNNNNNNNNNNNNNNNNNNNNNNNNNNNNNNNNNNNNNNNNNNNNNNNNNNNNNNNNNNNNNNNNNNNNNNNNNNNNNNNNNNNNNNNNNNNNNNNNNNNNNNNNNNNNNNNNNNNNNNNNNNNNNNNNNNNNNNNNNNNNNNNNNNNNNNNNNNNNNNNNNNNNNNNNNNNNNNNNNNNNNNNNNNNNNNNNNNNNNNNNNNNNNNNNNNNNNNNNNNNNNNNNNNNNNNNNNNNNNNNNNNNNNNNNNNNNNNNNNNNNNNNNNNNNNNNNNNNNNNNNNNNNNNNNNNNNNNNNNNNNNNNNNNNNNNNNNNGAGAGAGAGAGAUGAGAAUGUUACAAGGACGCAAAGCCAAAUGGAGGAAAAGUACUACAUCACAAAGCCCUAAUUGCAGGCGUACGUAGGCCAACAUGUUGGAGAGAGCUAGCUACUUAUUGUUUUUGUGGGACGUCGACAAAUAAGUCAGGACGUUAUUUGGACACAAACCAAAAGCUACGUACGUACCGCACUCUCUUCUGGCCUGCAGGCAUCUUUUACAAAGUUUUAAAGCUGUAUACAUUAUUAUCCCGCAACUUCCUCUCUCAGAUACGAACUGUGUUGAUGAGAAAUAUCUUAUACUACUGGAAUAUGACAUCUGAAUCAGUCCCACCUACGUACCGUGCAUGCCAAUAUAUCACCAAGUAAGUGCCUUGUAACUAUUCGAAUCAAUCCACCUCCGGUUAGAUUAAAAAGAGAAAGCUAGGCAACACACAUACAGAUAUAUAUUUAACAUUUGUGCACCAUAUAUAGAAAUAAUUAAGCCAAAGCUAGCCUAUGAAUUCGUUUACUUGUCAAAGAAAGAACUAAUCAUAUAUGGCAUCAGGUACCCAGUGGAUCAGCUUUUCAUGUUGUCUAUGCGGCCGGUCCCUUCCUUAAAGUAGUAGCAGUACUGAAAAUUAACAUUAUUGAUUGUGUGGAGCUAAACUUGAUAGGGAUAUAUAUAUGAUAAUCAGAUCGAGUUGAGAAACACUCACAUCGCUUGCCUAAAAGUUGUUUUGAACUUAUGGUAUAGCUACUCUCAAAAGUAUAAUUGAUGACUAAUUAUCGUGUUCUUGUGAUUGGUUGAAGUUGCUAGUGACUUCCAGGAAAUUAACAGGCCAAACGCUCCGCCUCAUUCAGAUACAAAUUUACCGAUCAUCUUUAUUUGCCCAUUAAAAUAUUCAUAUUUUUAGUCUAUUGACACAUGUCUAUUUUAUUAUCAAGAAUAAAGUUAAACAAUUUGAAGAGACAUAUGUCAAUAGACUAAGAAGAUGUGCAUUUUAGUAGGUAAAUAAAGAUGGUCGGUAAAUUUGUAUCUGCGUCAUCCCUUCUGAUUUGGCAAAAAAUAGACAUAUAUAUAUAUAUAGCUAAAUGAAAAACGAAUGCGAUGGAGUCGACUCAAUACCAAAUAGAGAAAUUUAGGUCGAUCGAUAUUGUAGAUAAUUAGUUUAAGAAAUCAUCGUUUGGAAUUCACUUAAUUGACGAAACUGAUCGAUCCAUAUAUAGUUCCAUAUCUCUACCCGUUGAAGUCGAUUUCCAAUACUUGAUUGUUCAUAGAAACUCAAACAAAAACCAGCGUUGAAGCUACCGUGGCUGACACACAUUUGACGCCAAUAAAAUUCAUAUGGGUAGUGCUAGAGGGAUGGCCUUAAUAAGGCCUAAAAUUUGUGACCUUAAUCCUAUGUGUCAUGUCAUGUAAGUAAAUAAAAUAUUUAUUUUCGAUUCCACAUAAUAUAUCUUGUCAAAUCAAAACAUUGCAUUACCAAUUUACCAUUUAUAUUUCCUUUUACAUUUNNNNNNNNNNNNNNNNNNNNUCUAACCCUAACCCUAAUUCAUCCAAAAAGCAAUUAUAAUUCAUCAAAAAGAAAACACUAAUAUAAGAUAAUUCGGAUAUAAUUCAUCAAAAUUUUCUAUAAUUAGUCCAAAAAAUAAUUUAUAUACAAAUAAUUUCUCUAAAUGAUUUACAUACAUAUUAUUUAUAUAAUAUACAUGUAUUUUUUUUAUAAUAUACAUGUAUUAUAAAUAUAUAAUAUAAUGUUAUUUUGAUGUUAUAUUUUUGAAUUAAAUUCAGUUUACCCCCUUAAUCUUUGGUGUCAAAAUCAGUUCAGUCUUGCAACUUUUUUUAAAAUCAGUUCGCCCCUUCAACUUUUGUAAAUACAUCAGUUUGGUCCAAUUUUUGAAUUCAUCUCAAAAUAUGACGUCACCAAACUGACAAAGGGACUCAUUUUCACCAAAUUGAAGGGUAAAAUAGUCAAUUUGAGAAGAUAUUAUUAAAGAAAAUAAAAAAAAUACAUUUAUUUGGCAAAAAAAAAAAUUGGUCCUAACAACAAAACAAAAUCAACCACAAAAUAGGUCUGUAACAUCAAAAAUGAUGGAAUGAGCAUAUGUAGCUUUUAUUUCCUUUUAUUUUAAGUUUCAAUUAAUCUGGAAAAAAAUAAUAAUAAAUAAAGGCAUUUUAGACAUUUUGUUAAAAAUGGGUCCUUUUGUUAGUUUGUUGAUGUCAUAUUUUAAAGGGAAUUCAAAAAUUGAUGUUAUAUUUUAAAAGAAAAAAAAAGAUGAUGUGUCGUAGGAUCAACCUAUUCACAUAUAAAGAAAAAGUUUGUCGUAUAGUUUUCCAAAUCUAUGCUCUAGUGGAUGGAAAAAUAUUGGAGUUUGGUGUGUAUAAUUUACACUACAAAGUUCACAAUUAUCCAUGAAUUAUUAAUUCCAUAAGUAUGAAUGAUAUUUUGAAUACAUCUGAACUUCUAUUCAUUUUAAAAAGUCUUAAUUGAAUACCCCUAAACUUUGGUGGAAUUUAUAAUGAUUUUUUAAAAUCUAGUUGAAUACACCCAGACUUUGAUUGAUUUUUAAAAGUCUGCAUUGAAUACACCUAGACUUUCAAAUUUCAUAGACUUCUUUAAAACUUCCACUAAUUCCAUAUACAAUACACCCCCCUAAAAUAAGUCUGUAUGAAUCCAAAUACAAUGCACCCCCCUAAAUAUUACAUGGCAUAAGAUUUUUAAUAUGUGAUGAUUUGACAUGCCAUAUAAAUUUGAGAUCUAAAAUCUUAGGCCUUAACAAGACCUAGAAUCAUUAUUUAUAGCUUAUAAGAUUAUAAUAGACCGUUACUUUUUAUUUAUUUGUUAUUUUAACAUAAUAAAUCGUGAUUUUAGAAGUGUAAGAAGUGUUGAGCUAAGUUUAGGAGAAAUGUGUGGAGGAAGUUGAUUUUGGCUGAAAGGUAAGGAUUACUGGACGGAUAGUGAAUGAGCGAUUAACAAACUAAUUGAACCACUAUGGGCGACUAAUUCAACUAUAUAUACCCAUGCCACUGCUCAGUUUCGACUUUCAAUUUAUUAUUAGAAACAGACCAUCCACAUGGAUCAUCGGUUUUUAAUUUGUUAACUAAUUACAGAGAAACUACAAUAUGUGCCUUUCGACUCUCAUCAUCAUGCUUAGAAUUAAUUAAUAGAGACAAAGCAGACAAUAUAAUACAACAAGGGAAGAAGACGCACGCGAGAAGGUUUGUGACAACUGAAGAAGCGUCGAGAAGAGACCAGACCAGCGAGGGCAUAUGUGGAAUUUCAUGAUCUCAAACCAUGGACAAAAGACGGAAAUACCCUAUUCCUAUACUGUUCCCGUGAACAGUACGACAACGAAUAGAAAUAUAGUAUAAGUGGAAUUUCACGAUCUCAAACCACGGACAAAAGACGGAAAUACCUUAUUCCUAUAUUGUUCCGGUGAACAGUACGACAAAGAAUAGAUAUAUAGUAAAUAGUAAAUGAAGUUGGCAAAAUGAGACGGUAGAGCAAUCUGGCUAGCGAUAGAUGCGCCUCUGCAUGUGUUCAAAGUUGAAAGGAAUCAAAACUCAGCGCCUAAUAUUUCUACUUAAUUGCACACAUAUUUUGCACCUUUUUAACGAGCCUGAAAAUGAAAACUAAAUUCUGUGGUCAUUUCAUAAAUUUGCAGUUUUUGAGAAAUUUAGAGAUUAAUUUCCAUGUUCUUAUGUGUUGCACAAUUGAAGUUGAGACAUAGCUAGAAUUUGUGUAACAGCUGACUAUAGAUGACUUAUUAGUAUGUAAAGACGAGCAAGAUGAGCGAUGGGUCAAAAUCUAUUUCCAGUUCACAUGUGAUCGUAUCGGCUAUUCGGCUACAUGAGGUCAUAUGAAACACAUAUCCUGACCUAAUUCCCUAAACGUAUCAUUUGGUAACACUAUUUGUCAUAUCGAUAGGUAUUGAUAACGAUGAUAACCCUACUCUGACAUGACAUAUUUUUGAUAAAUUCAUAUUUUCAUUAUUUUUUUAUAGCGUUGUAUGAACACAGUUUUAGAUGAAUUAAUAUAUAUAUAUAUACAGUUCCUUUCCAAAGAGGGAUCCCUCUUUGAAAUUAAAGUGCGGGACUCCUUAUUUCGUUUAUUUUCAGGUCGUAUUCCCACAUCUUAACCGUACAAUGUCUAAAAUACAGUGUAUAGAUCAUUCCUGCAAAGUUUCAUCAAAUUUGAAGAUCAUUUGGGUACCGAAUUAGAUUAAAUAAAUCAACAGAACAAAAGUUGUCCAAACAGAACCGUUCAUGUAAAUCCGUUCGUGUAAAUUACGAUUACGGAAGCUCAAAUGAUCUUCAAAUUUGAUGAAACUUUGUAGGAAUGAUCUACACACUGUGUUUUAGACAUUGUACGGUUGAGAUGUGAAAAUAAGACCUGAAAAUGAGCGAAAUAAGGAGUCCCGCACUUUAAUUUCAAAGAGAGAUCCCUCUCUAGAAAGGGACUAUAUAUAUAUAUAUACACACCACGUUAUAGAGAAGCAAAUUAUGUUAUGAUCGACUUGUAUAAUGACUUGUGGAAUGAGCAGCGAUCCCAUGCAAAUAAUCUAAUCAAGUUCAUGAACAGUAAAUUAACUAAGUUCGUUCAUGAACUUGCUUGAGAUGCCCAAUUAAUAUGAGGUAAGCACAGAUGCAAAAUGCAGGCCUUUGACCUUUGAAAGUCUCCUUCCUUCACAAUCAACGACAGAAGAUUUCCCAUUGUAUACCAGCAAAGCUACCAUAAACAGCUUGAAACAGCUUCAAUACCAGAAGAAAAGUCCGGUCAUACACGCAUAUGUUUACUCCCGUUAGCUAGACUGAGAAGAUCUAGAGACUAUUUGUGGAUUUUACUACAGAUGCAGUGACAGAAUUAGGAUGUGAUAUUCGGUUGGGUUAAUGACUUUCGAAUAAUUUUUGUUGUUGUUAAUAAUGUUUUCAAAAUUUAAAGAAAUAUUUGCUAAUAGGAAAUACUUAGACUAAAAAAAGAGUGAACAUAAGAGAAGAAAAAACAAUAAGAAAUAAUAAUGAAAUAACAUUUUAACAAAAAAGAGAGAAAAAUAAAGAAGAAAAAAUGGGUAAAAGGAGUGGAAAAUUGAAACAAAACUGAAAAAUGGGGAGAAAAAAUUGGACAAAGAGAAAACAAAAACAACUUUAUCUGCCUUCACUGAUACAUCGAACCCAUGAGGGUUCGAUGAGAACAAGUGAAAACACCUAACCAGCUGAACUAGACUCGACUUUAAUCAUAGAUGUGAUGUAGAUUUUUUUUAACUUUCAAAUUCUCAUCUAGGCUUCAGCCCAAUUAACAUUAGGCCGGCUCCACCACUGUAAUAUGCCAGUGCGAUCGAGACCAAACUGUUAAAUGAUACCGGACUUAAAACUGUCCCUUACGUAAACAAACCUGCCGGACACAACACAGCGAUGGUUUUAACAUAAAAUUUGUACCUGAAAGAGUUCGGUUGCGGGUCUCUUGUCCUUUUCAGACACAAAAAAUCUAGAGCUAGGGCCAAGCAACAACUUAAGCACAAAGUUAAAGAAGUGAUGAAGGUCCUGAUUAGGAGGCACUAAUGUUGGUGGUGGGUUUUACUAAGAAUAUUUGAAAGCGCGUGGGUGAGGUCAUAUCAUUCAGCGCGGCACACUUUAUAUAAAAACCGAGGGCGAUCGAAGAGAGGGUGACUCACUUACUUCACUGUGUUAUCUCUCGACGUCCUAAACGCGUCAGGUACACGUACGUGGAUAAGCCAAGGCUCCCCACACACGCCCCGGCCCCUCCUUUUCUUCCUUGUUCUAAUCUCCAAUCAUGCACAUUUGUUUAUUAAAAGAAAAAUUGAGCUGAAAAAUCUCUCGACUCUCCCUCAAGCGCGUUGACUUGACACUCCCACGUAAAUAUGUCAAUUUUAGUCCUAAAUAUACUACUACUCUCUUCUCUAGUCUCUCACUCACCAACCUUACUCUUGGCAUUCUUCAUUAUUUUCAGUCAUUUCUUACCGCGUUGGCUAAUGGCUACCACACCAAAAAUAUAUGAAACUAAAAUAAUAAAAUUCGGACACUUGAACGUACUGAGAAUUUUCAGUCGAUAAAAUUAUAAUUAUAUUACAUAUCAUACUCUGUAUUAUAACUACAAACGUUACAUGUAGAAUGUUGGUAACUCACUUUUAAGUGAAGUUUGUUUUAAGUGAAGUUUGUUUUUAUCGAUAACAAAUUUCUUUAUUAUGUGUUACUAUUUAUCUUUGAGUUUAUCUUUAAUCAACAUACAUGAAUAGUUAGUAAUAAAAUCCUUGUAAAUCAAAACCAGGACAACUAGAAGUUGAUAUAAUGUUAAUCCCUUGGAUAUUGAGGAAAAACAGAUUAUUUUUUUGUGUGGUAGUUUUGACAGUUGCUUCAUCUCAUAUCCUUAACAAAAAAAUAAGGUUAGCCAGUUAAAGUGAGAAAAAGAAACAAGAAAAAAAAAAUUGUAACUGUUACUGUGCAGAAGGUCAGUUUUUGUCAACCGCCACCACAUGGCGCGUUGGUUGCCAUCGAGAAGUAAACAGCCGUGUCCUUCCUGUGUCAGAUUCUUUAUAUAUAAUCCAGAAACGGUUCUGAGAUAGAUAGUUAAAUUCGAACUGAGAACAAGUUUCAGUUUCAUUAUCCUCCUCCUCUUCUUGUUUCACUUAUUAGAUUCCCAUCACCGUUUUACCAAAAAAGCUUCAUCCUUUUAUUGCUCUAGAAGAAGAAAACAAGUUCGACUUUCUCCGAGAGGCUCUAACCAAAUACGGCACUCCAUUUUUAGAGUUUUCCGUUACGGAUUUUCCGAGUUUGGGUUUUCUUAAGACACCAAAUUGGUGCGCGUCUAUUUUUCCCUCAGGAAAUAUUGCACCUCCUUUCCGUUUCGUGAUUUGAUAAGGAAGUGAGAGAGAGAGAGAGAGAGAGAGAGAGAGAGAUAGAGAGAAAGAUGGGCCUCCUUCUAUCCAGAAAUAUUAUAGCAAGUUACAUUUUCUCCUCUCCACUUUUCUCCCAGAAAAAUGGUGGUAUUCCCAUGCAAUUGGAGAACAUGGUCUCCUUGGUUUCCCGGACGGGAAGACAUUUGCAGCGCUACGAUAAAGGCUGCCGUCAAGUUGUAGGGUAUGUUUUUCUCUCCGGUUGAAUUUCAUAGAUAUUGCAACCCUUUUGUUUUUGAUAGAUUCUUGUGUUGUUUGGAUCAUGUAGUUGAGAAUUCCUCAAUUGGGUAUUUGUUAUAUGAAUUGAAUGGCACAAAGUUUUGGUCUUGUAAUCUAAUGUUAAAUUGGUGGUUUUGAUUUUACAGAUGCAUACCCUACAGAUAUAGGCAAACAGAACAAGAGUCUUCGUCUGUGGAGGAUAUAGAAGUUCUUGUGAUUAGUUCACAAAAGGGUCAAGGAAUUUUGUUCCCAAAGGUAAUACCAUUGUCCUCAUGACUUUUUAUGUCUCUAUGAUUGGGAUUCCCAUUUGAGAUUAUGUUUGACAUUUGUAUAAUUGUAAUGUGAUUACAGGGAGGUUGGGAACUUGAUGAGUCAAUUGAAGAAGCGGCUUGCAGAGAAACGCUAGAGGAGGCCGGUGUGACUGGUCAUCUUGAGGUCAGUACCUGCAAAAACACCAGUGUCUUGUUUAGAUUUUUCAUUCAAUUGUGUUCCUUUACUCAUCAGUUUUCGAUAUUCUUGCAGCUGCCAAUAUUGGGCAAAUGGCCUUACAAGAGUAAAAGCCAGGGCACUUUUCAUGAGGGGUACAUGUUCCCUUUGCUUGUCAACAAGCAGUUAGAGUCUUGGCCUGAGAAGACCGUCAGAAAACGAGAAUGGGUGAGUUGAAUCUGUUCCAUUUGACAUAUCGUACUUGCCUUGGUCCAGUGGUUUUUGAAGGUACAUGUUCUAAAUAUAUGGUUCUUUUUGAAUGGUGUAGAUGACUAUUGCUGACGCUAAAGAAGCAUGCCAAAAUUGGUGGAUGAGGGAAGCUUUGGAUGAAUUUUUUCGUCGACAAACGCAGACCCAAGAGAAAGAAGCACAAAAUGUGCCUGUUUGUACAUGAGAGAACCUCACUUUGGUAGCCAUGGUUUUAGCCAUGGUUUGGUUUUUGUUCAAUUAUUUGGACAACCAAACGGAUGUAGGGGGAGAAGUAACUUCCCAAUACUCAUAUUAGAGAUGAGCUAGUUUACACUCAACAGUGAAAACUAAAGUGUUCAUUUCUUUACAGUUCUGUUGCUGUACAAUGUAGUCGAAGAACUAGAAACAGAACGCCUGUUAGAUGUACAAACCCCAUUCUUUCAAUUCAAUUCAAUUCAAUUCAUUUUGAUUGUAUGUAACUUGUGAACCAUGGAAUAAUGAACGUUUUCACUGACUCUGGUUCAGAGUUUUUUGUGAUUUCCCUUCUCAAUUUGAGGUGUGUUGGAUCCUGAUUUCCAUCAUAGACAGGACUGGCUUGGUUAAAGUCACUGGUUCUAGACCACAUAAGCCAAGUGUGGCAUAAAGCUUGGUAUAUCUCAGUAUGUGGCCAUGUGGGUGGAUAUGCUUCAUUGGAAGUGGAAGAUAGAAUUGCCUGUCAUCAUGAAAACCAGAUUAACAUUUAAGGGUAUUUAAAAUGACACUGAUGGGCAAUGAACAAUAUUGGUGGGGUGGUCAGGUCCAAUAAUGGUUUAGAGAUAUUGAAGAGCCUGUAGAGAAAAGAUGAUGGUGAUAGCUUGUUGUUUAAUAUGUGACCUAUGCUAUGUGGCAUUUUUUUUUUUUUUUCGUACGGAAAUAACGGAUCAGUUUUGCUUGCCAACCAGCAAAACUGAUGACUAUCCAAUUACCUCUUUCUCUCUCUCUCUCUCUUGAUUAGCAAGUCACUGAUGGUCAUCAGUUUUACUGGUUGGUAAAAUUGGAUCCGGAAAUAACUUAGAUGACCAACUAUGGUUACUUAUGGGUGAUAAACAACUAAUAAGAGAUAGACAAAUGUCAACAAUAAUCAUAAACAAACAUGUCAAAUACCCAAAAAUCUCAUGUUAUGUCCUUAAAUUACAGCCAAGCCUUUUAAAAUAGACACGUGUUCUAUGUUCGUUGGUUGUUUGUCACCAAAGUCAGGUUUUUUUCUGACGAGCACAAACAACCUAACCGGAUAAAACAAAACAUGGCCUGAGAAACAAAAUCAUGAAAAACCGAACAACAUAUAACACAUUGUAAACUAUGUCCACAAUUAAUUUGCCAAAACAUCAACUGCAAAAUUUGGCUUUCUCUAGAUAUGACUAAAAACACAAUGAUCAAAUGAAACGGUCAGAGUUUUAAUAUCUUAAACCAACAUGCUAGUACCGCAAGGGGUUUGAAUCUAAUUAUUGAUACUAUCUAUCAAAGACUUGGGAGUCACCUUCGAUAAUUAGUUUGCUAAAAUGUAUCCUUCAAUACCUUUCCUUUAUCCCAUUUUCUGUUUUUUACUUUUUGGGGUAAACGAUGACAGUAAAAACAGACCACAAUGUCAAGAAUCUUUUAACUCAAACACUUACCCCGUACUUGUGGCUCAUCCAUUUAUUUUUUCUUUCUUUCAUUUUAAUUUCACACACUCCAAGACAAACGUAAAAUUCAAAUGCUUUGAAGACCGUUGAACUCUGCAGGAGGAAAAGUUACUCUGUCACACACUCCGCACUCUGUUACCGUUCGCAACAAUGGGAAGGCUCCUCCGAACCAAGAAUGACUAUGAAGAUCUCAGAAAUGCUCGCAUAGUACAAAACCAGGUCCUCUUCCUUCUCUUUCGUUUGCUCACGUUCACUCUUCUUCUUAUGACAGUGGCAUUCUCAAUUCUUGAUAUUGAACUUGGAAUAAUUUACAGGCUCGCUUGCAUUCGUUGGGAGUACAUAACACCCUCUCCGAGCUCCACUCCAUUUCUUCAUCUGCGAAAUCACAAAAGGCCCAUGUCAGGAAGUACUGCCAGAAGGUCUAUGAUCUCACCUCUUUGCGCCGAUCGGACCGAUUGAAAGGACCAUCCACCACUCAAGCAAUAACAACAACACCAAAUCACACUUCAUCAUCAAGGUUGACAGGUAAAUCAGUCAAGCCCUUUUAUUUUGGCCUCUUUUUGGAGCUAAUAUUCUUUUGGUUUCUAAAUUGUAUUUUGUGACGUGACAGUAGUGGGUGUAAAUGAAGAGAGUGAAGAGGGCACAAAGAGAAGGCCUCUAAAUGCGCCUUUUGUGGAACUGAAGGCUUCGAAGAUGGAGCUAGUUUCGUCUGAGUCUUGGUCUCGGCGUUGUGAUAGCAAGAGCCGCGGCACUGUCUAUCACUCUGUCUUCGGGAUUUGCUGCCAUUUUUGCAGGUUUUUGAGUCUUACUCUUUUGGUCUAUACACAUUGUUGAGCAAGAUAAGAAUGAAUUGUGGGAUAUCAGAUAGACUAGAUAGGCAUACUGACCCUUUAACCUGGAUUUGAUUCUUACUGUAAACUACUAAACUUACAAUCAAGCUCUCGACCAGUUUCAGUGAUUAGUAAGUUAACUAAUUAAGUGACUUGUAAUAUAAAUCUGCCUGCCUCUGGAUUUUACAUACUCUGAAUUUCAAUGGAUAGAGGAGUAGCUUUUAUGUUUACAACUUUAUGUAAAUGAAACAUUGAAAAAGAUUCAAGGUUUAGUAACUGUGUCAUCUUCAAAUACGUGGAUUGAGAACCAGCAUCUCUAUAUUUUACUAGUGCGCUAUGCCUUUUGUCUCUACUCCUUAGAAGUUAGAAAUCGGUAUCAUUACUAGCUCAAUCUUCAAUGUUCUAUAAUGUGCAGGCAGAAGAAGUUGUGCGGUGAAGAAGAUUGCAAGAGAUGUGGCACUCUAGAUAUGGAUCAACCAUGCAUUGGUAAGUUCUCCAAUGGAAUCCACUUGAGAAUUCCGAGGAACCUUGACAUAUAGUACUGAAAUUUGUUGAUCCUAUAUGCACAGGAAAAACAGAAUGUUCAGUUUGUCACUCUACCAAUGGUGUUCUUUGCCGCGGUUGUCUCAAGGUUAGGUAUGGUGAAGGUGAGUCUUUCUUUGUAGAUGAAAGAAAAAUUACAUCUAUCAGAUGAGGGAAAGCGUUUAGAUGUUAAUUUAUUGUAACUUGUAGAAAUGGAAGAAGUGAGAGGAAAUAAAGAUUGGAUGUGCCCACAUUGCAUAGAAGAAAAAGGAGUAAGACCUUACUGGAUAUGUAACAGGUAUAUCCAUGACACACUAUAUUUGCUAAUUCAACUUUUAUGUGCUCAUGAUAUAGACUUUAACGGAGAUUUAAUCUUCUCUUUGUUCCCUUCAAUGAUAUAAUAGCUCAUUCUGCAUGAAGAAGCGAAAGAUGGUUCCGACUGGGAUAGCAAUAUACAGAUGUAAGCAUAUAUCCCAGACCUCAACUCUUGAUUAUUCACUUGUGUUUGCUCAUCAUUGUUACAUUAGCUACUUUGUAUACUGCAUAUUACUGUAUGUUGAUUUCCUUUCAUUCAAUUUGGUUCAAAGGUCAGGAGAUGGGAUACAAGUCAGUGGCACAUCUGGUAAUGGAUGAACUUAAACGAAAAAUGAAUCGACAUGGAGCAACUAAGUAACUAAUGGUAUGACUGAUGUUUUAGGAAGAAACACUUGAUCUGCUAUAAAGUUGAUUGUAGUCGGCUCUUUGCCUCAACAUUAGAGUAUAACAUGUAGUAGAUUAGAUCGAUGUUUGGUAUGUGUGUGGAUGUAUUUUGGGGUUCUACUCAAGGCACAGGUUUUCUGUUACCAACCAUGCAUGUUGAUUGGUUGAGGACAUUUCAUCAAGCAUCAGCCAGUUCAGCAAACUCGGUUGAAAUUCCUGAUAACCAUGGGAGAAUAACAGGCCCAAACUAUACACAAGAACAGCUAAAUCUGUUUGAUUUUGAGGAGGCUUUACAUUAAUACUCGUUGCUUAGAAUCAUAGAAGAGGACGCAUUACGAGUUAUCAUAUACAGACUUUCGAUGCUUAGAACCUUUAGCCAAUACAAAGGAUUACCUUCUGCUUUGAGCGGAUCCAUGCAUCUUGAUUACAUGAAAGUUAAGCUACCAACAAGAAAAUAAGUUGGAGGAGCAUAUAUCACCACAAUACUUGAUCAAUGUUGGAAAACUAUGGUUAUUCAUUCCAAUAACACUUGAGAAGCAAUUAAUGUUGACAGAAAAAAUAGAUGAACCGAAAACAAUUCCCACCACCAAGAUAGAAAAAAAGAAGACAAAUAAAGGUGAGGAUUCAUAGAUUCAUUCAUGCACAAAAAUAUACCGACUGUUAACUGAAAGAAGAAAAUUAUUAUAAACUGCAACCUCAACUCAAUCUGAAGUGCUAACCAGCUACUAAUAUAGCUAUCAUCCCACUCACAUGAACUUUUAUCAAAACACCAUAAUUCACUAGCAACUGAUUUUCCUCGUCCUUCAAAAGAACACGGAAACUUCUUCAAGAGUUCUUCUCGUAAAGGGUGGGCUUUCAAUGCAUAUGGAAGAACCUAGUAUUAACAAAUUAUAACACACUCAAUACUUGCUUAACAAACUAGGUGAUUAAGAUAAUACAAAUAUAUGUACAUUAAAAGAAAAAUUGAAAUCCAUAGCUAUGUAAGUAAACGUCCAUUAGAUACCAAAGCUUUCAAAAAAUAAUAUAGCACAGAUUUAAAAAGAGAAUAUCAUUCAUAUGUUUUCAGGUUUAAACCUUCAGGGAUAACAUAUCAGUUCUAGCAUAAAUUAUCUUCAUCGUAUUUUCAGGCAUCAUGGGGCCAUCUGAAAUCGGAAUAUCUGACCACACGUCAAGAGCAGACUGAUUAUCCUCAAACACUUGCUGUAUAUAACAAGAUACCAAUUAGAUUGAACAUUGAUAAUUUCAAUUACAUAGAACUAUUAAAUGAGGAAACGAAGCCCUAAGACAUUAACUGCUCAAUUUUGGAAACUGGAACCAUACCACUGAGUUUGGUUAGUCAUCUUCGGUGCAAAGUGAUCGUAAACACUAAUAGAGGGCCCGAACAAACUUUAAUGGCUUGUGACAAGUAUUAAAUGGAGUAUUUCAGGCCUCUGAUUCCACACAUUCUAAAACAUCGUGAUUCUUCAAGCCACUCAAUUGGUUGACAAAACAAUAAAAGUGAUCUAUUCUUCUCUGAGAUUAUCAAAUUUUCAGGUUAGAUUCUGGCUUAUUCAUGUCCUUUCAUGCUUUUCUGAAUUUUCAGGUCACUUCUUCUUUUUCUUCCCAUAGCUGUUCUAUGUAAUCAGAAUUCCUCUUGCAAGUGUCUAUUGUAGACCCAUCCUGCCAGUACUCCACAGUGUUAACAUCUUCGUCCUCACUGUUUUGAUAUCCAAAUCCGUUAUAUAUCAGGGCCUCCUUUUCCAUUUGCUUUACCCACUGUUCAAGUUCUUCCGGAGUGUACUCAUUUUCUCAUGUUUCAUUUUUCUUGAGCUGUGCUAUGACGCCAUUCAUAAUUUUUUGCAUGAUUUCCUUGGUUGUACCAACUUCUUCAUUCCCCCCAGCCUCUUCAUUCUGUUCAGGCCCAACUUCUUCAUUCCUCCCAACCUCGGUAUUCAUCUACAAAAACGUAGCAGAACUCAUAAGACAAGAUUAUACAAAUGAAGACACAAACUCAUAAGACAAUACUUUUGAAGAAAUACCAAACUUCUUUCAAGUAUAGAACACCAAACUAAUAAAAAAAGAACUAUCAAUUGUCCUAAUAUCUCAUUGAAAUAAGAAACAAUGCAAGGGAUAUGCUAACAAAUUUAACAUUCAAUAAUUAAACUAUACGAAAAUACCUCAGUUGCUCCAUCCUUAGCCUGAUUGAAAAACUUCUUCAGGAUUAUUUUUCGUUUCAGUUACACUUUGUUCAUAGGUUUCAGCUUCAGCUUCUUGUAGUUGUCCUUCAGAUGCAUCCUCAACCUUCUUUCUUCGGCUUUCAGCUUCCCAUGCAUCUUUAAAACCAGGUCUUGGAAAGCAGUCAUAUUGCACUUGUAUUGGCAAUAUGAUUGUUCUUUUUCAAACUUCUUCCUACGUGUUGGAGCUUUCAUUCUCUUCUGUCCAUUUUUGCACCUGCAGACAGUAGCAUAUUCAUAUUCUCACAUUCUCAAAUUCUAAACACACAAACAUUCCAAGUAAAUGCAGCAGCAACUACAAAUUAAAUCAACAGACCGCACAUUCAUACAUAAUUACCUUGAUGUCUUUGUCCAUAUCUUGUUACAAAAGCUGCUACCGACUCAAAAGUCCUGUAAAAUGUGAAAAUCACACCAUUAGAACCUGCUUCCCCACCUUCAACACAAUUACAUACUCAAUAAAAAGGCUGCUACUGACCCCAAAAAUUAACAUGAAAUUGCUCCAACUAAUUCAGUGACAUAACGUAAGGAAAUCAAACGGUUAUUACUCGUUUUAGCUUAGUGAUACUGAAGUUUCAUGAAAUCGAGUUCAAAUUCGACAAAAAUGAAAGAUCAAGACGAACUGUACUGCUACUUCCAUAAAACGAAAGAUGCUACUGAUUUUCUCCAAAUCAAAGCAAAAUCAUAGGAAUUGAACCAGAAACGAAAAAGGUUACUGCUACUGGUUUUCUCCCAAAAACGAAACAAAAAACCUAAAAUUCUGUUCGAUAGCUUUAGAAAUUGAACCAGAACAGUAGCAGAGAGAGAAAGAAGAGCAGUAGCAUUACUUACCAGAGGAAUUGCAGAGAGAGGUUGAAGAAGACGCAAUGCAAUGAAAUGAGACUUGGCAGCUUAUUUGAAAAAUUUGUUUAGACAAAGAGAUGACAGAAGAAACAGUGAGACAAGUUGUGAUCUUGACCGAAAGGGAUAACCCAAACUAGCGAACGCGAGCUGGGUUUACUCACAAGAAACCCCAGAUGAGGAUAUGAAGAUUUGGUUGGGUUUGGGGAUUGAGAAUCAACAAGAACGAGAGUGGUAUUACAUGUAAGGCAGCAAGGCAUACCUCUUGGAACCAUACACUACAUUUGGUUCGGCGGCUGUGAGCCUUCUUUGGUCCAAGCUUUGGUUCUUAUACCAUCUCACAUAUUCAAGACCUUAAAAAAAAAAAAAAAAAAAAAAAAAAAAUCUGCUUGGGCUUUUUCGUCCAUUCUGUUUUGGUUCAAUACCAAUCUUUUUCUCUUUGGCAGUUUGGCAGCAAUCGAAAAAAAGAAAAAAAAAAAAAAAUCUCUUUGGUUUAAAAACUUAUAGAAAAAUUUUAAUAUAUGUCAGCUUCUCAACAUUUUAUCUACAUGACUANNNNNNNNNNNNNNNNNNNNCUCUCUCUCUCUCUCUCUCUCUCUCUCUCUCUCUCUCUCUCUCUCUCUCUCUCUCUCUCUCUCUCUCUCUCUCUCUCUCUCUCUCUCUGUGCAAAUUGGAGCUCCAAAACCAGCGAUCUGAAGACCAGAUCGGUGCCAGUAACCCGUGCUUUUCCUCUCCCACACUUUUGAUUUCGAGACCUAUAUCUACGGCGUCGAUUUUACUUCACCGGUGUCGAUCUGCUUCUCCGACGACGAUAACGACGCCUCGCUUCAAGAUGAGAACACUGACAUGCAAAAUAGCAUAAACCACGAAACUAGUACUUCAAGCUAGGGCAAAAGACGUGUUUCAUCUUGUGGUCCAGUUGUAUCAGGCAUUGCCUGUGAUUUAAAAGCUAGUGUUUUAAGAAUCCUUCCGAUGAUAGCAUUCCACUAGCACAAUACAAUACCAUUUGUGCGAGUAACCCUUCAAUCUCGACGUGUAUAACAUUAUGUUAGCACCACUCGGUACUAGUUAUGCAGCCACUGAGCGUAACAAAUUCACUCCCAAACUAUACACAAGAACAACUAAAAUACUAAAUGUUUUUGAUUUUGACUGAGGCCUUACCACAAUACUCAUUGCUCAGAAAAUAGAACAUGAUUGCAUUACAAGUAAUCGUACUGUUUAAAUGCAGGUCAACAUUUGUUUGCACGGUAGCAAAGCACAUCUUCUAUUACAUUCUGCUUGCGAAGCUAUGCAUUAUUCCACAAAAGCUGAGCUACCAGUAUGGCUCAUUCCAGAUUCAGUCCAGUAAUUAAAGUAGUUAGCAUAUAAGAGAAAAAUAGAUGAGCCAAAAAACAAUUCCCACCAAGAAGAAAAAAAACACAAAUGGAAGCAAGGACCAUUCGUCAAUACAAGAAUUUACUGAUUGUUAACUGAAAAAAAGAAAAUUAUUAACUGCAACUUAUAAUUAGAUAGGCCAUUAUAUCAAGUUGUUUAACACAUGACGGACCUAUUUUAACAGAAAAACCAUUCAUGAGCUAGCACAGUUUUGGAAAUACGGAAUUCUACAUUCAGAUAGAAAGUAGACUUGAAACUAGGAGAAAGUAUAACCAGAUCAAACUCCACUAAAUUGAACUAGACAACCCAGAUGCUUUAGUCGCCACAAAGUUCCACAGAGUUAUUUGAAGCUACUACAACCUCUUCCACCAUCUCUUCCUCGACCUCAUCACCAUCAUCUGAUAUGACCUCCCACUCCUCCUCCUCGCUAUAAUGGUACAAUGGAUACCUCUGAGGAGGAGGGCUUGAUAUCUCAUCAUCUGGAUACUUAAAAGCAAGCUGGUACCCACACCCGCACAACUCCUCGACCAGCUUAUUAUAUUCUUUUACACUUAGGAACACAUUGUGCAUCAGAAGGUCCUGUGAUUGUGGUAAUCGUAUAAUUGCAAUUGUAAGAGUUAGACCAACUAAUUAGCCACGUGCAUGCACAGUUUUAGGGCCCCGUUGGGAUUGCUUUGUGUCUAAAAAAAUCAGCUUUUAUUUAUAAUUUUUAGAUUUUGAAGUGUUUGGUCCUGUCUCCAGACCCUAUUUAAGUAUUUAUAAGAGAACAUAGGUCUUGCAGAUACAAUACAGUUUCAACUCCUAAACCUAAGUAUAUUACAAAUCCUAAUAGAACCUGGAAAGACCAACUUUCUUUUCUAGACUUGGACUUGGAUUUGCCUGCUGAAUACUACUGUUCCAGAUUGUAUCAAACGAGCCAAAAAUACAACAAUCUCCACGUGCACGCAAAGUUUUAGGCCUAUUUGAAAUUGUUUUGUUUUUCGAAAAAAAAUUAGCUUCUGUUUAAAUCUUUUAUUUUAAAGUUUUGGCAAAUCAAGGGAAAACAGUUUUUGUUUUUUGUUUUUGAUUACAUGUCACAGGCAGCAGAUUUUAGAAACAAACCUUAUAAGUUGUUUGUUUAAAAUUAAAGUUAAAACAUACCGUUAGAGUCAUCAGAUUCAUCCCUCAAAACUAGAUUGUCCAUCAUAUGACGAACUUCAGAUUUACUUGGAGCAUGCUUCACACAUAUCAAAGAAUCACUAUAAGCUUUACUCGCACCAAAACCUCCUUUCAAAGCAUCAUCCUUUUCCACUAAAGAAGCUCCUGUGGCAAGUGUUAUAAGAGUUAUGCAAAACUAACCCCAAACAACAAUCUCAUAAACAAUCUUAUCAAAAAAAAAACAAAAUCACAUGAACAAAAGCAUAAGUAGAUUAUAGAUGUACCAUUAGAGUGGUCUUUCAGAUUUAGAUCUUGAAUCAAAUGACAAGCUUCUGAUUCCAUAGUCAUGUCUUUCGUAACAAAUUAUCAAUAUGACCAAUUGUAGAAGAAAAUAAAAUAAAAAAAAUAGUAUAGAACAGAAAUACCUAUCUGUUAACCUAAAGUCCUAAAUUCAACAUCAUUGCUCUUAAUUGAAUUCUACUGAGAUUUCUAAAAACUAACUGAUGGCUUACAAAGUGAAGGUCUCAAGUAGAAUACACCAGUGUAAAUUCUAUGGAAAAGAAUUACUUGUGAGUUUGUGACAACUAAAAAUCAUUCAACCAAGUUCUAAAUUAUUCUAAAUAAAAGAAGCCUAGGAGAUGACGAAAGAAAAAUUCACACAAUAAAAUAACACAAUUUUACAAAAUAAAACUCAGAACAAUUCAAUCAACAUAAGACGGGAAAACAGCGGAGCUUAAUCCAUUCUAUAAGAUCGAGCUCAUAGACCCGAUCGAACACAUGCACAAUAAAUCAAAUUCGAAGACAAAGCAGAUCAAAAUCGGACAAUAGAAUUUUUAAGAAGAAAAGACAUAAUAAUCAAUCAGAUCAGAAGGAAUAAGGGACAGCAAUUAUAACAAAAACAAUUUAAUUUGAGGAAGAAAAGACAAGAUAAUCAUGAGAUGAGAGUUAGGGUUCUGAAGGAGACUUACGGUUUGUUGCGAUUGCAAAAGAACCGAACGCGCCCUUCGACUUGAAUUUAUAGGGAUGAGUAUUUAAGGGAGUAAAUCACCUGUUCCCAUUUAACCAAUGCCACAACUAAGAAUUUGACACGUGUCCACAAACCCCCCGGCCCCAGCACUUUUCUCCUGCUAAUAAUUGAAGGAUCCUAAUUUGAAGUCGAAUCCAAAGAUCCUAUUUCAACCAAGUAUGUAAUCCCACUUGUAAUCCGAGGUCUGGGUAGUCUAUUUUGCUUGAAUCCGGCAACGUCCUACCCAGGGGCGAAUCCAGGAAUCGCAAUCAGGUGGGACUUGAAAUUUUAGUAGGAAAAUAUUUUUGACGGUGCUAGAGAAAUUUAUAGAUUGAAAAUAAAGAUAAACCUAGUCAUAAAGGACGUAGUGGGCCUUUACCACUCCAAUGUUUGUUUAAUUCAUAAAACACUUUAGAUGUAACAAAAAAAAAACUAAAUAAACAUUUCAAUAAGACCGACAACCUCGCGUCUUCACCGAUGCUGCGUGACAAGGGUAUGGCAAGGAAAAAAGAAGACAACAGACAACAUAAACGUAUAUCUUUUUUGAGAAGAUAGAGAAACUUAUCUCUUUUUUUAACAAAAAUGAAAUUAAGUGUACGUUAGGCACUUGGAUCACGUCAAUGCUAGCUAGGACUUGAGUGAGACUAUCCCAAAAAAUAUUUGAUUAGUAAUUGUACAAGAUGAAGGAAUUUGAGUGGGACUUAAGCUCAACAAUCUUACAAUCACACUAUAAAAUUAAUGAUAACUAUAAGUAUUAAUUUUUUUCCCCAAAAUAUUUGGGUGGGACUUGAGUCCCAUGGUGCUUGUACCUAGAUCCGCCCCUGGUCCUACCCGUCAAAGCCAGUCUCCAUCAACUUUUUGAUUUUUGAUAUUUAUCUCUGAUUGUAAAAUGGGGAUUGUGAAUGUGAUUGAGAAGAUGAUAUUGGAUUUGGAAUUGAAAGUGGAUGUCCAAAGAAAGAAGAAGAAGAAGAAAGAAGGAGGAGAGGACGGGAUUGAUGGAGAAGAAGAUUGUUUGCAAUAAAGAAGAAGAAGAAGAAGGGAUUUGAUGGAGAAGAGAGGAUUCAGUACACGAAGAAGAUUUGGUUUUUGGGCUCAAUCAAUUGGAAAAAGAAAAUAGUAAUUCUUAAGAGUUUAAUAAUUUAUUUAUUUUGUAAUAGUAAACAGAGUUAGUGGGAUUGUUAAGUUAUUGAUACGUGUCAAAUUAUCUUCAAAAACUCUGAUUAUGGUUGUUGUUAAUUGAUUAUGUUAUGGUCAUGAAUGUUUUGUUAUAGCGUUUUAUUCAUGCGAUUUGAUAAAAGGUGGAUCGUAUUUUUUUUGUAACCCUUCAAUCUCGAUGUGCAUAGCAUUACGCUAGCACAAACAUGGUAUUAUUUGUAACCUUUGUUAGAAAUUAUGGAUUUAUUAAAUGUAAAUGCUGAAAACAGUAAAGGAAAGGAAGAAAGUUAUAGAGGCUACAUUGUGUCUAUAUUGAUAAGAUUGAGAAUGAGGAUUACAACAAUUACAUAUAGGGUUUAGAAUAAAAUGACAUAAAUGCCCUUACGAUUUAAUUGUUAUAAAUCUAACAUAUAGCUAACAACCUUCGAUCUUGAUGUGUGGCAUUACACUAGCACCAUUCAGUACUAUUUGUGUAAAACAAGAGAAUUUAACUAGCAUACCACGUGUUUUUAGGGAGAAAAAAAAUGGCAUUAGAAAAUUGUUAAGAGGUUUUGGACAAUCGAAAAGAGAGGUGAUAUAAUCUCAAAAUAUUAAUCUAUUGAUGAAAUAACCGCGAUACUUAUGAGUGAUCGAGAAUUUGAGAUUAUGUUUAGGAGUAAGUGUGUGCACUUAACCCCAUCCUAAAACCUCUGCAAACAAAGCUCUAAAUUCUUCAAAAACCUUCUCCACAAUCCACACCACUCCAAACCCUCCAAGAACAAAGCAUGCCCAUAUUCCAAACCCACUCACCUUACUCUUUUAGCUCCUCCACUCUCAGACCGACUUCCACAUUCUUCACCGGGAAAGUCCCAACUCUGAUACCAAUUUCGCUCCUUUCAUCCAUACAAAUCCUCAACGUUUGGUCCCCAGGGCCGCCGAAACCGAAUACUACAAGACUCUCAACCUCGGACAGAAAUGCAACCCUGAAGGAUAUAAAAACCUCUUGUCAAAAGCUUGCUCGGCAGGUUAGCUUUUCCGAGUUGGGUAUUGAAAAUAUGAUUUCCUCCCCCUCCAUGUAUGACUUGACCCACUCCUCGCUAUCAUCCCGCGACUCAAUCUUCCACACCGACCUAGGAAAAUACGUAUUGGAAAUUUUAGCCUGAAGAAAAAGAAGUGGAAAUUGUUAAGAAAAAUCAAAGCCACAAAAUAACAGCCAAAAUAGAAAAAAGGAAUUGAAAACUCACGUCCUCAGAUGCAUGCUUCCAGUUUUGAUGUCGCAUGCAUUCCUUGUACAACUCAUACAGUUCUUCUUUGGUUAAUUUUACCAUCCUAGUACCGUCGAAGACCUCAUAAAGUGGACCAAUCAAAGAAUCUCCAGAAGCUGUAUCUUGUGCUGUCACGACCUUUCCUUCCCUCUUGAUAUGACAGUCAUCAACAAUAACAACAGAAGGAUGUCGCUCCUCCACAACAGAAGCCCGGUUAGAGACAUUACUCAGAUCUUGAUCAUCCAUCAGACGACAAACUUCAGAUUUAGUCCCACCAAAACCUGAAAAACAAUAUCAUGUUUUAGUUAAAAAAAGAAAAAAAGAAAAAAGAAAAAAAAGGGGUUACUCAUGAACAUUCAGAUUUUUAAAUUCAAAGGAUUAAGAAGGGAAAGAAAAACCUGAAGAAUGCUCACAACAUGGAGCUGAAGUGCUAACCAGGGACUAAUAUAGGCCAUAGCUAUCAUCCCACUCACAUGAACUGUUAUCAAAACACCAUAAUUCACUAGCAAUUGAUUUUCUGCGUCCUUCCAAAGAACACGGAAGCUACUUCUUCAAGAGUUCUUCUCGUAAAUGGUGGGCUUUCAAUGCAUUUGAAAGAGCCUAGAAUUAACCAAUUAUAACACACUCACUACACACUUAACAAAUUUAGGUGAUUAAGAUAAUAAGAAGACAUGUACAUAAAAAGAGAAAUUGAAAUCAUAGCUAUGUAACCUCAAGUAAACUCCAUUAGAUACCAAGCUUUCACACAAAUCAUAGCACAGAUAUUCAGCUGUGUAAGAAUCAGAUUCAGAACCCUACAAGAAGAAUACCAAGUUACAGUGAUUGCAUCAUUAAGGCAAAUAACAGGUGGCAAAAAUCUGAGAGUUCCUUAAACUUGAAGUUGGUUGAGUAUGAAAGUUAUCAACUGUUGUACUGAACUGAGAAGCUGAGAUGCUGUUUUUGAAACCUACUUUCAAUGGCCACUAAGACUCUCUAUCCAAAAGUCAUUCGACUUUAACUUUUCACCAAAAUCAUCUGAUAUGCUCAUGAAUGCCUCUUGAACUGGAGAAGGGCAGAGUGCAUGACUCAACCUUUUGAAUCCCCAUAAUUUGGCCAACAAAUUAUCCAUAUGGACUCCUCUCCUGGUAUAGAUAACACUCGUAACCUUGUAUAUAGAUGGUGAUAGUCUACACGACCCUGAAAAACAAUAUCAUGUCAAAGCACCAUUAUGAUUAUUCCCAUAUAUUUCUUUAAAAAGAGAACAUAUCCAUUCAUGUGUUUUCAGGUUCAAACCUUCAGGGAUAACAUAUCAGUUAUAGCAUAAAUUAUCUUCAUCAUAUUUUCAGGCAUCAUGGAGUCUGAACUGACCACACAUCAAGAGCAGGCUGAAUGUCCUCAAACACUUGCUCUAUAUAACAAAAUACCAGUUAGAUUGAACAUUGAUAAUUUAAAUUACAUAGAACUAUUAUGAGGAUAUGAAGCCCUAAAGGCAUCAAAUGCUCAAUUUCAAAAACUGGAACCAUACCUCUGAGUUUGGUUUGUCAUCCUCGAUGCAAAGUGAUCGUAAACAAUGCGCCACAGCUAAUAGAGGGCCAGAACAAACUUUAAUGGCUUGUGACAAGUAUUGAAUGGAGUUUUUCAGACCUCUGAUCCCACACAUUCUAAAACAUCUUGAUUCUUUAAGCCACUCAAUUGGUUGACCAAGCCCAUCUGGGUCUAGUAAUCCCUGAAUCUUCAUUUGCAUUGCCUACAAAACUCAGGGUCCUCAUCUUGCAUUUGCAUAUAAAAUGGAAGUUCCUACAAUUUUUAAAAAAUAAAUGUGGGAGAGGGUCAUAUAUCACUCAGAAAUUGUACUUUGGGGUCAAGUCAAUUAAACUAGAAACUUAGCACAAUGAUCCUAGUAUCAGCAUAAACAAACACUAAAUAAAUUUGUUUUAUAAAGAAUGGAUAAGGGUCCUCUUUGUAAUGAUGGUUUGCGUGCAUCUUUUAUAGAAUGAAUGAAUGAAUGGCUUAAAUCUCAAAAGGUAAAACAAAAGAAAAUGGUUGCUUCUUAAUUAUUGUGCUGCUUCCAGUACUCAUAAUAUAUGUGAGAUUUCAUCUUAUGUUCACUGCUAAAAGAUACGGCAGCUUCUAUGCAUACUAACAAAAGUUCCACAUUAUUCAAACUGCUUAUCCGCAUAAGAGUAAAGGGAAGAUCAAUAACUUUGCCAGAUGAAUUCAUGCAUUCACCCUAGUGGUCAUGAAGUAAAGUGAAGUAAAAAAGUAAAGUGUCUGAGGUUCUCUCACUGUAAUCUAGCUCUGUUGGAAGAAGCAUUUGGCAGCGUUAAUUCUGUGAUUUAUCCUUCUUAUAUUAUUUUUCUGCAAUGUUCCACAUUAAGACUAAAGAGUGUAUUUGACAUUUCAAUAAUUACUAAGAACUAGCCCUUCAUUUAUUUUAUUUUUCUACAUUCCAAGUGUGUAGCCGUGUAGACCAAGCAUCUUAUUGCCUAACUAACGAAAGGAUUGAAAGCUACUAAGCUGGUCAAAGCUAUCUAAAGGAUAUAAAUCAUAUAACAUAUAAAAAAAAUGCACACUGAUUUCCUAAGUACCUGUUAUCCUGCUUAUGGGACUUUAAUACAACAAAGGUUGUGAAGUAUUAGAGCACGCUCAACCCUGAGCACAUAUCCUGGGGUUUCCCUUCCCAAUAGAUGAUAGAUGUUCAUGUGUUUCUGCUGAGCACUGAUUUCAUUUCCUAAUGUAUCAGGCAACAAAGUUGAUUUGCUUGCGUGGAACAAUGAAUUUGGUCCGACUAGCACUGAUAUACUUUGAAAUACAAUUUCACCCGUCAAAAAGAGCUUGAGUUCCAUCAAGAAUGAACUCCAUCAGGAUUUUGGGCACCGUUUAUCCGUAUGAUGUCCUAAACGAAGAGUAGGACACACAGUAUUUGCGGUACAGAGCUUUCCUUAAGUUGCAAAAUUGUGGCAAGCUUCAUGAAUUUGGCCAUCAUUUUCCAAGCAUUUUCCUGAUUAAAGGGGCAUAGAGAAAACAAAACAAGUGAGGAUCCACAGAUUGGAUUGCCUGUUUAGUCCUUGAUUCUAAUGCUUUAGAAUAGAAUUACCAAGAAGUACAAUGCUUUACAGCCAAUAAGUACAAACCUGGCCGUAAACGUGCCAAUGUUUUCCAAACAAAUAUCCUCGGAGCAGCUUGAGUGAAUGACGGCGGUAUGCUAGUUCCUUACUGAGCCAGAUUUUGCUUUCAUGGUAUGACAAUGCCAUGAAGCGGAACUUAACGGCUUAUUAUAGAAAAUUUUGUUUAGACAAAGAGAUGACAGACGAACAGUGAGUUUGGAAACUUGAGACAACCCAAACUAGUGGACGCGAGCUGGGUUUACUCACAAGAAACCCCAGAUGAGGAUAUGAAGAUUUGGUUGGGUUUGGGAAUUGAGAAUCAAACCAGGGAAGGCAGCAAGGCAUAAUUCUACAUUGGUACGGCGGCUGUGAGCUUUCUUUGGUAUUUAUAUCGUCUCUCAGAUUCAAGACCUAAAAGAAACUCUUACCUUGCCUUAUAUUUUGUAGCAUGUGUGUGUCAUGAUUUCUUCAUUGUAUAUAUAUAGGAAUAUGAUGCAUCAUUAAACGAUGAGAAUUUGAGACUAUGUUUAGGCGUAAGUGUGCCCUUAACCCCAUAUCCUAAAACCUCUCCAAACCCCAAAGCUCUAAUUCUUCAAAGACAUUCUCAGCUAUCCACACCACUCCAAACCCUCCACAGAACAAAGUAUGCCCAUCAUCCAAACCCACUCACCUUACUCUUUUAGCUCCUCCACUCUCACACCCAGUUCCACAUUCUUCAUCGGAAAAAACCCAACUCUGAAACUCAAUUUCGCUCCUUUCAUCCGUACAAAACCUCAACGUUUGGUCCUCAAGGCCGCCGGAACCGAUUACUACAAGACCCUCAACCUCGACAGAAAUGCAAACCUGAAGGAUAUAAAGACCUCUUAUCGAAAGCUCGCUCGGCAGGUUUGCUUUUCUGAGUUGGGUAUUGAAAAUGUGAGCUGCUCUUAUCAAAAGUUUCAAUCUUUUUUCAACUUUGAUGAAUACCCAAUUGUUGGAACAGUACCAUCCUGAUAUGAACAAGGGCUCUGGAGCUGAAGACAAGUUCAAAGAGAUUAGUGCUGCAUAUGAGGUACUUAUGCCAAGGCUUAUGAUUGUGUAGUUUUGAUAGUUUUUGUGUUCAUUGGUGAUGUGUUGAUUGAUGUUGUAUGAAGUUUGUUUAACAGUUAUGAACUUUGUGAAUGUAUAUUGCAUGAGGAGAAAAGAGCUUCCUGUAUUCGACUUCCGUUCAAGUGGUAAUUGAGCUUUUGUUUAGGUCCUUUCAGAUGAGGAGAAAAGAGCUACAUAUGACCGCUUUGGUGAGGCAGGCUUACAGGGAGAAUAUGGUUCCUCGAACAUGGGUUCAGCCGGGGUAAGGUCACGCUUCAUGAUCAAUAAUAGUGCUUUUCAAUCCUCUUUUUGUGGACAAUAUCGACAUGUGGACAAACAUGUAUAUGUAGUAGUUUUGUUUAGUUUUUCUACCGAAGAAACUAAUCUUAUUAACUGCAUUCUUAGGUCGAUCCUUUUGACGUUUUUGAUGCAUUCUUUGGAGGAAGAGGUGGAUCAGGAGGCAUGAACUUCAAUGUUAACAUCAAUACACCAAACACAGGAAAUCAGAGCCUUGACAUUUGGUAAUUGUUUAGCUGUGCUGUUACUAUUAGUUGGUUGUGUGACUGUCAAAACAUUUUCCUUUUUGGUAGAAUCCAAUAUUUGUUUGCAUGUUUACCGAAGCAUGCCAUUACUUUAACCUUUAAAUGACUUGGUGAUUCUUUUAAUUCCCUUUUUUAGGUAUGAACUGCACCUUAGCUUUGAAGAAUCCAUUUUCGGAGGACAGAGGGAGUUUGAACUUUCUUGUAUUGAGACAUGUGAUACUUGUAGUGGAACUGGUGCUAAAUCUGAUGAUUGCAUCAAAUCAUGUACUGCUUGCGGAGGAAGAGGAGGGGUGACAAAAACUCAGAGAACACCAUUUGGCAUGAUAUCGAUGGUAAAGAUCUGCCUUGAAUAUUAAAUUCAUGGAUAAUUUUCCUACAUCCAAUUGUGAAAACAGUUUUCUUUGCCACAUCCAUGCAGAUAGUAUUGCAAGUAUAAGGAAAUUUUGAUCUGUAUAUGUGCAUGGGUGUUUAUAAGUUGUUGGAAGCUCAAUGCAAUUUGUUCACAUGUGCUGUGAGCUUCUGAACAUAGAGUUAAUCUGAUAAUUAUUUAGUCUACCUCUUCCUACCAAUUACUCAAGAUCUCAUUACAUGUUUAUUGUGCUCAUUGCUCAUAUUUCACGAUGAAUAGGUAUCUACCUGCUCAAAGUGUGACGGUCAAGGUACAAUAAUAACUGAUUCUUGCAAAAAAUGCAUUGGCAAGGGACAAGUAAAGUCAAAAAGAGCAAUGGUUGUAACCAUUCCAGCUGGUGUUAGUGAUGGAGACACAAUGAAAGUUCAAGGCGAGGGGAAUGUUGAUAAGAGAAGGUGUUCAAACUUUUUGUUAUGAUUUUCUUUCUUUUGCUAACGUCUUUACAUAUGGGUUUUUGAACUUUUCUAUGAGAGGCCAUGUGGCAAUGUACCUGUUAUGUUGUUCAAACUUACAAGUAGUCAUAUAUGUUGGUCAAAGAGUGGUUUCAUAGUUGUUGAUUUCAGCCCUAAUUGAUUAAUUAAAGAAAUUAAACACAUACAGCUCUGUCAAUAGAAGCAAAUUUCAAAUAAAUUAAUAUCUUGCUCUGGAAGCUAUUGUGCCUACCAGAGGAUUUCACAUUGGCUGGAAGUAAAUUUUCUUCCUGGAUUUAUAUUGGGUAGUAAUAUACUUACAAAAUGCUGAUUGUUAUGCCAUUUAACUCUAUAUUGAUUAUAGUUCACCUUUUCCCGGCUUAAUGAACUUCUCCUUCCUGUCAUUCAUUCUUUCUAGAAUUUCCGGCACAUAUUUUUGCACAUUUACUGUUUAUGACUUUCUUUGUUUUUUUUGUUUUUUUGGCAGGGGUGUAGUUGGUGAUGUCUACAUAAUGCUUCGUAUAAACGAAAAGGCUGGAAUUCGGAGGGAUGGUCUCAAUCUAUAUUCAACUAUAAAUAUUGAUUAUACCGAGGCAAUUUUAGGGACUGUGAUAAAGGUAAUGUAACAUUUCUGUAAUAAGGCUUUCAAUGUGCAUUUGGUACUUGUGUGGUAUAGGAGUUGUGUGACAUGAAAUUUUUAUUUGCUUUAGGUAGAAACUGUGGAAGGCAUGAAAGAGCUUAAAAUUCCAUCUGGAAUUCAGCCUGGGGAAACAGUAAAGUUGUCCCGUAUGGGGGUUCCCAACAUGCGCAAGCCUUCUGUUAGAGGAGAUCAUCACUUUGUUGUGAAUGUACUUAUCCCAAAGAGAAUCAGGUUGAAAUUCUUGAUUAUAUUAUGCUUCCUUCUUUCAUCUAGUUUUAAAAUACUAGUUCAACUUCAGCAUCCAUCUUGAUAUUCCCAAUACCUUGUAUUUUGAAUUACAGUGGCACAGAACGCACCCUUGUUGAAGAAUUGGCUUCACUUAAGACCUCUAAGAAGGGCCACUCAGGUGCUUCAAAAGGCAUUGGUAUAUAGAUUCAACUUUCAAGUCUGUUAUGCACUGCUAUCUAAUCAUUAUGUUUGUCACUUAUCAUGAUUAAUACUGUUUGUAUUUUCUUGUAUCGUCUCAGGGACACAAGAUGGGAACUCUGACAUGCAUAGUAGCAGAAACCAUGAAACCAGUACUUUGAGCCAGGGCAAAAGACGUGUUUCAUCCUUGUGGAACUCAAUAAAAGGCGUAUUGGGGUAAGCCGUCGUGUCUCAUUUCCAUAAGUUCUAGUUUUCAGUCUUAAGUAUCCCUAUGUAUCUUCAAGUUAAAAGAAGAGAAAUUCAUUAAUCAGAUUAGUAUACAUGUUGAUUCUAUACCACCGUGAGUUUGCAAUCUUGCAUACAUGUGAUUCGCGUUAACCAUGCCCGUUUUGCAGGGGGAGGCAGUCGCAUGACAGAUUUGCAUCGGUUAGCGUGGACAGACCAGCACUUCUGAGGGGUUCAAGCCAGCCUUAUUCCUUUUAUAUGGCUUCGAUUUUUGGAGUCAUUGUUGUAACUUGUAUCUGUACCUUCAUAGGAAAGACCAAAAGCAUCACAUUAUCACAACACAAGGACAAACAUAGAACAAACAACAAUGUUGAUAGAAAUACUUGAUUUGAUAUGUUGCUCACUGAGAUGUAACUUUUGCUCACUCAAUGAUAUAUUACGAAUGCGGCACGAAAUUGAGCAAGAUCCUGUCAACAAUACAAGCAACAUUUUUGGUGUUCUUGCACUCCCCAACUCUCACUCAAUGAUGAGCUAAGAUCAAGUUUAAACAGGCCUGUUGCAAGGUUUAACGGGCCAAGCCCAACUCACCAUAAAAAGGCCCAAUCCAUUUAUAAAAACCGGAAAACCCUAAAACCUACCCGCUUAAAUUGCUCCAAGUUGUAACGAGGCCGCUUCUGCUUUCUUCUUCUUCAUCUUCUCAGUCUUCUCCAUAUCCGCCGCCGCAGUAGCCAUGGUACCUCUCUCUCUCUCUCUCUCNNNNNNNNNNNNNNNNNNNNGUCUCUCUCUCUCUCUCUCUCGCUAUUGAUUUUUUGCUUUCGGAAAUUGGAUAUGUACUUGUUCUAGUUUUGUAGAAAAUGUAAUACUGGUUCGAAUUUCGAUUUUGCAACUAUACUUGAAGCUCAAACAGCUUCUUAGACUCUACUAAGUUUAGGUUAGUAAUUGGGAAUCCGCUGUCUAGGUAUUACGGAUGUGGUUUAUCUAGGGUUUAUAUGGUGGUGUUUUGAUGUACAAAGAGGAUUUAGGGUUGUGAUGAUUAUGGUAUCUAAAAUCUAUGGUUGUUAUUUGUGUAUUGUGACGAGUAUAUGGAAAAUUUGCUCUGCUCGGAACGCAGUUCUUUUUUAUUUGCUGAGAUGCUGUAUUGUUUUUCUUUAGUUUGUUUUGAUUGUUGAUUGUGGGAUGUGUUUUUAUGUUUUCAGGUGAACGUUCCGAAGACAAAGAAGACCUACUGCAAGAGCAAGGAGUGCAAGAAGCACACCCUGCACAAAGUCACGCAGUACAAGAAGGGCAAGGACAGCCUUGCUGCCCAGGGGAAGCGUCGUUAUGAUCGUAAGCAAUCAGGUUAUGGAGGUCAGACCAAGCCUGUGUUUCACAAGAAGGUAAACAUGCUUAAAUUUAUUGCUGCGUUCUCUGCUUUUUCUGGAACAAUGAGUGUCUCUACUGAACUAGAUCGAUUGGGUGUGUUUCAACAAUCUCAUGUUAUAUGUUUCUUAAUUUUACCAGGCCAAGACCACCAAGAAGAUUGUGUUGAGGCUCCAAUGCCAGGGUUGCAAGCAUGUGUCGCAGCACCCAAUCAAGGUUAGUGUUGUGUUGUGGGUUUCUCCUCUUUGUUUCCAUUUGCAUCCAACCUAUAUGCUGGUGUCUGACUGUUGCCACUGGUUUCUGCAGAGGUGCAAGCACUUUGAGAUUGGUGGAGACAAGAAGGGCAAGGGAACCUCUCUUUUCUAGACGAACCAUUUUGGUUGUAUCUCUUGUUUUUGCUUUGUCUAUCCUGUUGGAGCUUUAAAGCAAGUAUCUUAGAUUCGUUGUUGUUAAUUUAUGCUGAACACCAAAGUUAUUGGUGAGACUCGGUUUUUGCUUUCAAUCGAUAUUAGCUUUUUGACUACAUCAAUCUGUGUUUUUAUUUGGAAAUUGCUCCUUUGUGUUUGUUUCGGAAAUUGAUUUAUGAACCACCUUUUUCUGCUUCUGCUAAACAAAACAACACUGGCUCCAAGUUAUGGAAAUGCUGCUAGCUUCACAUCACAUGCCUUGUAGUUAUGGGCCAUGGAGUCUUUUUGUGGCAUUUAACUCUCCUCAUCUUGCUCUCAUGGGGUGUCUUAGCUGCAGAAUUGAUACAAGUUGUGGUCCUAUAUAUUAGAUAUUUUUCGCAACAAAAAAAAUUGUUUCCCUACUUUGAAUUGGUAUUAUGAUUGUAGGCUUUUUGUGCCUGUUUCAAAAAUUGAGUGAUGUUAAACGUUGACUAUGCACCCCCAACAUGACAAGCAUUUUAUAGCUGAUGGAUUAGUUGUGUACUAUUCUACAAUAGAAAGGAGAUUGAAGUACCCGUCAAGUUGAAAUUUAGACUUAUUAUUCUCUAAUCUCUGGUCUACACGGCGAGCUCAGCCAGCUUUCUUUUCUUCUAAAUCAAGUUACCUUAAUCCUAUAGACUAGUCGCUGGUAUAUAUUCAAAGUUGUACAAGGGUCUAUUUCAUGGUUGAUUAUCGAUGUAAUAUGGAAUUGGUUGUAGAAAGAGAGACUAAAGCAAGCAAUCAGAGCUAUAGAUAUGCGUAUUUAUGAAUUAAACCACAAAAUGAUUGUUCCUGAGAGGCAGACCAACUGACCAACUCCCUUCAGCUACUUCUGAUUUAAUACACCAGGUUCAGUCGUUUUUACACUCUUUUCGUUAAGAUACGUUUACCUGUUUGGAAUCAGAAUAAGACUAAACUUAUGAGGUUUUGUGCAUUUAAUCACAAAUGUAGGUAUGUGAAUGAUCCUAUUGUCUUUGAUUCUUGCGGUUAUUAACAAAUACAAGUAUCUAUUCAUGUAGUUGAAACUUGAGCUAUCAGCUUCAGUGAGACACUAUCCGUGUCGUGUGUGUUUGUGACGGUGAGUGAGCUCUCCAGGCUAAGUGAUUAGGGCGCUCAAUGGUUUACAAGUACAUGCCUACAAGAAAGGUCAUUUUACAUAUUCUCUCUUAAAGAUUAAACUUGCCUUCUGGACCCUUAAAUUGAUUAGUACCUACUGGCUUUUAAUUAAUCAGAUUCUGAUGUUGCUCUAUCAUUUUCUUGCGUGGAAUCCCACCACCACGUCAAUUUCGUUGAAAUUGUAUUGUUUAGUUCGUUACUCGUUAGUACUAGUUAGUGGUUAUAUAUGUAUAAAUGGUCCUACAUCAUGAUUUACAGCUCUUAUAAUCUCUCUUUUGUAAGAUUAAGAGACUAACAGGCAAUUAUUGUCUUUCAUAUUCUUUACUAUAUAUGAUUCCUUUGAUGAAAGACAGCAGCAUCCAACGCGAAAGAUCUCUAAGAUGAUUUAACUUAUUGACACAUGUCGGUACAAGUUUUGAAUUUCUUCCACAUUUACAAAAUGGCGCUGUCUUAGUUAAUUUCAUCACAUAAAAGACAGAGAAUUGAUUCUAUUGUUUUCAAGAUUACCUUACCUUCAUAUUGAUAAUCUACUCACUCGGAAUUAGGCUAUGUUCCCAGAGUCUCUAUCUUAACCUUUCAAAGAAAGAGUAAACAAUUUCUUUGCUUGUGAAAUAAAGGAGCCAAAACUUUUGAUAAAACGAGUUCAAAAAACUAAUUAACGGCUAAUUUUAAUGAAGAAACUACUAUAAUCUUGGAUCCAUACAUACUGAUUCAUAAUAUCAUGUGGCUUACCUAAAAUUUUUAUUUUUUUCCUUUUGGUAGCUAAUUAGAUGACAUAAUUGAGUUUGGUAGAUAUACGGUCUUGAUCACAAAAUUAAAUUAUUCCAACUAUAAUAACUAAUAAAUUAUUUUUCAAAAUACAUAAAUAUCUUGUAACGUGGAAUUGUCUAAGACAAGGUCCCACCCUAGGGUUUGCUAAAGACACCUCAGCAAGCUAUGGUUCCAACGGUAGGAUGCGUCGGUGGGUGGCCCUAUCUUGUCAUUACAUCUGACGGCUCACAGUGCAUCGUCCCUUUGACCAAUUCCAACCAUGGUCAGGAAAAGGCUCAACUUGUUCUCGUCUAUAUUGGAUUUAAUUGGAAAUUUUUAGCAUCGUACUGAUACGACCAAAACCAUAAUUUAGCAUCCUUCUGAUUUGUAAAUGGAAAAUUUUUAAGAAAAAUCUAACAAUUUUAGUAUUUAUCAACAACAUGAAGUUGACCUCCUCACCUACCAAAGACGUUCUUAUAAUUAUCUUAGCUAAGUUAGCAAUUUUGGACUAAUUGACUUAGAUUAUGGAUAUAUUAGUUUCACUAAUCAGGAGCUACUAAUUAGCAACUACAUUGCUUUUUAUAAUCUGUAAAUAUGUUGGUAUGAAACAUUGCAGCAAAUCAGCAAUUAGCGCAUUUUCUUAUAUUAUAGGAAUGAAUUUACAGUUCCAAAAUCAGUUUAAUCUUGAUAUGGUCAGGUUGGAGAGGACUACAUGGGUAAUUUAAUAAGUUGUAACAAGAUCUGUAUAUUAACCUUGCUUAUAAUGUGCCCAAGAGUUACAAAUAGGUAUCUUGACUAUCACUUAAACAAAUUUUGUUUUUGGUUCUUGCAAGAGUAUAAGUGGCUUUUAAGAGUGGACAAAGAUGUUGGUAAUUGAACCACCUAAAAUAGCAAAAAGGCCUUUAUUACCUGAAAAUUAGGAUGAAAAAAUAACUUGUCAAGCUAGAAAAAUUCAACUGUUCAAGCAUCCCAAAGAGGUUAUGGCACUUAACUAUAUGGAUCCCAUUAUUUAAAUAAAAGAACAAGUAAUUUUCUUAAAUUUCUUGUAGGACCUCACAGUACUCUCUAUAUCAUUUUUGUAUAUUGAAAUGCCAAGUGGUGUGACAUGCCACCUAGCUAAACAGCUUGUGCCAAGUUGUGUUCUGGGAUGUGUAUCUCCAAUGAAUAAUUAGGGUCACUAUGCUUGUAAUAAUUAAACAACAUUAUAAGCUAUCUACAACAUUAAACAUAGGGAUUUUGCUAUUUUUGGGUCUCAAAAGUGUGCACUCAAUUAAGCUCUAUUUCAUAAUUUCAUCCCUCCUUCCACCCAAAAAUAAAAACAAUUUUCAUAAAUCCCAAUUAAAAUAAAUAAAUAAAUUUUUUGAUAAAAAAAAUAAUUAAAUUCAGUCAAAACUUAUUCAAUAGGGCCUAUUCAAUAUCCAAUGAGUUAUUACCAUUAAAAGAUUAGUCAGGCACUAAUUAAUUGAUAACCAUGCUAUUGUUACUGAUUAGUUUGAAGCAAAAAAAAUAUAUAUAUUAGCAAAGAAAGAUAGAAUGCAUACUACAAAAUAAGGCAAAAAUGAUAAAGGCAAUGGAAGAGUGUAAAAGAAAAAGACACAAAAUGAAGGGAAUCCAACAACACAAGCCAUUGCUUAAAUAAUUGCACACAUUACCUUAACUAAGAUAUCAAAACUCAUCACCUCAAGUCUUGAAGUUCAUAAAAAGAAAAAUUAUUAUAACCACUAAAAAAGAAUGGGAAAAAUAAAAGCAAAAAGAAUAAAAGCAGCAGACUUUAAAAAGAAAAAGAAAAGAAAAGAAAAAUAUAGGAAUGGCUGUUGACUAGCAGAACUAGCAUCCACCAGGUCACACCAGUUCUCACUCCCUCUGUGAACAGCUAGGGUUUCUUUCUUCCUUUUCGCUCGCUCUGCUUUGUCAUUUCUUCCUUAUUUAGUCCCUACUGUGUCUACUCUGUAUUUACCUCACAGCCUGUACUCACCCUCUCUCUCUCUCUCUCUCUCUCUCUCUAGGAAACCAGUAGAGAGAGAACACCCACCAAAAGGGCCAAAAAGCAAAAAGCAAAGAGCAAAUGCAGGUCCCCAAACACCCACACUAGUACUUGUACUACCACCACCACUCCUCUCUUCUCCCUCCUCACUUUCCCAAACCAACACAACAAAAAUGGAUGAGCUUUGAAACCCAAACCCAACUCACUUCAACUCCCGUUCCCCCAGUUCUGGUCUUUUUUCCACCAAAAGAUGGAUUCCCAUUCCCAAAGACAGACCCUUUUUCCGGUCUUCUUUCUCACCAUACUAGUCUUGCUCCCACUAGUAACUCCAGAUCUGACCUCCGACCGCGCAGCCCUCCUCGCUCUCCGCUCCGCCGUCGGCGGCAGAACCCUCCUCUGGGACGUGACCAAGCCCAGCCCAUGCUCCUGGGCCGGAGUCAACUGCGACGACAACCGCGUCAGUGUGCUCCGUCUCCCUGGUGUGGCUCUCCACGGCACCAUUCCCACUGGCAUUUUCGGAAACUUGACUGCUCUCCGCACUCUCAGUCUCCGUCUCAAUGCUCUCACCGGCCCUCUCCCCUCAGAUCUCUCCGCCUGCGUUACUCUUCGUAACCUCUACCUGCAAGGGAACUUGUUCUCCGGCGAAAUCCCUGAGUUUCUGUACAGCUUGCAUGACUUGGUCCGGCUCAACUUGGCCUCCAACAACUUCUCCGGCGAGAUCUCACCCGCAUUCAACAACCUCACCCGGUUAAGAACACUCUACCUCGAGAACAACAACCUUCAUGGGUCUAUUCCGGCGUUGGACCUCCCCAAGCUCCAGCAGUUCAACGUUUCGAACAACUUGCUGAACGGGUCUAUUCCGGUGAAGCUACGUUCUUACAAAUCGAGCUCGUUUCUGGGGAAUUCUUUGUGUGGAGGGCCUCUCGGUGUUUGUCCUGGUGAGGUUGAAAAUGGGGACAUCAACUUGGACGGUAGUAAGAAGAAUAGCAAGCUCUCCGGUGGCGCUAUCGCCGGUAUUGUUAUCGGAUCUGUGAUUGGUUUCCUUGUCAUCCUGGCGAUUUUGUUCCUUCUGUGCCGAAAGAAGAGCAGCAAGAAGACCAGCUCGGUCGACAUUGCCAGGACGGUGAAGCACCCGGAAGUGGAGAUUCCGGGAGAGAAGCUGCCGGAGUCGGAGACCGGAGGUGGUUAUGGAAAUGGGUACUCGGUGGGGGCGGCGGCCGCGGCGGCGAUGGUGGGGAAUGGGAAGAGUGAAGCUAGUGGUGGUGGUGGUGGAGCUAAGAAGUUGGUGUUUUUCGGAAAUGGGCCGAGGGUGUUUGAUCUGGAGGACUUGUUGAGAGCCUCGGCGGAGGUUUUGGGGAAGGGGACGUUUGGGACGGCGUACAAGGCGGUUUUGGAGGCCGGGACGGUGGUGGCAGUGAAGAGGCUUAAGGAUGUGACCAUUACGGAGAAGGAGUUUAAGGAAAAGAUUGAAUCUGUGGGAGCUAUGGAUCAUGAGAGUUUGGUUCCUUUGAGAGCUUAUUAUUUCAGCAGAGAUGAGAAGCUUCUUGUCUAUGAUUACAUGCCCAUGGGAAGCUUAUCUGCGCUUUUGCAUGGUGAGUUUUUCUGCUUCUCUUUAUUGGAUUUACAUAUUACUCCGCCUUUUGAGUUCUGUAGUGAUUGCUUUAUUUCUUUGAGCCUGCAUUUCUGAUAAUGAUGGUUAUGAUUUUGUCAGAUACAGCACUCUGUUUGAUUACUUGAAUUUUUGUCACUUUUUUUCUUAAAAUUUGCAAGGAAAGUUUGUAAUUAUUAUCAUGAUUCAUCUCCUCAAACGCUAGCCAAGUUUGAAAGAACCGAUCUUUACUUAAAACUAUUCAAAAUCAAUUAUAGCAGCACUUAUGUUCUUUAUUUCAGUAUUAUUAACACUUUGGUUUGUAAAGAUCCAAUAGUUUUGUUGUCUGUGACUCUGUACAGGCUGAUGUAUUUGAAGUGCUCUGAUUUCAAAACCUACAGUUCUUAACUAAUGGGUCAAAUUCAUUCCAUUUUGAGUCUUUUCCCCGUGUAAAAUCUUGAACCUCCAACUUUUCAUCUAUGGCUGUGAUAGAUACAUAGUUUCAAACCCCAUUAUACAACUCAAAUGAACUGCAUCUUUACCAUUGUCUUGUCUUCUGUUUACAUUACAGGAAACAAAGGAGCAGGAAGAACUCCACUGAAUUGGGAAAUCAGGUCAGGCAUUGCCCUUGGAGCUGCGCGUGGAAUUGAAUACCUACACUCUCAAGGCCCCAAUGUCUCUCACGGGAACAUAAAGUCCUCUAACAUCCUGCUCACAAAAUCCUAUGAAGGUCGGGUUUCUGAUUUUGGCUUAGCACACCUUGUUGGACCCUCCUCCACUCCCAACAGAGUUGCUGGCUACCGAGCACCAGAGGUGACUGAUCCUCGUAAGGUUUCACAGAAGGCCGAUGUUUACAGCUUCGGGGUACUGCUCUUGGAGCUACUCACAGGGAAGCCCCCAACCCAUGCUCUCUUGAAUGAGGAAGGAGUUGACCUACCAAGGUGGGUUCAGUCCAUUGUUAAAGAAGAGUGGACUUCUGAGGUUUUCGAUCUUGAGCUUCUGAGGUACCAGAACGUCGAGGAGGAGAUGGUUCAGCUAUUGCAACUUGCGAUAGAUUGUUCAGAACAGUAUCCUGAUAAACGCCCUUCAAUAUCUGAAGUGACAAGGCGCAUUGAGGAGCUACGCCGUUCUACAUUGCGAGAAGAUCAGCCGGAUGCUGUCCAUGAUAUUGACGAUGGGUCUUCGCGAUGAGUUGAUAUGUGCCCCUCCCAACGACCAUUUUCUUUCAUUGAUUUGUAGUACAAUAUCUGCUUUCUUGUGCCCAUACUUUUGCUUGUUAAGUUUCUUGCUCUUCUUGCAUGUUAAAUUCUGGGUCUCAUCUUACCUUCAUUAGGAGCCAACUAUUAUUUUUUUUACCCCUUUCUUUUAUCUGUCAAUGUACUAGUUUUUACAUUUUGAUUGAUACACUUUUGGGGUGGAUAUUUGUUCCAUUAGUUGUUGGUGGAUGAUGGUUGCUGUAAUUAUUACUUCACCUUUGCCUUUAUUGGUUACACAACUACUGAGCUAUUGAAAUUGAGAUGUUUUCAGUUUGCCUCAUAUGUUAGUUGUGAAGUCUAUUCAUCAUGUGAGUGCCCUCACCUAGCUUUGUUGCAAAACAACAUAUACACAAUUCAAGUAUGCAUCAAACUUUGGUGAGAAUUUAUGAUUGAAGCAAAGAUCAAAUGUUGUUCAUUGAUAACACUUCCAACAUCCAACUUGAAAGCAAAGCUUAAAUAUCAUAUGAAAGAAUCAUACUUGCAAGUCAAAAUCACAAAACUGCAGAUGAGUCGCUGACUCUGCAUGGGUAUCUGAUAGAAGAUGCCCCUACCCAGAAUUCAAAAUUUGAGUUCGAGUUCAGUGAUGAUGAUGAAGAAGAAAGCUUUUCUAUCGUGGACCAAACUGGAUAUGGAAAAGUGAGCAGACAGUGUGAUGCACUGAGAGUGGUCCUAGAAUUAUGGUUUAAGUUUGUUGGUAUCCAAAGCCUCUGGGAUUUAAAAUUAGGAAGAAAAGAAAGAAAACGAUAAGAAUACAAAUUUGGAGCUUCUCUUUUCCAAUAUGGGAUCGUUUUUGUCAUCUGGUUCUGUCAUAACCUGCCGUUAUUAUGUAAAAUCGAAAUGCUUCUGGAGUGGAAAGGGAUGGAUACAAAAUAUUUGCGUGAUUGCAUGAUACACAUUUGGUUAUUUGGACACCAUGCACAUGCGACUUGAGAGCAGUUUCAUGAUGGAACUCGACCAUGUUUAAUUUAAUCUAUAAUUCUCGUGGCAAACAUAGUGAAACGAAUGAUUCUUAAUACCAAAACAUCUGACUAUGGAAUUGGGCAUCUAGAAAUCAAAAUCAUAACUUUUUCAAAUCAUAUAUGUUUAGCUACUAAAGCAAUCUAAGAUUUGGUUUCUACUCAAAAUUGUGAACUAUAAGUCUAUAACACAUGGUUUGAUAAAAAAAAUCGCAAAUUUCUUAACAUAAUUUUCUCACUCCCGGACACAAGUCUCUUCCACU